CUCGUCCUCUGUCGUCCCCUUCUCCUUGUGCCCUCCAUCUUUCCCAACAUCAGGGUCUUUUCCAGGGAGUCUUCUCAUCUCAUGAGGUGGCCAAAGUAUUGGAGCCUCAGCUUCAGGAUCUGUCCUUCCAGUGAGUGCUCAGGGCUGAUUUCCUUAAGAAUGGAUAGGUUUGAUCUUCUUGCAUGCAGUCCAUGGGACUCUCAGGAGUCUCCUCCAGCACCAUAAUUCAAAAGCAUCAAUUCUUCAGCGAUCAGCCUUCUUGAUGGUCCAGCUCUCACUUCCAUACAUCACUACUGGGAAAACCAUAGCUUUAACUAUACGGACCUUUGUUGGCAAGGUGAUGUCUCUGCUUUUUAAGAUGCUGUCUAGGUUUGUCAUUGCUUUUCUCCCAAGAAGCAGGCAUCUUUUAAUUUCGUGACUGCUGCUAUUACUUUUUUUAAAAAACAACACCACCACAGUGGUAUAUUAAGAGUUUUUUAAUUACUAUUUUCUAGAAGUCCACCCUCCCUCCAUCAGCUGCCCAAUCAGUGGGGGAAUGGCGCCUAGAUCACAGCAUUUCUACUGUUCAGAACACAUGGGAUGUUGGGUGUCUAAUUCUGGCAUCCAAUGAAAUGCGGGCAUGUUUAAAGUAGGGAUGUUUCAGUGAUAAUACUGGUGCCCAUGUGCACUGGGUUGGGGACCCCUGCUUCAGUGAUCUGUUUUCAGUUUUUUUCUGUUUAAAAUUGUUUUCAUGUAUAUCUUCUCUCAGUGAACUGCACUUAGAUUUCUCUUCAAUGAAAAAUGACAAAAAUAAUAGUAAAUAAAAUAGUAAAAAAGUGAAAUUCAUAGUAAAUUUGUGGGUUUCUCCCAAGGGGCAAUGUAAUGAUAGGGGAAGUUAAAAAGACUCUCAAUAAAAGUAGUGUAAUUCCUUAGACUGGAGAGGAUUCUGCCAAUUUGCUAGCAAAACCUUUACCUCUUCUAUAUUUUUUCUACUCUUUGCUUUUUCCGUCACUGUCCUCUUUUUAAACGUGGUUUUUUUUUUUAAAAAGCUACACUUUACAGAGGCAAAUGUCAAACAUUUGGGCGUCGUAGACCUGAGCGCUCUUAGACGCAGUUCAUGUUUUAUUGUUGAAUGCGGUUAUAAUAAUACCUUGUAGGCCCAUAAAAUGCUUUUAUGUUCAAAUCACUUUACAAACAUUAUCUUAUUAAUAGCUAACAAUUAUAUCUUUAGUGGUUUGAAACUGCGGUGUGGAGAACUGCCAAUUGAGAAACCUGAUAUUAGCUUGAGACACUUUAAAGUGAUUAACAUGAUUCUCAGUAGACAAUUACAUUGUCCUCUUCUGCAAGCGGGAAGUGGUUUGUACAUCCCAGCGCUGGUGGGCUGCGAUGGACCAGUUUUGGAGGGUGAUCUCUGCAAAGUCCCAAAAUUUUUGAAGCAUUUUGACGGAUGACAAUUUCACACAUUUAGUGUGUUGCGUUAGCCAGAAUAUCUUGACUAACAUAGAUGGAGUUCUGAGAGAGAGAGAGAGAGAGAGAGAGAGAGAGAGAGAGAGAAGCAAGCUGAAAAUACUUUACUGAGAGAAUCUGAACAAAACAAAGUAUUAGGUGAGGAGAAAGGAACAAAGGAGUUUUGUUUUUCUUCGUUCAGGCCUUGGUUCAUAGGAGGAGGCUAUUCAACCGCUAAAUAUGCAGGGCAGCUGUUUAUCAGCUCCAUCUGGUACACAGGCUGAGACCCUACCUGCUCGGUCCAGUAUACCUGAAGGAGCGUCUCAACCCCCAUCGUUCUGCCAGGACACUGGGGUCCAGUGCCAAGGGCCUUCUGGUUGUUCCCUCACUGUAAGAACCAGGCAGAGGGCCUUCUUGGUAGUGGCACCCAUCCUGCAGAACGCCCUCCCACCAGAUGUCAAAGAGAAAAACAACUACCAGACUUUUAGAAGACAUCUGAAGGCAGCCCUGUUUAGGGAAGCUUUUUAUGUUUAAUAGACUAUUGUAUUUUAAUAUUCUGUUGGAAGCUGCCCAGAAUGGCUGGGGAAACCCAGCCAGAUAGGCGGGUAUAAAUAAUAAAUUAUUAUUAUUAUUAUUAUUAUUAUUAUUAUUAUUAAUUAAACUCCCUUAGAACUACACAGCCAAUCAGAAUUUAAGUAAUUCCAGGAAGUAUCAUGCCAAUCUGACUGGUUGCUAAGCAACACCUCCAACCCCCUCUUGGGCAAUUGGCUAGCACAGAGAACAGAAUUAACCCCUAGGUUACCAACUGAAUGAUCUCUGCUGUUAUACUUCCAACACAUUACCAGAGGAAGAGGAGACACAUAUUGCGGUGCUGCUUUCAGCUGCAGCCGUGCGACUCCUGUGACAGCAAGUUCUGGCCUUUUGUGAUUAUGGCAAUCUCGAUACAAAGGCAUUCUGAAAUUUGGGCUGCCUUCCGCAUUUGCCGUUUGAAGACAAAAAUCCACAAACAAGACCAUCAAGAAGACAAGGUUAAUUCUAGUCUUCCUCUUUCUGAGCGCAUGGCAUCUUCAAAGACUAACGCGGUCCUUCAGUGGUGUCAGUUGGAGUAUAAAUGAAGUAUGACUUCUGUGUUGCUGUGGCUGACCUGGAAAUGGAAUGUCAAACACCAUAUAAUCAGCGCUCGUUGCACAAGCGACAGAGACCAAGUGAGAGUCCUAGUUUUCUGUUUGUGUCAAUUUUUGGAUGGCUUAAUUUUCCAUCCUGUCUAAUUUUCCCAGAGAGCAAUAAUACAGUGGCUGUCAAAUUAGAGGUUGCAGACUCCUCAACUCUGUGUCAGGAGCGAAAAUAACAUAUUGGUUGUUAUUACUGUUAAGUGUGAUAAAAAGUGUGUGUGGGGGGGAGGCAUUUAGUUUCUAAAUCGCUUACAUUGGCCUGAAGAGCGCCUUCCGAGAAUAUCAUUUAACUCAUUAUCAACGGAUUUUGAAAAGUCAUUUUGGACAUGAUGUCUGACAUCCCGCCUGCCCUGCAGACCCCGUUCCCUAAAAGAUCAGCUUGCUCCAAUGCAAAAUUGAUUGUGGUGAGCAGGAGUUCAGCAGCUCCCUCCUGCGAUUGUGUGGCAUGGGAAUUAAUGAUGCGCUGAGAUUUCUUCACAUGGCAAGGGAGGCCGUUUUCAAACUAUCAUUGACCUAACCAACCUCGGGGAAAGAACAAAACAGAAAUGAAUGCAUUAAAAGAGCCACCUGUGAGAUUGUAGCUUGUGGUCUCCUCUGAAGGCCCUUCAGCCUGAGGAAAUACAGUGCGGAAAUCCUUGUUGCGUGUUGAGGUCCCCAAGCCACCCCCCAAUAAUUCACACAUAAUAAUAAUAAUAAUAAUAAUAAUAAUAAUAAUAAUAAUAAAUUUUAUUUAUAUCCCGCCCUCCCCAGCUGAAGCCAGGCUCAGGGCGGCUAACAACAAUAAAACAGUACAAAAGUACAGCAUAAACAACACUCUAAAAUCAUUCAUUAUAAAAUUAAUUAAUUCAAGCCACUGGCAACCAUUGGGCCAGAGCUCCGCGAAGAUUGCCAAGGGAGGGAGUCAGGCUGUGCCCUGGCCAAAGGCCUGGUGGAACAGCUCUGUCUUGCAGGCCCUGCGGAAAGAUGUCAAGUCCCGCAGGGCCCUGGUCUCUUGUGACAGAGUGUUCCACCAGAUCGGAGCCAUGGCCGAAAAAGCCCUGGCUCUAGUUGAGGCCAGCCUAACUUCUCUGUGGCCUGGGACCUUCAAGAUGUUUUUAUUUGAAGACCGUAAGUUUCUCUGUGGGGCAUACCAGGAGAGGCGGUCCCGUAGGUACGAGGGUCCUAGGCUGUAUAGGGCUUUAAAGGUUAAAACCAGCACCUUAAACCUGAUCCUGUACUCCACUGGGAGCCAGUGCAGCUGGUAUAGCACCGGGUGAAUGUGAUCUCGCGGCGAAGACCUCGUAAGAAGUCUCGCUGCAGCAUUCUGUACCCGCUGGAGUUUCUGGGUCAGUCUCAAGGGCAGCCCCACGUAGAGCGAGUUACAAUAAUCCAGUCUGGAGGUGACCAUCGCGUGGAUCACAGUGGCUAGGUUUGGGUUUUUUGGCAUGAUUUUGGUUUGGGUUUUUGGUUUUGGUUUGGGUUUUUGGCACGAUUUUGGCCACAACUUUAUUUAAAUACACACAAGUGAGUGGUUGCUUAGGCAUUGGUUCCGACUAUCUGUCCUUGCCCAGGGACAGAACUGACUUCCGGAAGCCAGUGAGGGAAACAAUUUUGGGGAGAAAAUGAAGCUGGGCCUCAGUCCCUCACUUCUCACCCUCAUGUUCCUGGUGGCUUGCAUGGCCCAAGUCCUGAUGCCAGGGACAAGGACGAAAAGAAUGGUAAGCCCCUGGAUUCCUUUAAUGGAAUUCCCUUUCCGCAUCACCAUUGGAGGGGUAGGCACUUACCCCUCCACCAACCAAUUUGAACCAACGCCUAACCUUACAAGUUGUGAUGUUUUGCUACGCAGUAGGCAAAAACCAAAUGGCAGCAGCCAAUCAGCCAAAUGGACAAAAUUCCUACCAGGCCCCUGCCUCAAAGCAGACAGCCCCAUGACAGGCAUAGCAAGGUCAAGCGAACAACCCCCCCCCCCAAUACAGGGAGGGUGGGCGGGUGAUCUGGUGCAAGCAUCCAAGAGGACACUCAAAGUUGGGCGACCAAUAUUUAAAACCUCUGACCCCUCCUUCAAAAUUGGCAACAAGCAAUUCUCCCCAGCGACCCAAUUAACCAAUUCACUGCCUGGGUCACUCCGCAAAUCCACCCAGCAACACUGGGGUGGCUUGUAUCCCCCACCGCAACACAUGCUCUCUGCUAGGGAGAACACGUUAUACGGACAGAGCAGAGUUGGGCACAUCUGUCUGUUUUGGGCUUGCGACAUUUUUCACAUCUGUAAGUCCAUUCUAUCACAUUUCUGCAUAAAUUUGCACAUUAAAAUAUUAUCCAGAGCUUAUGCUGAUGCAUGAAGGAAGUAUUGGGCUAAGAAAGGACUAUAAGGAAUAGGAGGCUAAUUAGGCUCCUUUCAACAGAAUUUAAACAAACUUAUCUUAAUUUAGACCCCAAAAUCCCACCCCCAAUCUCCAGUAUGUCUCUUUUUUUAAAAGGUAUCAACUAUCACAUGUACAUAUCAGCAAGAGAUGACGAUGGACUUGUAAAAGGGUAAAAGAGUAUUGGGAAAUGAUCCAUAAUGAAUUGAAAAAAAUAUUUUAAAGAACUCCCCCCCCCCCAAAAGCCCCCCAGAGUCCUUUCUGUUGGGGACAAUUCAGAUUGAAAUUCCCAGGUGUCAAAAAAGGUUAUGUAUGCUACUACUGUGUCCCAUGUUUUGUUAGCCCCAAAAUGGAAAAUGAGCGAGGUCCCAACCAAAGAAGAAUGGCAACUUAAGUUGACAGAAUAUGCACAACUUGCAGACUUAACACAUAGAAUAAGAGAACAAGAAGAACAUUGGAAGAAGAUUGGAAAAUGUUUAUUGAAUAUAUGGGAAAUAAUUGUGGACAGCUGAAAAUGCAUUAAGAUAAAUUUGACAGUGUAAAUAAAUUUUGAUGGAUGCAAUAAUGGAAUACUGGAUGGUAUAGUUUUUGUAAAAUAUGCAGGGAUUUAUGAUAUGUAAAAUGAACCCUGGAGAGAGAAGAAGGGAAGUCAUUGAUAUCUUAAGGAUGUAAAAUGAGUAUUUUAAAUUGUAAAACAGAAAAUUUAAUAAUGAUAUAUCUCUUGGAUGGCCAAUAUUAUUCUCCACCUGGAAGUUUUCUCCUCCCUAUGGGAGGAGGUGCCAUUUUGAUGCAAAAUAAUUUGACAAAAUGUUUCCAGUAAUUUCAGCCACCACUAUAUUUAGGUGAGAUACAGUAAAAAUACAGAUAGUAUUUUUGUUACAUUUGUUAGAACAGUGAUGUAUAAACAUACAAGGGUUAAAACAAGACAUUAAUACAAAAUGGUGCAGUCAGCAUUAUAAUGUCACAAACUUGUUUUUAUCUGUAAGCUGCCUUGAGUCCCAUUGGGAAAAAGGCGAAGUAUAAAUAAAUAUAUGAUAAUAAUGAUAAUAACCUAUCCAGAUGUGACAUGUAAUCCUGACAAGUAAUUUUAAUGCACAAUUUUGCAAUAAUAUGCAUACUUUUUAAGAUUGCUGAUUUUAAUUCUAUUUUAAAUUUGUUAAAUUCAACUUGAUCUUUUGAUCUUAUAUUUUAUUUUAUCAAUAUUUUUUUUAAAUUGUUUUUUAUAUUGCUUUAUGCAAUCCUUCUAGAGAUGUACGGAUAUAAACCCUGUUAAGUACAUAAAAUAAAUAUCCACACCACCCAAGCAGGAAAAGAAUACCAGGGAUAGAUAAUCAGUUGGAACAAGACCUCGAAUCAACCAUCCCAUCUCGUCAAAUGCCUGGGAGGAGAGGAAGGACUUAAACUGGGGUUGAAAAGAUGACAAAGUUGGUGUCAAAUGAGGCUCACUGUGGAGAGUAUUCCACAGAUAGGGGGACACUACUGAAAAGACCCUGUCCUUUGUCACCACUCUUCAAAACUCCCUUAGAGGAGGUAACUGGAGCAGCUCCUCAGAUGCUGAUGUAAGGGAUGGGCACAGGUGUCCCAUCAAGUAUUGGAGAACCCAUUUACAUGCCAAAUAUUUGGAACAUCAAAAAUUUCAGCAUCGGCCAUGCACUUCAUCUCAGCCACCCACAUCUGGCCUACGCAUGCAAAAGAAACAUGCUUCUGAUGUUCAAGCCGUGUGUGUCUAGUUCAAACUAAAGAGAGUUUAAUAUUUAAAAUGUGUCUUCGAAAUAUCUUGGAUGUUCAGACUAGUCGGAGUUAAUGUUCUGCUAUUAAAUAUUCAGUUUUACCAAGACCUUUUAAUGCACAAGCAGUUUUCCUUCCUCCUUCCUUUCUUUUUUAAUCAUGUCAUACGCACAAAGAAGACGCGUUUGAAGAGACCACAAAUACAUUGCAGCGACUUGCAUUUUUGUUGUUGUUGAAAAGCUGCUAAAUGUUUUUUUUUCCCUGCUGAUGCCCUUGUGAAGUUGUCACUCUGUGACUGAAGCUGUUCUAUGGCUGCAAAGCCAGCCCCCCCCCUUUUAUUUGCAGAAAUAGAUGAGCAUUUUUGCAGAAACGUCUCCACCACCAAUGUUAGGCUGAAGCCUUGUUCAUGAAACCCAAAACUUUUAACGCCUUGCGGACAUGAUGUGAAUCAUAGGUGCCAACUAUGCAGGGUGCCCGGGUGCCCACAAAUUUUAAAUGAAGGGGUUGCCCCCCUCCCCGAUUCCACUUGGCAGCACACACAUGCCAGGGGGCAUACAUCCCAUCCAUCAUGCAUGUUUUGGGACUCGAUGCUGGUUUUUCUCUCAGAAAACACUAAAAAAAUCUUCCCACCCCCAUUUUAGCAAUUGACUACUUUUGAACUGUUUCUAUAGCAGCACAAAUGAGGUGUGUGUGUGUGGGGGGGAGAAGUGUUUAACCACUGAUAUAUUAGUGCUGGGAAAGCUAACAAUUACCAGGAGAUUUUCUUUUUCUUGUUUUUUUCCAACCUUAUUAAAGAAAUUGCAUUAAAGAUGAAUGAGCAUUUAUUUGGAAUAAUUGUGUUUUAAGGUAGGUAAGAUUAAAAGAUAUUGAAUGGAAUAUUGACUGUUUGGUAGGAAUAGGAAUAAUGAGAUUCCCGUUGCCUAAUCUUACGAUAAUUGGGUUAUUACUAUGCAAAUUAAGGUAUUACCUUUAAAAAAGAAGGUAAAGGAGAGGCUAGAGACAGCCAUUUAUCUCUCUAUCCUUAAAGCUACGCUGCCACUUGCCUUUAGGUUGAAGAUCCCUUUUAAAAACAAUGUGGCAAUAUAUAGUUCAUCAUCAUCAUUAGUUUGUUAUAUAUAUUUGUACGCUCUUCCGGAACCUUUUAGGGAUAAUUGACCCAACACCUAACCUUGUGAUCUCCAACACCACCCCCAUUGGAUCAGAUCAGAGACUUACCUCUCUCGCCAUUGCAGUGCCCACAAGCACAAGUUGUGCCCAUAAUAAUAAUAAUAAUAAUAAUAAUUUAUACCCCACCCAUGUGGCUGGGUUUCCUAUCAUAUGUACCAGCUCCUAGGGGUUGAGGAAGUUUUGGGCCCCCCCAAUUUUUUUUGAGGGGGCUGGGUGAUCUCAAUGCUUAGAGUGUGUUGGGCCCUUGGCUCCUGUGACAUCACAUGCACAACGUCAGGACAUCAUGUUGUGCCCCCUCAAUCAGCUUGAGAAGAUGGCGCCUUUGCCUCCUGUGGCACCCAGGAAAGGUCUCAGAAUACGUACAUCCCACCCAAAAUACACACUGCAUGAGAGACUGUUCAGUUGCUGUUUGCACUGGCUCAGCCUCUCCUACAUUAAACAUACCCCUCAGACAUGCCCAUGUUUCACUAGAUCUCAGGAUUGGACGCCCACCAUCCCUUCUAUUCCGAACAGAGGAGAGAAAAGCUUUUAUUCUUCUGUCAGAGAGCGUGGUCUAUUAAGUAGUGGGUGGACAUAGCAGACGAUACAGAAAUUUCUCCAAGUACAUUUAUAAGUACAGUGGUACCUCUGGUUGCGAACGGGAUCCAUUCCGGAGUCCCGUUCACAACAUGAGCAGAACACAACCUGCGUCUGCACGGGUCGCAAUUCAUCGCGUCUGCGCAUGCGCAUGACGUCAUUUUGCACGUCUGCGCAUGCACGAGCAGCAAAACCUGGAAGUAACCCUUUCCGGUACUUCUGGGUCGCCGCGGGAUGCAACCUGAAAAAAUGUAUCAUGAAGCAAACGCAACAUGAGGUAUGACUGUAAGCUGGAACUGAACUGAACAGCAAACAGCUCAGCUGGCCUGCUUUUAUAGGCAGCCGGCUGUCAACAUUGUAACAACAACAGCCUAGGGUUUCCCACCUAAAUUAACUGACGUGGACCUGAGUGAAAACUAUAUACACAAUACCCCCCUGGUGGCCAGGGUGAGAACUUCAAUACAUAACAUGGUCAAAUGUCAACGCCAUUUUGUGGCCCUCUCUUUUUCUCUGCUCUUUUAAAUUCAGCGGCCAUUUUGUGUGUGUGUGUGUUUUUUUAAAUAAUAUUUAUUAAUUUUCCAACCGUUUAAACACAACAAAACAGAAAAACAACAAAAAACAACAAAAAACAUAAGACUAACAAAACAAGACACAAACCAUUUAAAACACAAAACAAUUUCGAUAUCUUAUCUUUCAUUCCCUUAUUUCCAUGACCUCCUCACACCUCCCUUUUUGUAUUCCACUUCUGUUAAUUGUUUCAGCAAUUCCUUUCCAUCUUCCUCUGUUUUCUAUCCUAUAAUUAUCUUAACAUAUUCUAACCUUAUUUUUCCCUUUAAUACACUAUUAAUCUAUUUAUACUUGAUUCCUUAUAGCAUUUCUACUAAAGCCAUAUAACUUUAUUCCAACAUUUUUCUAACAUUCAUUAUUUUUACAGUAUUUCUAUAAAUAGUCUUAAACUUUUUCCAGUCUUCUUCCACCGACUCUUCUCCCUGGUCUCGGAUUUCUGCCAGUCGUUUCCGCCAAUUCCAUAUAGUCCAUCAACUUCAUCUGCCAUUCUUCCCGAAUAGAUAAAUCUUGUGUCUUCCAGUACUUCACAAUGAGUAUUCUUGCUGCUAUUGUUGCAUAUGUGAAAAAAAUUCUAUCCUCCUUUAACACCAAUUGGCCGACCAUGCCCAGGAGAAAGGCCUCUGGUUUCUUCAAAAGGGUAUAUUUAAGUACCUUUUUCAUUUCGUUAUGAAUCAUCUCCCAAAGUGUCUUAAUCCUUGGGCAUGUCCACCAAAGGUGAACUGUAAUCCUCAAAUUCGUCUGUUUUUCUUUAAGUUUAGUCAUAGCAAGCGUCAACUUAUGCUCAUCAAAUUGCCUCUGUAGGGCUGGGGCUCUCUUUCUCUUUCUCUCCAGUUGUGUUACUUUACCUUCAGCAACAACAGCUUUUUCCCUGGCUUCCUCCGCAGUUUGCCGUAUCAAAAUAGGUUCCUGUAUCAAUUUCUGGGUGGUUUCUGUAUUGGUAUUAUUUAUACUUUCUGUAUUUAAGUUAAUUUUAAUAAUUGAAACAUCCACUUUCACAUUUAUCGUGUCCAUUUUCCUGUUAAGCUGAUCCAAUGAGUCAUUUAUCUUAUAUAAUGCAGCCACUAAAGCCUCUUCUGCCGACAUUCCUCUUGGUUUUAAAUAUACUGGUACAAAGGCAGCAACAGAAGGAGCAGCGGGGCCUAAUGAUGGACCUCUCCUGGAUUGUUGCCAAGUCCUCCCAGACCUUAAUGUUUUGUCAGCAGUUGACUGGUCUGUUUUUCCUCUUCCAUUUACCAUAACACUUAAAAGAUUCAAGGUCAGUCCCAGAGUCUCACGGUUUUUAACUUGCAGCUGGAAAUUCCCCUAGCCCAGCUCUUGUAGGGCAACCAGUUUCAAAGGCUUCCACUAGGGGGAAACAGUUUCUAUUUGUAAUAGUCAAUAGUAUCCUCUUUUAAACAAUCCAAAAUUAGUUUCAAAUUAGUUUCAAUUUUCAGUUACUUUUACUCCUUUUUAAAGCAGCCGGAGACAGUAGAAACAAUGUAUUUCUCUUGUUUAACUAGCUGUCAAUGAACAUUCCAAAAGACGUCAGUCCUACUAGCAGCCCGUUUCCAGGGUCAGAGCGGCUGUGUUUUAAAUCUCUUCACUCUCUCCCACAGGCAUACUCAAUCCGCAACUUCCCCCUCUCUUCUCCUGCCUCCAAGAGGGGGUUUAAUGUUCUUUACCGAUGGAAAUGUAAUCUUUUACAAAAGGCUUUCCAGGACUCCAGCUUGCAACUUCAUUGCCUCAGUCUAUUUACAAAAGGGGAAGGCGGACUUCCUGUUUUGAACCUCCCCGUUACGGUGCCAAAUUAAACAUGUAGAAAUCCAAUUCUUCCACUUCAGCUCUACUCACGGGUAAUUACUUUAAAGUCAAAUUGUCCACAGGAAAAGGUCAGCGCUCUCCGGCAACAGCUAUGCGGCUUCGCUCCGUGGAAGAAGCAGACGAUUCGAUGCACCGUGCCGCUCACCCCACGUCGCUCCGGAGCCCCAAAAACCGGGGUUCCCCAUGAGUGGGGGAGGCGCAAAAGUGCCCGCCGAAUCCCACGCUCACAGGCUUCUCCCGCCUGUGAUUUUAACGGGUCUCCGCCUUCGCCGUGGCGGCCAGACCCAGAUUCCCACGGAGCGGAUUCCUCCCGGUCAGAGGAAUUCCGCCAUUACCGGAGGCACCUCCCCGGAAGUCCCCCAGAGGCCAUUUUGUGUUAUGCCACAGGCCCACCACAGCCAUUUUGUAGCUGGAACCCAAAGCACAUCCUCAAUAUUCCAAAUGUGCCUGCCAAGCCAGAAUCAGAGCACUCCUGACAUAUGGUUGUCAAGAUCAGGUUAGUCUGACAUGACUUAUUUUUCAGAAAUCCAUGCUGACUAUUGGUGAUCACAGCAUUCCUUUCUAGGUGCUCACAGACUGUUUGCUUAAUGAUCUGCUCCAGAAUCUUCCCUGGUAUUGAUGUCAGACUGGGCGGUAAUUAUUUGGGUCCUCUCUUUUCCCCUUUUUGAAAAUAGGGACAACAUCCUUGCCCUCCUCCAGUCUGCCGGGACUUCGCCUGUUCUCCAGGAAUUCUCAAAGAUGACUGAGAUCACAUCUGCCAGUUCUUUUAAUACUCUUGGAUGCAGUUCAUCUGGCCCUGGAGACUUGAAUACAUCUAAACUAGCCAAGUAUUCUUGUACUAUCUCCUUAGUUAUUCUGAGCUGUGUUUCCUCUGCUGAAUCAUUUGCUCCAAAUUCUUCAGGUCGGGCAUUGUUUUCUUUAUCGGAGAAGACUGAUGCAAAGAAGGCAUUGAGGAGUUCAGCCCUUUCUGUGACCCCUGUUUGCAUUUCACCAUCUUCUCCUCUGAGUGACCCCACUGUUUCUUUGUUCUUCCUUUUGCUACGAACAUACCCAUAAAAGCCUUUUUUGUUGCUUUUAACCUCUCUAGCAAGCCUGAGUUCAUUCUGUGCUUUAGCUUUUCUGACUUUGUGUCUACACGUGCUGGCUAUUUGUUUGAAUUCCUCUUUGGUGGUUUCCCCUUUUCCAUUUUUUGUACACAUCCUUUUUUAAUCUUAACUCAGUUAAAAGUUCUUUAGAUAGCCACCCUGGCUUCUUUAGGCACCUUCCAUGUUUCCGUCUCAUUGGUAUUGCCUGAAGUUGUGCUUUUACUAUCUCCCUCUUAACAAACUCCCAGCCAUCAUGAACUCCCUUUCCUUUUAGUAUUACUGUCCAUGGGAUCUCACCCAGCACUUCCCUAAGUUUUAUGAAGUCGGCUUUCUUAAAGUCAAGAAAUUGAGUCCUAGUAUGCUUGGCUGCUCCUUUCCGCUGUAUAGUAAACUUCAGAAGAGCAUGAUCACUCACGCCUAAUGAUCCUUCCACUUCUACCCCACUAACCAGGUCAUCAACAUUGGUUAGGACCAGAUCUAAAAUGGCUGUUCCUCUUGUUGCUUCUCCCACUUUCUGGACGAUGAAGUUGUCUGCAAGGCCAGUGAGGAAUCUGUUUGACUUUAUGCUCUUGGUUGAGUUUGACAUCCAGCAAAUAUCCGGGUAAUUGAAGUCCCCCAUUACUACUAUCUCCCUUCCUUUUGCAUGCUUGGCCAUCUGUUCCAGGAAGGCAUCAUCUAUGUCCUCCGUUUGGCUUGGGGAUCUAUAGUAAACUCCCACAAUGAGGUCACUGUUAUUCUUCUCUCCCUUAAUUUUGACCCAAAUGCUCUCACUUUGGCUUUGAGGUUCUAAAUCUUGGAUCUCUUCACAGGUAUACACAUCCCUGACAUAUAACGCCACUCCUCCUCCUUUCUUGUCUGGUCUGUUUCUCUGAAAUAGAUUGUAUCCCUUGAUUAUUACAUUCCAUGUAAUAAUCAUGGGGGGUUCUGAAUGCCCCAAGUGCUAAAAAUAACUUCCGUCAACUAUGCCAUCCCCCCUUUCAGUUUCUUUCUGAGCUAUAUAUCCACCCUCGCUGCCCAAUUGUCUCUCCCUGCUGACCUCCACCUUUUGGCCAGGAAGUUGGCAAGCAGAUGGAUUGCGCAGUGCAUGACGUUGAUUGCUCCCCGGUCACUUGGAAACCGAACAGCAUUGCGGUGGGAGGGCGGGUGAACUUGCCACCUGGAAAACACUCAGGCGCUCAGCCUUCCCUGGCAUGAGGUCAAAGGACGUGGUUAUUAGCUCAUGACCCUGCAUUUCCCCUGGGGAGAGACUGCAAUACACUUGCUGAGAGGCUGGGGUCAGCUGUUAAAAACUGAUUUUUAAGUAGCUCCGUAUCUUUGCCCGGAUGCAGAUGCUGUUUUAAGUGGGAGUAAUUUGGACAUUUAAUCAAACGCGCUCACGCACAAUUCAGUGCCGCAGAACCAGGCGAAGCUCUUAUUAUAGAUUCACCGUGCUGUGUUUUCAUGUGUAUUCAAGGAUAAUAAUACUCGGAUACAUUUCAAAGGGAAAAGAGAUCUGCAAUGGUAGAGAUUUGGAAGAAUUUAAGCCUGUGUAAAUGAAACUCUGUUGUUUAAUUAUGGUGGCUGGCUGUGAAUGCAGUCAUGGGGUGCAAAACUCCCAGGUUUCGGUCUAUUUAUUUGGGUGCCUUUUAAAGACACAGGAGGGCUUGGGCUGAUUUUGAGGGUGGGGAAAAUUGAGGUGGAAAAGGAUGACAGUCAGUGCCUAUUUGGGACACACAUGUGAAGAAUCUGGACCAAGGGUAUUUUGCUGCCUGAUGCCAAAGACAAAAUGGCACCCUGGCCCCACCAUUCCCCAUACAGAAGCCAGCCACAACUUCCACUGAAUCUUUCUUCAACCCUGGAGAUGAGUCUGUGUCCUUUGCUGCACCUGAAGUCAGGAAGUUAGAUUAAGUCCUGCUGGGAGGCUAUGUGGCACUGUCAGCUCUGUCUUCCAACACCUUGCUCUCGCUCUCCAUUUCUCAGCAGCUGCCUCACUCUGGACUUCCCUCUACUGCAACUUCCUCAUUCACCUCUGUUCUUAGAAGAAGCUAAAUGUUUCUGGGUGCAAAUGAAUGAGCACGUGAGCCAGGCUAUGGGUGGGCUGCUCUGGAACUGGUGUGGAGAAGUGUCUUUGGACAAGGACCAGAGACCUUCAACAAUAACGCUCAAUGAGGAGACCUUGGUGUCAUUGCAGAUUUGAUAAGCAUCCCCUCAAUUCCUUCAUCCAAGUCAUUUAUAAAGACAUUGAACAACAACGGGCCCAGGACAGAACCCUGCUGCACCCCACGUUGGUCUGAUCUAUCAGGGUUAUUACAUUUGCAGAGGAACCCUUGGUCUGUUUGGGUAUAAGGCAGCCUUCUAGGAUUCCGUGGUAAGCAUGAAGCUUCCUUAAUAUAAUAGAGGAGACCAGCAUCUUCUCAAGCGUCAAUAUGGGGAAGGGUUGUAGCUUCCGUACCAGUUUCUAGGGACAAAAGCAUCAGAGGGCUAUUUUGCCCCCAUGUCUUGCCUGUAGGCAUCCCAUAGACACCUAAUUAGAAAUGGGGCGCUGGACAGGAUAGGCCUUUGACUCUUUGCUCAUUGCUGGAAUAAGCCCGUUUCCCUUUCUGUGUCAUGUGGUUUCAUGGCUGGUGAUUUUUUUCUCUGAAUUCAGAAUAUAAGCAGACAAAACACUCAAAGCAAAACUUUCAGAAACCAGGCUAUUUUGCAUACUUUCCACCCCCGGACCAUCCCUCGCCGCAGUCUAUGUGCACAUCCAAGCCUCUAAACCUUGAUUUCAAUCUUAAGUUUUGGGUACAUGCAUAUUGAUACAGAUGGCCCUUAAGGCAACUUUGUCCCAGGCAAACCAUGGGCAACCCUCAAUCCCCACAGGUUUUCUGCUUUUUGUUUUUUUGGUGGUGCAAGGGGAGCUAUUCUCCAUUAUGCAAGGAACUCCCCCUGGCCAGAUCAUUUCCAGGAACAGCAUAUUUUAUGGACACAUUGGACCAACUUUGAAAACAGGGAGAGUGAUCACACUAUCCUACCUCACGAUGGUGGUGUCUGGUGCCUUUUGGGACCAGUAGGGCAGAUGGCAGGGAGACUCACAGUGGGUGGAGCCAGAAACAGGUGGAGCCAGUUAAUUCUAAUUUUGUCCUCUUCCUCCCGCACCCUGUUGAGUUCUACAAGGGCAACACAUGAGGAAGACUGUUGGAAGUGAGAAGACAAACAGCUGGGGGUUGGCAGGCCGAGGCUGAGGCUGGGACGGGGGACGGGGCAUCAUCUUCACCCUAAUGGACCAGCCUCCAGUACCUUACAUGACCGUUGCAAGGUUCACUGUAGUAAGGAGCGUUUUGACCACUUGAAAUGUACGAGACAAAUAGUGAGUAAUUUACCCCAGGCUAAAUUGUGCCUUGCUGAGAUUGCAAGUGUUUUCCCCUUCCCUCCCUCCCCCUCCCCCUCCCUCUCCUCCUCCUCCUCCUCUUCUUUCCGUGUAUAUAUUUAUAUGGUGCAUUCUAUAAUUAUUGGACCCUAUCUUGCAACAUAUUGAGGGAAGCUUUUGAAGAUAUAAUCUUAGUUUGAGCUCAGUGGCUUAGUGAGAUGUGGGCACGAGGCCCUCCCUAUCUGGUGCUUUUUCAUGCAUAACAAUGGAAUGCUCUGCGGCGACUCAGCGUCUUUAGAUAAUACCCACCUACAUGAAAUCCUGAAGGCUGGUACACAGUUUUUAAAAGGUCAUAACAAGAAAACUCGGUCUUGUAGCAGAUUUUUUAAAGUCCCCCCCCUCCAAUUAAUUACUAUUAAAUGCAAAUCAGUGAGCAGUGUAUUUCUCUUUGAAGAAGAAGAAGAAAAUCCUGGCAAAAUGUAUCUGCAAAAGUAUGAAUUGUUCCAAGCCGUAGGAGUAUCAGUAUUUAUGAACUCCCAGGUAUCUUCUUAUUUCUUUUAUUUUGUCUCACCUGGUUUAUUUCAGUCUCCAGCCAUUACUAUUAAGGAAUUCAUGACAUUUUCCUUUGGCAAUAAUUCAGCAGAAGAGAGUAUUAAGAGUCCAAGCUGGAACUUCUAAUCUGAGCCUCUUCAAAAUUCAGGGGAUUUUAGGUAGGAUUCCUUUGAUCUGAAUGGACUUUGAAGGUUUUUGACUCGACACGAGGAGAAACCAAUUUCUGCUUCUGCAGGGGUCUGUGGGCGAAGAAACUACGAAUCGCUCUCUGCCCAUAUAGCUCUUUCUUUUUGUGGUCAAGGGCUUAGCAAACAGGGACACUUCUGAUCUUCUUCCCUACCGGAAUUUCUACUGGGAUUUCAGAAUUCCAAAUAUUGUAGGCUUGUUUUUGAAGUGGAAAUGAUUUAUAAGAAAGCCUACAUUGAGUGCUCUCUCCAUUCAAUUGUUGUAGGGCAACUCAUGCAUAGAGUUUGUUCACAUCCUCCACACUCUGUGCAUUCAGGAGGGAAUAGCCUGACAACUGUAGUUCAUGAGUAAGUAACCUCAGGGCUGGACUACUGCACCAGGCUCUCUGUGGGGCCACCCUUGGUCUUGAUCUGGAAGCUCCAGCUGGUGGAGAAUGUGACCGCCAUAUUGCUGACAACAUGUGACACCACUGUUAAAACAUCUACAUUGGCUGCCCACUUACUACCAAUCCACGUUCAAGGUCCUUGUAUCAAUUUACAAAGUCUUGAACAGCUUACAUUAUGUCCAAGGUACCUUAGAGCAGUGGUUCUCAACCUGUGGGUCCCCAGAUGUUGGACUACAACUCCCAUCAUCCCUGAGCUCUGGCCUUGCUAGCUGGGGGUGAUGGGAGUUGUAGUCCAACAACAUCUGGGGACCCACAGGUUGAGAAAGGCUGCCUUAGAGACUGCCUGAACUCUUAUAUCCCAGCUUGAUCAAAGAGAUAAUUUGCACAAGAUUGUUGGUCAUCGCCUGAGUUGGUGAUGCUUAUUUGACAUCAGCACAAAGUAGAGACCCUGAUGUCAUCAACACAGUCCUGUGGAAGGCUCUUCCAACAGAGAUUCAACAGGCGCCUUCUAUUUUAAUCUUUUAAUGCUUGUUGAAAACUUCUGUACCCUGUCAGGCUUGCAAAGAUGGUUAAGAAAACAUCUUCUAAUAGUUAACCGAUGACCUGGGAUUUUAUGUGAGUUUAUUGUACGGUACAGGUAUAAUUUGUUAUAAACAGCUCUGAUAUUUUUAUGAGAUGGUAGUAUGCAGGCAUUUUAAUAAAUAAAUGAAACAGUGUGGGAGAAGCACUCUUGAUGUAGUCAUAGGAAUGAAAUCAUGCAGUUUUGAUUACAUGAGUAUCGACUGAUAUAUUUAUACCGUAUAGGGAAGUUAAUUUAAAUGCAAUUUAAUUGGUACGUACUUAACUUGCAUGCCACUUUACAUUUCAAGAAAUCUUGGAGUGUUUUGCAUCUCAGCAAAAAUCAAUCUUUAUUACAUAAAACUGUGACUUCCGAUUUCAGUACAGCUGCUCCUAAAAUUCCACACUUUAAGUAACAGAGAGAAUACAUCUCUAAACAAUAUACAGUGGUACCUCAGGUUAAGUACUUAAUUUGUUCUGGAGGUCCGUUCUUAACCUGAAACUGUUCUUAACCUGAAGCACCACUUUAGCAGGGCCUCCUGCUGCCGCCGUGCCGCCGGAGCACGAUUUCUGUUCUCAUCCUGAAGCAAAGUUCUUAAGCUGAGGUAAUAUUUCUGGGUUUGUGGAGUCUGUAACCUGAAGCGUAUGUAACCUGAAGCGUAUGUAACCCGAGGUACCACUGUACAUUUAUAAUGUUCUGUGGUAAAUAAUAAUAAUAAUAAUAAUAAUAAUAAUAAUAUUGUUUAAAAAGGGAGGAAUGCGGUUUGACUGCUUCGUGGGAUUUUGGUGGAAGAGGCAAGUGAGAGACAGACCCCAACAAGGGUUAACCAGCUGUGCCAGCAGUGGCACAAUGGAGACAAGGGCAGCUUUAAAUGAAAUGAAAUGAAUAUUUCAUUCGGCCACUCGGCUGCCUGCUCCAAUUGCCUCCUUUGCUGGGCUGAGAUCUUAAUCUAAAGUGACAACAACAUCAGUUUCAAUGUGCACCAGUCACACAGAACAUGACUUCCUUAACAUAAACACUAUUUACAUGGAGAGUCUGGCUAGAGCAGGGAACAGGGAGCGUGCCCAGCCGAGGAGCAAGGCUUACAAUGAAGGAGAGCUAACAAGCAACAGAGAAUUAGCAGAGGCAAAUGAAAGCCUGACCCUCAAAGGGCACAUCCCUGACACGUCUGAGAGCAAGGGGGGACGGACUCUGCAUGGCUAACCUGGCUUCUUGUAAUGACUGUGUCCUUUCAAAGGAACAAAAAUAAAAAUAGGACCUUUCCCCCCCAUUUUUGACACUUAGCUGAAUCCUACUUUGCAUGAUCUAAGAAGAAGGUUAUGUGGGAUAUUCUCAAACACCCAACUCGCUGACCCUAGCUCUUGUUCCUCCAUUAAUUGUCUUCCGUUCAUUUCCUCCGCAUCCCUGAGCAAUGGGCACUUUCAGUUGAGGUAGCAUUUCACAUUUCAACUUUCCGUAUAAGGAGGAUGCCGGGUUGCUGAUGGGGACGGGGAGGAAGGAAUUCAGUUCGGUUCACAUUUGCAGGCGAACCUGCCUCAUUCGCACUUUCCUAAAUGGUACCUGAGUCAAAACACAGCCAUUCUUCGUCAUGUUUAGGAAAGCUUUUAAUGUUUAAUAGGUUAUUGUAUUUUAGAGUUUUGUUGGAAGCUGCCCAGAGUGGCUGGGGAAACCCAGCCAGAUGGGUGGGGGUAUAAAUAAAUUAUUAUUAUUAUUAUUAUUAUUAUUAUUAUUAUUAUUUGCUCUUCUCUGAAUUUUGCAAUGCAGUCCUCCAGCCAGGCAAUGUGUCCAAAAACAUGCAUGGACUAGCACAGAAUGUACAUAAAAAUGUAUAUAUAAUUGUGGAAAAUAGUAUACAAAAUUGCUUUAUAUGGGGGGGGAAUUGCUUUGCAAAAAUGUGCGUAUUGGGCAAAAUUGCAUGCAAAGAUGUGUAUAUUAGGAGGAACUCACACUGAAAUGCUGAUGAAGUUCCAUGGCAACUCCCCUCCCCUUAAUUGCAAAUUUAUGCAGAAUUGUGAACUGCAUUUAAGACUGGAGAAGCUGGGAGAAACUGGAAUGGACAGAUUAGCCUAUCGCUAUUUUCAAACAGCUGUAAUUGACGGACCACCUUCUUCAAUACCCUGGGCAUUGCCCUUGCAGAAUUUUUUACCCAGUUCCCCCUGCUUCAGCUGGGGUAACUUGGAACACUUCAGAAAGAGAAGCCUUUGAUGUCUGUGUCCCCCAAGGAUACCCCACUGUCAUCCUCUGACUUUGGGCUCUCAAAUUGCAGUGGCAUCCUGUGCAGCGCUAAAAUUCACCUCUUGUGUUUCAUUCCACAGCGUCGUUGUGGUGUCCCUGUAGCACGACACCCAGUUCCGCUGCACUAUUCAUGCCACCCUAAAACCGCCCCUCCUCUGACUCGGAGGCAUCGAUUACAGAAGCCUUAGCUGAACUUUCCAAACUUUUCAUGUUGAUGACACACUUUUUAGACAUGCAUCAGUUCGCGACACAGGACGUGCGUGGCGCUGUGGGUUAAACCACAGAGCCUAGGACUUGCCGAUCAGAAGGUCGGCGGUUUGAAUCCCCGCGACGGGGUGAGCUCCUGUUGCUCGGUCCCUGCUCCUGCCAACGUAGCAGUUCAAAAGCACGUCAAAGUGCAAGUAGAUAAAUAGGCACCGUUCCAGCGGGAAGGUAAAUGGCGUUUCUGUGCGCUGCUCUGGUUCGCCAGAAGCGGCUUAGUCCUGCUGGCCACAUGACCUGGAAGCUGUACGCCGGCUCCCUCGGCCAAUAAAGUGAGAUGAGUGCUGCAACCCCAGAGUUGGCUACGACUGGACCUAAUGGCCAGGGGUCCCUUUACCUUUUUAAUUCAGUUUUACUAGCAAAACAGAGGUUAAACUAGCCCCUUUCCAGCUCUGGGAGAAAUUGUGGGGAGCGUUUGCACGACACAUCUACACACUACAUCCAACACACUAAGGUGUCGUGACACACAGUUUGGAAAGCUCUGCCGAGUGAGACCAUCUCUAUCUGUUUAUAGUCAGCCCAAGCCCUACCGAAAGCCUAGCCUAACUACAGAGAAGGACACACCCAUUUGCAAAAGUCAGGCUUGUUUAUAAUGUGCAAGCUCCAUUUCAAACUACUCAACAAUUGAUACACCCGUCCAUUUGGGCAGGUGUGCCUGAGAAGCAUUCCAGCCAGGGGUCUUGUUAUAGGAUGGUCUAAAGAGUGCUGAGCCCUGGGUUCUUUUUGCAGAGCCCUGCGUCUCUUCCUGCCUUUCCUUCCUUUUUAAAACUUCCUGUUAAAGUAUUUUCAUAUAGACUAGGCACAAUAUGAAAUGCAAAGUUGGUCCCCUGCCACCUUCAUCCACGCCCAGAGGCAUGGAUACAUAAAAAUUAGCAUAUGUAAACUAGUGUUUUGGGCCUGUGUCCCAAGUCCUUUAAGUACCUAGCAGCACCAGCCCUAAAAAACUGUUUUAGUAAUAAUUUAAGCAAGCAUCUCCUAAGCGUUAAAUAUGUUUUAAUAUGCUUGUCCCACCAGAGGAAAAAGAACUAUAGGAAUGUCAUCUCACUUUGCCUAGUCACAACACUAAGCCCCCCAGGAAAGCAGAAAUUACGAGAGAAGGUUCUCUUUAGAAAAUACAGAGAUCUCAGCGGCAUGGCCUUCAUGUUGAGACAUUUGCAUUCCACAUUAAGUGAUUUGUUGAAGCUCGUCUCAGUUUUUGCUUUCGUUAUGUGAAGAGACAAUUCCAUGCAGGCCAAUUCUGAUGCGACAGUACUCACUGUUUCCUCCCGACAUCCCGCUAAUUCCUGUAAAUGUUUCAGUCUUCCAGCAUUCUGGCCCGGCAUUGUGUGUUCAGGACAGUUAUCUGCAAAAAAAAGCUGUUUUCAUGACUCAUAUUCAAAUCACUGUUGUGUAUUGCCUGCACAAUAUUUUAUCCGUUUAUUCUUUCGCUGUGAGGGUGACAGCGAUGAUGAUGCUCUCCACUCAAAAACACAUGCAUUUCUCUAUGAAAGCAAUGUAGAUCUGAAUCCGUUUGAGCAUCACAUGUGAAGUUGAUUUAAUUAGGUAUUGUAUUACUCAUCCAAUCUUAGUUUUUGGAAGUAUGGAUCCAGUGAUCCUCUCAAGGCUACUGCGCAUUCUAGAUGCUUUUCUGAGCGCAGAUAUUUGCAGCACCCUUAACAUCUGCAUGCAUCCACUGCCACACAUGUGAACUUUUUGCUAAAUUUUAACGGGCCGCGAUACACACAUUUACAUCUAUUUAUAGCAGUAAGGUCUCACCUCCCAUGAAUUAUGAGUCUUUUUGCCAACAUUUACCUCUGCAAGUCAGAGUUGGCCAUCAAGGGGCCUCUUAAACCUUCAAUAUGAGCACAAGUAUCUAGUUAUAUUUAUCAGUUCCAUGGAUCAAAGUGGCAAACAUCAUCUCUGAUUUGUAAUUCCUGCAAAACUCCUUGUUACCUACUGGGAUUUUCUUUCUCUUGAGAAACAACUCGUAAAGAGAAAUAUGGCUGAGGGGGACAGGAACUCUGUCCAUUAUGGGCAAAGCUGCCUAAAUAUAAGCCAUCCAGAAAGUUAGGGAUGGGUACAAUCUUAACCAGUACUACAGGCACAGCUUCUGAUACACAACUAAUAGAGCAAUCCUAUAUGUGUCUACACAGAAGUAAGCCCCACCAAGGACAAUAGAGCUUUCUCCCAGGUGUGUGGAUAUAGGACAGAAGCAUAAGCAAAGCUGAUUUUUAGCAGGGAUUCAUGAAGGGUGGCUAAAAAGGAAAUACAGUGGACGCUCGGGUUGUGAACAUGAUCCAUGCGGGAGGCAUGUUCGCAAACCGCAGCGCCACGUCUGCGCACACGUGGGUUGCUAUUCAGUGCCUCUGUGCAUGCGCAAAGCGUGAUUUAGUGUUCCUGCGCAUGCACGAGCGCCGAAACCUGGAAGUAACCUGUUCUGGUACUUCCAGGUUCGGCGUGGUGUGCAACCCGAAAAUGCGCAACCUGAAGCGUCUGUAACCCGAGGUAUGACUGUAGUGUUCAGUUGGAGAUAACCCGAGAAAAAAGUUAUUUUAUUUAUUAGACUUAUAUACCUGUCCUUCACUCGCUAGCUAAAAAUUCAAGGUAAAAGCACAAAUAAAUAGUUAAAACAGAAACAACAAACCCCCCUCCCAGGGGCGGAGGAAGGGGGAUGUGGUGCGGGCAGACCACCCUAGGUGUCUUCGCUGAGGGGGGGUGUGACAUUUGGUGCAACACCAGCCCGCGACUCCCAAGCCUGCUCUGAGCCGUCGGGGUAAGGGGGGAGCUGCACUGCUUUGCUAGUGGGAUACCCACCUUCCCCCUUCGUUUGGAAAGCUUGGAGGAGGCUUGGGAGUUGUGGGAGGGUGGUGCGCCGAAUGUCCGCCGUCAGCGGCUCACUCUGCCCCCACGGGAGGUUUGCUCUGCCGCUGGCUGCAGGGUGCGCAUGCUGCUCGGGAGCACACCUGCCCUGGCCAGCGCGGGCAUAUGCUCCGCCGCUGCCCCCUCCCACAAACACAUUUAAAAGGCCGUAGAAUAUUAAUCAGCCAAAGGCCUCGUUAAAGAAGGACGUUUUUGCCUGGCACCUAAAAAUAUACAGUGGUACCUCGGGUUAAGAACUUAAUUUGUUGUGGAGGUCCGUUCUUAACCUGAAACCGUUCUUAACCUGAAGCACCACUUUAGCUAAUGGGGCCUCCCGCUGCCACCCUGCUGCCAGAGCACGAUUUCUGUUCUCAUCCUGAAGCAAAGUUCUUAACCCGAGGUACUAUUUCUGGGUUAGUGGAGUCUGUAACCUGAAGCGUCUGUAACAUGAACUGUAUGUAACCCAAGGUACCACUGUAUAAUGAGGCCACCAGACGAACGUCCCUGGGGAGAGCAUUCCACAGGUGGGGAGGCACUGAAGAAAAGGCCCAUUCUCAUGUUGCCACCAUCCAGAACUCUCACUGAGGAGGCACACAAAGAAGGGGCUCAGAUGAUGAUCUCAGGGUCCAGACUGGUUUAUAGGGGGAGAGGCAGUCCUUGUGGUAUAGCAUAUGCUAUUAUCUGGAAGGCUAUGCAGUGUAGUGGCUAAAACAUUUGGUGCCCUCCAUAAAUUUUGUACAACAACUCCUAUCACCCCCAAUAGUCAAGGAGGAAUGGAGUUGAAGUCCAAGCCAUCUUGAGGGUCACAGGUUCCCCACCCUUGAAGCAAGCUGCUACGAAUGUAAAGGUGUGCCUGUACGCCAAAGAGACUAUCUCCGAUAGGUGUCUGUGUUAAAUAGUUACUAGUGGCCAAACAGAUUAAAACAUUGAGAAGAACACAUCUUUCACGUAAUAACCAUCAUCUCACCAACAUACAAAAACUAGAAAUUAGAUUAACUUAGACCAGCUCCCUCAUACUUGAAAUACGAAUGCCUACUACAAGUAGAUUUAUUGAGGAUUAACAACUAAUAGAACAGUAUCUAUUUCAUGAUUGUUAAUCCCCAAUGAGUGCUUUUUAAAUAAUUAAUUGGCACUUAACGAAGGGAUUAUGUUCAUUGUGGUGUUGUAUGGGAAGCAAUAAAAGACUUCUAUGGAUGAUUAAAUGCCAAAGGGAGUAGUCUCAUGAUACAGAAGCAGAAAGAUGAUAAGGGGUGGGGGGCGGGUGGGGAAAACCAUGUAGAUCUAAGUGCUUUCCUGCUACCUACCGUACAGGAAAUAAUGCAUUUUGCUUGUCUGGAUGGAGGAUAAAGAGGUGGUUGUGGUGGGUGUAGAAACCAGCCUAAUGCACAAAGGAUUUUAUUAUUAUUAUUUGCUCCACCCACAUUUGCCUCUGGCCCCGCCUACCACUGACAUGUGGCCCCCCAAAACUUAUCCAGAAGGGAAUGUGGACCCCCUGGGGUUGAAAAAGCUUCCCAACUUCUGUUCUGGAUUGAUUUUUUUUAAAUUAAAAAAAUUAUAUCACUUGUGGACAAAAGGUUGUGGAAUGGAUGGAAUGUAACACCUAUUUCACUUCUACCAGUUGUAUGAUUUUGAUGGCAUUUCAGGAGAUCUAUGGCGGAAUAAUCAAGCUCAUUUAACACUCCUAAGUCAUAUGUAGAUGUUCUGUUAGCAGCUUGUCAUGGUCAGGGUGUGAUCUGGGUGAGAAUGGCUGUCCCCCCUCCCCUAGUCUCUGAAAAGUGAAGAGGAGGAAAAUGUUUCAUUCUGGUCCUUUGCUACUCCCCUUGUAAAGGACCAGAAUUUCUGGAGAAAGGAAGAACUGGGAACUUCCAUUGGCAUCUGAUGUAUUAAUCUGUUAUAGGAGCUUCAAGUUGGCUUUUGCUGCCUGAGGUUUGAUUGAGGCUGGUCUCUCUCGACUACACCUAUGGCCGCUAAAUUUCCUAUACUUUUGUUUAUUUUAUAAAAUUCAUUAUAAAACCUCAGGACUUGUCAUUGUAGACACUGAGAACCAGUGUCUGUUUGUUUGAAAAAGACCAUAUCCUGCAAUUUCAUUUUUUAAAAAAUCAAAAAAUACACACACAAAAUAAAAGCCACAUAAAAACAAAUAUCGCAUAUCACAGCCUAGCUGUAAAUUAUAUCCCCCCCCCCCUUUAAUUAGCUACAUACGCCUGGUGGCAUAGAAUAGCUUUUAGCAAACAUUUCGAAAUGCAUAGGGAGGAUACUUGCUGAAUCUCUGUUGGAAGAAACUGAGCUGAUAAUAGGGUUGUGUUGACAUCAGAUGAGCCUUACUAGCUCUGGGGACAACCAUUGAUGCUCCUACAGGUGAUCCCAGUGCCUGAGCCGGAGUAUAAUGGUUUAGGUGGUCCCUAAAGUUCCUUGGAGGGACGCGGGUGGCGCUGUGGGUUAAACCAUAGAGCCUAGGACUUGCCGAUCAGAAGGUCGGCGGUUCGAAUUCCCACGAUGGGGUGAGCUCCCGUUGCUCUGUCCCUGCUCCUGCCAACCUAGCAGUUCGAAAGCACGUCAAAGUACAAGUAGAGAAAUAGGUACUGCUCUGGCGGGAAGGUAAACGGCGUUUCUGUGCACUGCUCUGGUUCACCAGAAGCGGCUUAGUUAUGCUGGCCACAUGACCCGGAAGCUGUAUGCCGGCUCCCUCGGCCAAUAAAGCGAUAUGAGCGCCGCAACCCCAGAGUCGGUCACGACUGGACCUAAUGGUCAGGGGUCCCUUUACCUAAAGUUCCUUGGACUCCAGUUGUUCAGGGCUUUGAAAAUUAAAUCAAGAACUUUGUACCUGACCAGGUAGCAGAUGGGCAGCCAAUGCAAAUGCUUUACCAAUGGUAUCACAUCCUGUCUGCUAUCUGUACCUGCUGGACUUAUUCUGCCAUGCCAAUAGAGCCCCAUGCCUCCCAGCUGACUGGGGACUCCUACCCUGGGCUCCAUACAAGCUCUGCACAUGCUUUUCCCAAACUGAUGCUCUCUAUGUGUUUUUAGACUACAACUCUCAUCACCCUUGACCAAUGGGCAUGCUUACUGGGAGCUGUAGCCCAAACUCUUUGUAGUCCUCCUCUGGAGGGCACCAGGUUGGUGAAAACUGUUUUAGAGAAAGGGUAGUUUGCUCAUCUCAGUUCUGAAGGGGGUCAAGCCCUCGCCGUGUCUACCCCUCCUGUCUUCCCGCUGGACAUGUUUACACGUGCAAUGUAAAUAACCUCCCCAGCCUGUUAGUGUAUUUUAAGAGACUUCAGAGGUUAUUUACAUUACAGAUGUGUUUCCUUAAACCCAUCCGUUCCUGAGUAGUGGUAUGUUUUGACAGAAGCGUCUCUAUGAAAUUAUAGAUUGCACAAAUGGAGCUGAAUUCAAGUCAAUCACAGGGGAGCAAACUCCACGAAUCUCGAUGAGGUCACACACCUCCUGAAGGAUGCAGUUUGUUAAUCCGAUAUCGCAACCAAGGAAUUCCAUUAAUAGACUUGCAUGCACGCAACGGCUGUAGAGAUCCUUGCUUCUGACAGUGAGUAAUGUGUGGGUGAGAGAGAGAGAGAGAAGGGAGGGUGGAGAGGAGGAGGAGGAAAGAGAGACAGAGACAGAGAGAGGCCCUAGGCAGCUGAACAGAGAAAGAGUUGAAGUGAAAGGGACCACAGUUGGAUGGUCAAUCUACCAACAGUGUCUCAUAUAUAUAUAUAUAUAAUUAGUUUUUUAACAUAUCAUUUUCAACAGUAAUUAAACAUACUUUUACAUCUUAUACAAUUUUUUUGACUUCCAGCAAUCUCAUCUGAAAAUUUACCAAUCUAAUCUCUUAGUAUACAUUUCUUUCUUUCCCCAUUACAUUUAAAUCUCAUAACUAAUAUCUCUAUUCUUUUUCUACUUUGUAACGCCAUAUAUUUCUCCUUACAAAACUUCUUGUAGUCCUACUAGCGUAAUUUCUUGAUUGCAAUUGCUCUUCAAAUAAUUCAUAUACUUCUUCCAAUCUUCUGUGAAUCUCUGGUCCCGCAGGUUUCGAAUCCUUCCUGUCAUUUUUGUCCAAUUCUGCAUAGACCAUUAAUUUUGUCUGCCAUUCUUCUUUCAUCGGAAUUUCUUCUUGCUUCCAUUUCUGGGCUAGCAAUACUCUUGCCUCUGUUCAGUCUACCGACAGUGUCAAGCCAGAAGCUCAGUUGAGGGCUGUAGCGCAAUGGUAGAGCCUUGAAUGCAUCAGGUACCUGGCAUCUGCAUUUAAGUGUGGGAGAGGCUUCUGUCUGAAUCCCUAGAGAGCCUCUGCUGGUCUUUUGUCUGAUGGGUCAUUUGUCUGUCUCGGUACACAGCAGCAUCCUAUGAAACAUAAGCCCUAUUCAAUUCUUCUACUUUGUUUUUUUUUAAAAAAAUGAUAUUUAUUGAAAAUUUUUAAAAUUACAGAAAAAGACAAAGCAGAGAAAGAAAAAAGAAAAAACAGAAAAGAGAAAAAAACGAGCCACAUCCAACAAUACAAAUUCAAAAAACAAAAAUACACCACAAACAGAUAAAAAUAAAACCAACAUUCUCAAAUCUUCAACUUUCAUUACCUUCUUUCUUUGACCUCCUCCUCCUCCCUUUUUUUGUAUCCCAGUUAAUAAUUAUCGCAGCAAAUCUUUUCCAUAUUUCAUAAUAUUCUGUCAUUACAUUACCUUAAUCUAUUUUCAUCUUAUCUUAUAGAAAACCUUAAAACUUAAAACUUAAAUCUUAUUUUUACCCACUUCUCAUAACCAUAAUAUUCUUGCCUAAUUCUUUAAACAUUUUUGCUAGAGCCAAGUAGUUUCGUUCCAACAUUUUUCUAACAGUCAUCAAUUUUAUAAAACAAUCCUAGUGAUAAAAAAAAAGAAAUAGAAACAAUCCAAUCUUCAUCCAGUGUCCCUUCCUCCUGGUCCUGGGUUUUGUCAGUCCUUUUUAUCCCAUCGAUCUAGCGCAUUAACCUGGUAACCUUAUAUCCGAGGCCCUUAAGUCCCUUCCAUGUCCCUUCCGCAGCUCUUCUUCAUAUUCACCUUUUACUCGUGGGAACUCCAACUUGGUAAUGUUUUUGACCCUUUUCAACAAAUCAGCCCCUUUUCCAUAGUCCAGACUAAACUCCAUGUAGUAUUUAAAAACAUGUUUCAGAAUCCCUCCAAAAUUGAGAGCCCCUCUCACGGCCCCUCAAUUCUUCUACUUUGGAGUAAAGGUGGCAUGCAAGGAGGGGCAUGUAAAAUAGCUGCACCCUGAGGUUUGUUCCACACCAACCCUCCGUGGUGUCUGUGCAUACAGCACAAAAGUCUGCCCUGGUGGGUGGGUGGGGAGCAGGAAGGAUCCAGGCACACAGCACAACACACCAUGGGUUCUCCACAGUGUGAAGCCUUGAUUGCUCAGUGUCAGAAUCCCAGCCCGACCCAGACACUGGAGAGACAUCUUCAGACUCCACACAGCAUUCCCACUCCUGAAGACAUAGAAUCAUAUAGUUGUAGAGUUGGAAGAGACUCUGAAGGCCAUCUAGUCCAACCCCCUGCAAUUCAGGGAUCUCAGCUAAGCAUCCAUGACAGAUGGCCAUCCAAUGAAGGAGAGUCCACAACAUCCUGAGGGAGACCUGUUUCACUAUCCAACAGCUCUUGCUGUCAGAAAGUUCUUCCUGAUGUUCAGUCAGAAUCUCCUUUCUUGGAACCGAAAGCCAUUGCCUCAAGUCCUGCCCUCCAGAGCAGGGGAAAACAAGCUUGCUCCAUCUUCCAUGCGACAACCCUUCAGAUAUUUGAAGAUAGCUAUCGUAUCUCCUUUCAGUCUCAUCUUUUCUAGCCUAAACAUACCCAGCUCCUUCAACCCAGCUCCUUCAAUCGUUCCUCAUUUGACUUGGUUUCCAUACCGAUGUACACUGGGUAACAUAUACUUGCAGUUUCACAACCCUCAGCGAAACAUAGAAACACAUAAAACAUUUUGCCAAACUUGAUGAAAAAAGAAAAUUGUGUUAAAAGUACAGCUGAUAGGGAUUUUUAACUUGCUGUAGCUGUAAGGUGUUUUUUUACGGUUGCAUUUGCUGAGUCAUUUCACAUUUUUGUUUAUGGUUACUGUUUAUUAAUAAAGGGAUGGCAAGUAGACCACUAGUGGUUGUGUGUCGAACAUGGGGAAGCAGACUGAGACAGCAAUAUCACAAUUUUUUUCUCAGUAGGAAGGAAACCUCAUUAAUUUCAAGAGGAGUUCUGUGCUUAGGCUGUCAUACUAUACUCCUAUGUACCGGGGGCAAGCUUCAUUGCAAGCAAUGGGUCUUACUCUGAGAAGACAUUUAUGCAAUUGCACUUUUGUGUACUGGAAGUUGUGUGUCUGUGUCUGUAUGUUUGUGUGUGUAGGGGAGGGUAUCCCCUACUAGAGCAAUUUCUCUAAAAGCAGUAGGGGGCUGGAGCAGAGGGAACACUCUGAACAUUAAGUAUAACACAGCUGCGCUCUGUUUAUGCUUAGGCUACAAUAAAAAAAGCUAUAAAAUUUGAGAUGUCAGAGCUCCACUUUGCUUUAUUUAUACUGUUUCCUCUGAGCUCUGUCACCCAGCACAUUCAUCUCCUCAGCUCCAGCAAGAACAGCAAAGAUUAAAAUAUCACAGCUCAAAAUAGGAGUCAAGAGGAAGGAGAUUCAUCAUAGCCCUAUUAUUAUUUUUAAUGUACCAAAAAAUGUAAAUAGGGCAAUGAAGUUGGCUUACAGUCAUACCACUCUCCUUUUGGGUGGGUUUUAGUGUAUGGAAUGGGGAAGGUUUUGCAGAUCUGAGACUUCCUUGGAGCGGGUGAUGUAUUAUGCAAAUAACAGGGGUCUUGGUGGGUCUUGCUAUUUUUAAAAAAAGACUCAUUCAUCGUUUUCUGGGGUUUCCCCUUGUAGAAGCAGAAAAGCUCAGGGUAGCAUUUUUGAAAAUGAGUUUUAAAUAGGACACCUACAUACCAGAUCCAGACUAAGUUAGCAGAUCCUGGUUUCUGCUGAAAGCAACAAGUCCCAAUUGUUCCGGAGUGUGGUUGACACUUCAGUGUGUGAAGAAGUGGUCGCCGGUCCCUUGAAAGAGAAAGCAGUGUGGCCAUUUCUAAAGAAGAUGGCUUAAAACUUGUUAGUUUGGGCAAGUGCCUUCUUUUGGAGGACAAUGGCAGAGAGAGUUGCCUUUUAUUGAGAGCAAGACAACAUUAGGUAAAGGUAAAGGGACCCCCCUGACCAUUUGGUCCAGUUGUGAUCAAGUCUGGGGUUGCGACGCUCAUCUCGCUUUAUUGGCCGAGGGAGCCGGCGUACAGCUUCCGAGUCAUGCUUCUGGUGAACCAGAGCAGUGCACGGAAAUGCCGUUUACCUUCCCGCCGGAGCGGUACCUAUUUAUCUACUUGCACUUUGACGUGCUUUUGAACUGCUAGGUUGGCAGGAGCAGGGACCGAGGAACGGGAGUUCACUGCGCCGUGGGGAUUUGAACCGCCGACCUUCUGAUCGGCAAGUCCUAGGCUCUGUGGUUUAACCCACAGCACCACCCACGUCCCCAAGGCAACAUUGCUCCUUCUCAACCUUUCUGCAGCUUUUGAUAUCAUAUUCUCUGCGGGGUGGGUACUGGAUACACCAUCUUCCAGUGGCUCCAGGCCUACCGAUGAAGCAGAGAAUAGUAUUGGGAGAACGUUGGCAGUUAUGCUAUGCGGUGCCCCAGGCAAUUGGGAGCGAGCAGUAGGGGUUUUGAGGCAAGGUGCCCCCAAUAUGCUGACGACACCCUGUUCGAUUUAUCCACAACAUCUGAGUCAGCAGAGGGUGUGUAGGGCUUAGGCUGCUGUCUGAAUGCAGUGAUGUGCUGGAUGAGGAAAAGUUAGGCAAGCAUGAAUCCUGGCAAGACAGAGGCUCUGUGGGUGAGUGGUACUUGUGUCAGGGAAACUGGCCAGUUGCCUAUGGAUGUGGUUGCGCUUCCUCUGAAGUAGCACAUAUGCAGCCUCGGGGUCUUCAUGGAUCUAGCCAUGCUACUGGAGGCCCAAGUGGCCUUGCUGGUAAGCGGUACCUUUCCCAGGUUUGAAUUUAAUUCUAAAUUAUAUUCCGGAAACGUGGGAGAUUUCAAGGGGUAAAAAAAAUAUGGAUGUACCGUGCUAUAUUAGAAGCAAAAAAACUUGUGUUGAUGAAUUGGAAGAGCCACAAAAGGAUUCCAUUGAGCACAUGGAUUGAUAAUAUGGACAGAUUAGCUACAUACUAACGAAUAGCAUGUCGACGCAAAAUAAGAAUGGAUAAAUAUGAAGAAAUCUGGAACUAAUAUUUAAGCAAUAAGGCAGAUAGUGGUGGGAAGCAGGGGGAGGAGAGAGAGGUGGGAAAAUAUUUCCCUCCUCGGGGAAAGCCUCCAAGAGCCGCACACAUGCUCCGCACGCUCUUUAAAGGGAGAGUGGCUCUUGGGGGAGCCUUCAUCCCACUGCCCAGGAGAGGCUGCGCGCGGCUAUCCCAUAACCCAGCGCAGCAAGAGGGAUCGCUGCGCAGCAAUUCUACUUGCUGUCCUGGCGUCUGGCUUAGCGUGCGGCUCUUGCGGGAGGUGGUGGAAGGGACAGAGCACGCAGCUCUGAGCGCCACCUCCCAGGAAAGCCCCCAAGUGCUGCACGGAGCUUGGGGGCUUGGGGGUUUGUCCUCCUCGGGGAAAAGCCUGCAAGCACCGCACACACGCUCCACGCGGCUCAUGAAAGGGAGCGCUGAGCAGAGCCUGGAAUGCAUACAGGCUCUGCUCAGCCCUCCCUUUAAAGAAUAUUUUCCCCCUUGCAUUCUCCCUCUAAAAAUUAGGUGCUUCUUAUGGUCAGGUGCGUCUUAUUGAGCGAAAAAUACGGUAAAUAAAUUAGCUGCAAACCUACCUGCUGGAAUUUACUGAGAUUUGAGGAGGGAGGUUCUAUCAAAUGCUGAUUUCAUCUGUCCUCUAAUACAGAGGUUUUCAACCAUUUUGCGUCCAUGACUCCCUUGACCAACUACAUUCUAUUUGCAGCAUCCCUGUGGGACUCAGGAACCCAGUUAAGUCACCCCUUACCUGCAGAGCUGGCAACCUCUCACCCUUUUUCGAACACCCUCCCUUGUGGAGUGUUCCCUCAGCCUCCUCUCUUCUCCCUUCUCCUCUGGGCAGCCGCAGGUGCUGCCCCUGGUCUCCUAGCCAGCCCCAGAGGUACCAUUCGCCUGGGGAGCUUGUAGCCAGGGCUGCUGCAACAAACCUUUGGGAGGCUGUCAGAUGUCGGUGGUGGUUGCUCGUGAGGAACCAGUCAGGACUCAGACCUGUCUUUUACAGGUUUUUAUUUUGGUGCAAACUAUUUACAGUGCAGAGCCACAAGUUCAUGUCUGCCUCAAUUGCUAGCAGAAUCUGGGAGUGGUUGUUUUCUGGACCUCCCCCAACAUAAAAAUCUUGUUACUCCCAGCCUUUUCCUUCCCUCUUUGUGCUUUAGACCUCUGCGCAGGGUGGGCGACGGAAGGGGCGUGCUUCCCUCCUGGCCGGCUUGGCCAGGAGCGGUGCUGAGGCUCCCCGCAGCAUCCUCUGGUCCUUUCCCCUCUUCCCCACUGGAGGUGGGGCUUUUCCUCGCCACUGGAAGAGGAACUGCUUCACAAGAUUUUCGGAGGCUCCCUGUAACCCAGUGGCCCCUCUGCUUCCCGACCCUGUUCCGAUGGCAGUACCCUGACAGAGGCAAAGAUGUGAGAGGGCAUCAGAGGAGGGAGGGAAGGAAAAGGACAGAGGUCAGUGUUGCCUGUGGCACCCCUGACCAUCAUUCAGGGCACCCCAGGGUGCCAUGGCACACUGGUGGAAAACCACUGCUCUAAUAGAAUGUGGAAGUGGAAGUUAAUGAAAUGCCAUGAAAUUCUGCAAAGAAUUAAUAGAAAGGGAAGUCAAAUUUAUCAUCUUCUGUAGCAAACAAUCAGCUCCAGAAAUGUCAAGAGGACAUAACCAGUUUCUGCCGUAUAGGCGUUUCGAAUUAAAGUUUCCUAAAUGACGGCUAAGCCAGAUCCAUUCAAACAAAAUAUUCUACAGCUGGACGCCUUUAAAUAAUAAGAAUGAAACACAGGUAAUCCAGUAAAUCCACUCAAGAUUAAUAUUUACGCAAACCCCGAAGGCUUCCCGAGGUCUGCUGUGUUUCAGCGUUUAGGCAACCCUACACAAUAAAAGCAGAACAGGCCAUUUGCUAUCAGUUACAUUUUAACCAGAGGUUUUCCUAAUGCCAGUUGGCUGACAUUGAUGCUUUGCUGACUUAAUAGCAUUUGUUUAGAUAUAUUUAGUAACAGUCUUAAUGUUGUCUAGACUACACAUCAAAAUGACUGCUAAUGCAGCUCUGAUCAAUUUUCUGUAAAAGGACAGGCCAGCAAAAAUAAGUAAGCAUGGCUUGUCAUGUUUGCAAUUAAUAUAUAUAUAUAUAUAUAUAUAUAUAUAUAUAUAUAUAUAUAUAGUAAAGUAUCACCGAAAUGGAGAUCGUAUUUGAGCUAAGCAAGAUAGUAUGUACAAGAGUUCAGCUGCAUCUUACUUAAACUUAGAAUGCAUAUGUACAUGAAGCAUUCCUUGUGGGGUAGGGGGAGGUAGCUCAGCUCCCCCCCCCCCAGGAUCUUAUAAAAGGGGGUGUCUGCAUCUUGCUCCAUCUUGCUCCUUUCAAAGCAUCAUGGGAAAUGUAGUUUGCCCAUCACAGAGUGACAACUCCCAGCACCCUUAACAAAGCACCCCAGGUUUUUUUGGGAGAAGUUGUGUGCUUUAUGUGUAUGGUGUGCAUGAUGCCUUAUUUCCCAUUGGACUCGGUGAGGUUUCUUACAUUGCAAUUAACUUGCCCUGUUUUCAGUGUGACCUAAGAUCAAGCUCCAUAGCUUGGCCAGAAGAGCACGAGACUCUUAAUCUUAGGGUUGUGGGUUUGAGCCCCAUGUUGGGUAAAAGAUCCCUGCAUUUCAGGGGGUUGGACUAGAUGAUCUUGGUGGUCCCUACCAACUCUACAAUUCUAUGAUUCUAUGAAGUCUUGAAGUGUGGAUCCAACCCAAAGUACAUGCUUGCACGCCUUCCAAAUCUGCUGAUUUCCACUUUUGCCACUCAGGUUUUGAAUUCAAAUUUCAAAUGUCAGCAUGGUCCCAGGAGAGCUACACUGUAUGCUUUUUCUCAAAGUGUCGAUUGGCUCUAUGUUCAACAUCCCAGCAAGGAAGGCCUGGUUUGUAGCUCCAUUAGCUGACAACCCACUACUGGCAUUAGAACAAAACGUGGAGCUGGCAACCAUCAAUACGGACAGCUUUGUUGAAGGCAGAGCUUGGUAAGCAGAAAACAGAAAAAUGGCAGCAUUGCUGAGGCUGCUAACUUGCCCUGCUUUCAGAUCAUUUCCAGGGUGUCCAUUUUCACUCUGAGGCAAAGGUGUUCUGUUUACGGAGCUUUGUCACAGACACCUGUGGCCAUUCAAUGGCACGUGGCUUAGCUAGGCACACCUCGAGGUACAGAGGAACUUUCAUCUCAGCCAUCGUUGCCCUUAAAAGCUCAUUAAGCUCACAUGCAGAAUCCAGCGGCAAGGUUAUAUUGCGCCCAUUGACAUUGUUUAAUGUUAAAGACAAAUGAUUAUUCUUUUCUGUAUACACCGCGGGAACUUUUUAAGUGUAUAUUGUCCUUGGAGUAAUGCGAUAUGUAAAUGUUAUUGUUAGGAAUUUGGCACUUGGCAAUAUAUUUUACGUCAUAUAGCUGCCUUGGCUGAACGCUAGCUUUGGUUUUAGACAGUGUACCCUUGUAAGCCAGGGAUGGUUGGCAGAGAUCACCUGGGAGCUUUUCGUGUCGGUGAACUGACAGCUUGUAUUGGUUUUCUGCACCCUGCUUUAAAUCACCACAUUGCAUCAACACUCAACUAACUAAAUUGCAUUCGUUCUGGAGUUGGGAACCUGUGGCAUUCCAGAUGUUGUUGGACACCCCUUCUGCCCCAGGGUUGGUGGGAGUUGUAGUCCAGCAACACCUGCAGAGAUUCAAGUUCCCCGCCUGUGUGUUAUGUUGCUGCUGCAAACCCUUCCAUGCCCUGAAGAAAUGGCCAGGAAUUCUCAGCAAGGUGGCCAGGAAAGAUGAUGGAACAUUGUCCCUGUUUGCUGUGGCAGCUAGAAAUACUUUUUUAAUCUUAGUGUUGUUGUCUUUUAAAAAGCUAAAGUAAAAGAGAGAGAGACAGAGAAGUCACAGCAGGAACCAUAGCUGUCAAGUGUCCCUUAUUUGGCGGGAAAGUCCCUUAUCCCAGCGCCGUGUCCCGCUGCUGUCCCUUAUUGAUGAUGUCCCUUAAAUUUCCUGGGUUUCGAAAGAAGCAGCUCCUCUCCCUCCCUCCCUUCUGGCCAGGGAGGAGGGAGACUCCAACUGUGUUGCUUGGCUGCAUUGCUCACCCAAUAAGGAGUCUAAGAACGACUGGGGGGUGGAGCUUGCAUGCCUUGUGCCGAUCAAAUUGGCCGCGUUGCCUGGGGACUCGCCUUUGCUCAGCGCUUCCCAGUGGAGAGGUGACAGUGGUUUUCCUUGCUGCAUCCCCUUUGCUGGGUUGCUGUGCUGUGGGAACCACUUCUUGAGGCUACCUGGGCUUUCUGCCUUUUGCUUGGAGGGGCUCAGAAGUUGAACAUACCUGUACUUGGAAAAUCCCUUAUUUUGGCUGCUGAUCCCUUAUUUUCAAGGCUGCUGGUCCCUUAUUUUCAAAUCUGUAAGUUGACAGCUAUGGCAGGAACACAGGCAUUUUCCUGGCCACCUGUCAGAAUGCCUGGCCCUGAGGAGAAGGUCCCGUUUGGUUCUUUUCCCACGCUUGGCAAUGAGUGAGUGCCCAGUGAGUUAGGCUCCUGAGGGUCUCUUCUGAACCCUGGGGCCUUCAAUCAGGACUGACUGAUGGUGCCAGGCCUGCGCUUGGUCACAGUCUUCCCCACUAUGGUGAGACAUGCUAUAUUUGUGCUUGAAAGGAGGUAAUUAUUUCUAAAUUUGCACCUAUACAGAAAAAUUAGCAUAUUUAUUUAAUUUAUUUAAAAUAUUUAUAGGCUGCCAUUAAGAGUAAAACUUGCUCAAGGCAGCUUUCAAGGCGAAUGCAAAUUGUAUGCAAAUCCCUGUCUUCUUUUUUGGAUGUGUGUGUGUGUGUGAUGCAUCUGGCAAUGCAAUGCAACAUUGGCAAUGUAAAAGCUCAGGCAAUGCAGAAGUGGCUGCCCUAAUGGGUCAAUACAAUCUGACGCACAUUCUCUUGGCAAUCGAAAGGAGCUGCUCUCCCUGCUAUGUUGCAUUCCUGAGAGUGGAGGAAGUUACCAUGAGUUCCUGCUGGAUGUCUGUUUAUGAUCUGCAAACUUUUGAAAAAGUCAGUAUCGUGCUUAGAAAGGAAUUCCCCUUUGAUCCAGUAGGAUCCCUUUGACUCCCUUCCUCUGCUUUUGAAUAUAUCAUCUUAAGAGAUACUGCAGAACCUCCCCACCAUUAAACUUUGACAGAGGAGUACCUUCAUUUGAUAAGCUUACAGUCGUCUCCACAUUUCCCUGGCCAUAAGUCCCACCAAACACAAUGGGGCUACUGCUGAGUAGACGUGCAUAGGCAAGCACUGGCCAUUCAGUCUGCUGGUCUCAAAGCUAACUCUUUCUCACCGGACACUGGAUAACCCACCCCUCCAUCCACACGAGGCAACACUGAGGGGCUGAAGGGUAUUCAGCCCUCCCAAUAAAAUAUUUGAGGGGGCAUUGCCAUUCAAAUGGUGUGCGUGUGCCGCACCAUGCGAUCGAUUAUGUGGGGUGGAGCUUACCUGCAACCCCCGCCCCCAAUAUUUUAUUCAAGUUGGCACCUCUGCCUCCAGUUUGACUCUUUUCAACCUUAUUCUGGAGUUGCCCCUCAUACUGCUAGCAUGGUGUGUGUGUGUGUGUGUGUGUGUGUGUGUGUGUAACAAGGGGGGUGCAGUAGGUGCAGCACACCCCAUGUGUCCCCACUGAGGGGGGUGACAAAAUGGUGGGCGGCACUCAUUGCAGGGCCUGCAGCCAUAGCUGUCAACCUUCCCUUUUUUGGCAGGAAAUUCCCUUAUUCCAGCGCCGUUUCCCGCUGCUUCCCACUGCUAUCCCGGAUUGUUAUAUAUCCCAUAGACUGUCCCCGGGAGAGGUGAGGCUGCUGAUCCCUUAUUUUCUAAUCUGAAAGUUGACAGCUAUGCUUGCAGCGUGCCCCAGUCACGCAUCUCUCCUGGGAGUGGCGCAGUGGCUCGAGCGCCUGCAGGCUCCACCCUGCCCCAAACAGUCCGCCCGUUGCCUCCCCCUCAGCUGUAGGGUGGCUGAGUGGGAGGAGGCAGGCAGACUCCUUGGAGGCCCUGAGGUGCCCCCGCGGGCAGCUGGCCCCACCCAGCGCGCGAUCAGCUUGCUCCGCCGCUGGGGGUGAACAUGCUUCCCCAUUGGGAGAAAGUCUUGAGGGGCUUUCAUCCAAAUGGGAGGGGAGAGCACAAGAUCACCUGCUUCCUUUUGCGACUGAUCAGAGCAGGGUGAGCAACCUUCUUUUUUUUUUAAUAUAAAUUUUAAUUAUUUUUUUAACAUAUCAUUUUCAAAUAAUUAAACGUACUUUUACAUCUUAUACAAUUUUUUUUGACUUCCAUCAAUCACAUCUGAAAAUUUUCAGUCUAAUCACUUAAUAUACAUUUCUUACUUUCACUAUUACAUUUAAAUAUCAUAACUAAUAUCUCUCUUCUUUGCAAUAUUUCAUAUAUUCCUCCUUACAAAACUUCUUGUAGUUCUAGUAGCGUAAUUUGUUGAUUACAGUUGCUCUUCAAAUAGUUCGUAUAUUUCUUCCAAUCUUCUGCAAAUCUCUGGUCCCACAGGUUUCGAAUCCUUCCUGUCAUUUUAUCCAAUUCUGAGUAGUCCAUUAAUUUUGUCUGUCAUUCUUCUUUCGUCAGAAUUUCUUCUUGCUUCCAUUUCUGGGCGAGCAACCUUCUUUGAAAGGAGACUCCACCCACACAACCACUUCCUUCUCAUUGCCGCAGCUUCCUCCAGUGGUGGUUUUAGGGUAGUGUGACAGGUUCAGCGGCGCUAGGCACCAGUGCCAUGGGGGUGCUGCAACAAUGAUGCAGAACGGAGCACAAAUAGGUGUGUGCGUCUGUGCAUGUGUAUGUCAAAUUUUAAUGUUGCACAGGGUACUGCUGAAAUUUGAGAACCCAAACUCCUCCUCUGCUUCCUCUGUCCCAUCCUUGGGCAGUGUCCGGAUUAACCAGUAGGAAUCUGUUGGGUGCUCCUCAAUUGGCCUUUGGUGCAGUACCCUGCCUAAUCCACAGUGCCCUCUUGUGAUUGGUUUCCAGUGGGUUUGGGCUUGUGAAUUUGGCAGGAAGUGGAUUUGGUCAUCGAUAAGCACCCCAGAGGCACACUUGGGCAUGGGGCCCCUUCUCCAACCUCCUUCCACAAUGGACCAGCAUGGGAAGCUGUGUGGUCGAGUGCUCCUGGGGACUUGGUGAGUGCCCCCUGCUGAAUAGCAGAGAUAGGGUACACCGGUCAUAUCACAAAAACCCAUGGCUUCCCUUCUUGGGAAGCUGGGAAACUUUGACUCACGUAUCACUGCUAGGCUGAUGUAGCACAGGUCAGGCAGUGUUACCCAGCUUGGUAGAAUGAAGGUUUACCCUCCUGCUGGCACGCGUUCAACCUACCCACGUUUAGCUAAGUGGGAUGCAUAUCCCCAAGUAGUGUUCAGCAAGUAUAAUGCUAAAACAAAGCUGGCCUCUGCAGCCUCUUGAGUAACUCUGGCUCUUCCUGGGGAUUUUGUAUUUUUAACACAACCUCUUGACAUCUAUGGGACGUGGGUGGCGCUGUGGCUUAAACCACAGAGCCUAGGACUUGCCGAUCAGAAGGUCGGCGGUUCGAACCCCUGCAACCCCAGAGUUGGUCAUGACUGGACCUAAUGGUCAGGGGUCCCUUUACCUUUACCUUGACACCUGCUUCAAGCCUUUGGAAUGGAGUAUGUUGCACUGCUCACUAACUAAGCAAGCUAAGUGAUUAAGCCAAUAAACUGGAAUGCCCCAAAGCUGCUGGAGAAUCUUAAGUAACGCAGAUACAUUGCAGCACGCCAUUUGUACGUGUUUUUACAGCACGUUUUGCUAGGCUGGAAAUACUCAGAGCACACCUAGCAAAAGCUAUCCCAUAUCACCCCAGCCUGCAGAGCUAGAUACUUGGUGAUAUCUGUAUCUUGUAAUGCUAGAUGAUUUGUUCCUUGUCUGGAUGUUUUGAUUUUGGUUGAAGAAAAAAACAAGAACCGCCAAUGGUAUGGAGAUGACCUAUGGUUGUAAGCAAUGAAGGAUUAAAUAAGAUGUCUGGCACUUUGAACUAGGAGAAAGAAAGAAGAAAUCAGUGUGGAGCAUAUACACAUAUGGUUUUAACAAGGGAUGGUAUUCACGUGUGUCCUUAAAUACCAGAGCUAGCUAUAUGGUGCUACCCAAAAGGAAGUUGGUUUUGGUUCACAUCUUAAUGUGCACCUACCUAAUUUGUAUUUUCUGAAAAAAUACACUAGGUCCCCAGUUUGGAAACCAGAUCUGGUGUCCAAAGGAAAUUUUCAUCCCCUCUCCCAAAGUUUCCGAUUAUUUUAGUGGAAGUGGCAAAAAAGAGUGUAGACACAGUGUAUGGAGUAUGUGUGUGUGGAGUUCAGCCUGCCGACACGGAUGCAAAUAGCCUCAUUCCCAGUCACCAAAUCAUUUGAUGUGUGGAGAGGCAGUGAUAGACACCCCCCCUUAGUUGUUCUGCACAGAUCAGCUGAGGGGGGGGGGGCUGCGUGCCAGUGUGUAGGUGCAUGUGAGAAUGUGUAUGAAUAUUUGGGGUGGGUACACUCACCCCAAAUAUUCAGCCCUGAGUGCUCACUGGAAGGACAGAUCCUGAAGCUGAGGCUCCAAUACUUUGGCCACUUCAUGAGAAGAGAAGACUCCCUAGAAAAGACCCUGAUGUUGGGAAAGAUGGAGGGCACAAAGAGAAGGGGACAACAGAGGACGAGAUGGUUGGAUAGUGUUCUCGAAGCUACCAGCAUGAGUUUGACCAAACUGCGGGAGGCAGCGGAAGACAGAAGUGCCUGGUGUGCUCUUGUCCAUGGGGUCACAAAGAGUCGGACGCGACUAAACAACAACAACAACAACACUCACCUUUGGCCACACUUAGUAGUUACUGUGACCCCUGGAGGUUGGGUAAGGAUGGAUGUGUUGCUGUUUGUUGUUGUUGUUUUUAAAUGGGUUAGCCCUGCAAUAUGUAAGCCACAUUUUGGGAUGAUGCUGUUUUCCAACCCAAACCUGUGUACAAAAAUGAAUGUAUUAGGGGAAAGGGGGAUGAUCAUGCAAACAUGCAAAUUAGGGAAUGUAGCUUGCAAUAAUAAUAAUAAUAAUAAUAAUAAUAAUAAUAAUAAUAAUGUGUAUAUUAGAAGGAAAAUGGACUUAAAACGCUGACAGAUGUCUUCAUGAGGACAUUUUUAAAAAAAUGCAAACUGAAAUGGUGAACUGAAGACUUUCAAAAACUGAGAAAAUGAAAUGGACCGAUUCAUCUGCUCUUAGCUGUAAAUAUGGGUGCUGGGCUGGUCCUCCCAUUGUACAGAAUGAAGCAGCUGCUUCAAGCAACAAGUUCUGGAAGGCAAAGGAGAGAUGGUGGAGUGUUGGAGAACAGAGCUGUGUCCUGCAAUGCUCCUGCUGUCCUGAGGUGCGCUGUCCUGUUGUAACCAGUGCUGAAGCCAGCUUCCAUUGCCAGUCUGUUCUGGAUGUGGAAUGAGGUGUCUGAGUGUGUGCUGUCUUGUCCUUCAUCUCAAGCAGCUAAAUGUCUUGGUUUAGCCCAGUAUGGAUGAACGAUCAUCCUCCUGUUCAGAGGUUGACAUUUGCCUGGCUGAAAUGUAUCCUUAAGCUCCGAAGAUGGCUUUUCUUUGUCCGGAUGAAGGACAGAGAAAGUGUGCCUGUAGAAACUAACCUACUGCACAAAUGCCAAAUUUAGAUGAGUUGCUGCGCUUACUUUUGCCUCUGGCUCCAUCCACCAUCCACAACCCUCAGAAAUACGUUGCACUAGCAGUGCUAAUAGACACCCAUAAGAUCAUAGUAGUGCCUUGACAAAAUGAUACCCAUGUACAUAAUUUUGAGCCUCAUCUGAGCAAUAGGCUAGCGGCCAAUAAUCUGGAGGUGCAAAUUCUGGGAAAAGCGUAAUACCAUCUACCUAAUAACCAGUGCAUAAAAAUAUCUUGGCAGGGCUAAAAAAGUGGCAGCCCUGUUCAUCUUUAGGUAAACAAUCUGAUGCAGGUGCCAGAACUACUUUCCCAACAGAUAAGAAACUGAAGCUGAGAGAUGAACUCAUGACUAUUUAUUUAUUUUUUUGAAUUUAUAUACCGCCCUAUACCUGCAGGUCUCAGGGCGAUGUGUUGACUACCCGAUGUGUUGAACCCAAAGGUGCAAUCAUAGUCAUAGUGACUUGGUCUAUGAAGGAUUAGAGUGCAUCUGUUCCAGAUUGCACUGAUGCGUGUUUCUAGCCAAGUAAAAUUCAAAUGAUUCAUUCAAGGGAUACAGCUGGUGCCAGCAAGUCAAAAACGAGACCUGUUCUCUCUCUGUAUGUUAAGUCCUAAAUGAGCACUAGGCUAAUAGACGGUAAUCCAAAGGUGCCGAUUCUGGGGGGAAACACAAUAACAUUUAAUAACUAAAAUGUAAUUACUAGUGAAAGCUGGAUGGUAUCAGGCACAUGAUAUCUAGAAAGAUUAGAGUCCCCUCUCCCCCAGAUCUAAUUAAUACGUUGCACCAUUAAUUAUCCCUAGCAUCAAACAAAAGUGGAGUGUUCCACCCAGUGCUUUUUUUGGGGGGGGUGCGCAGGGGUACGCAUACCCCUAAACAUUUUGUGAAUCAAAGUUUGGCCUCAUUGAGGGGCAGUAUUUCAAUAUGAGUAGGAAAAGGAGAGUACCCCUAAACAUUUUAAUAUUUUUUUUUUAGAAAAAAGCACUGGUUCCACCUAGUUUGCAUUACUCCUCAAAAUACAUUAUUGAAAAACCCUAUACAGUGGUACCUCGGGUUAAGUACUUAAUUCGUUCCGGAGGUCCGUUCUUAACCUGAAACUGUUCUUAACCUGAAGCACCACUUUAGCUAAUGGGGCCUCCCGCUGCCGCCGCACCGCCAGAGCAUGAUUUCUGUUCUCAUCCUGAAGCAAAGUUGUUAACCUGAGGUACUAUUUCUGGGUUAGCAGAGUCUGUAACCUGAAGCGUAUGUAACCCGAGGUACCACUGUAAAUGUAGAGCAAAAGGUUAGCAUAGCCCUCCUUCCGAAUUCUUCAUUUCUGUUUCCAAAUUUUUCCUUUUGAUUGCUAGAUAUGCACUGAACUUUAUGUUUUGCUUUCCUAUGAGCCAGUCUUAAAGUGCCUGAGGUAAAGGUUAAUGCGAUAUGACUGGUUGAGCAUUGGGGCUAGGACAGGGGUCAGCAAACUUUUUCAGCAGGGUCCACUGUCCCUCAGACCUUGUGGGGGGCCGGACUAUAUUUUUUUGGGAGAAAUGAACAAAUUCCUAUGCCCCACAAAUAUGCAGCUGUCUCUCACGAGGAUUGAACCUGCAACCUUGGCGUUAUCAGCACCAUGCUCUAACCAACUGAGCUAUCCAGCUGAUCAUAUCAACACCUAUCAGCCGCAGUCACCAUGACCAAUGGCAAGGGAUCCAGCAGCAUCUUGAAGGCCACAGGUUAGCCAUCCCUGGCAGACACCUUCCUCUUGGAGCAUGGAGGGCAUUCUCCAAUGGCUGAGCUUCGUUGACCCAAGCAGGUCCCCGUGUGCCGUUGACAUAACCUGUAUUACAAGCCCAUCCGAGACAAAGGACCGAGAACCGUCAUAACCCAACGUAGCUCUGUUGUAGUUUAUAGUGAACAGAUAAGUGAGGGGGAGAGGGGUGGGGAGAGAGAGACAAAGCGACAAGAUGAAAGAUAAUUAUUGCUUUCAAGCCUGACUGUGGUGACUUCUUAAUUGCUUCGAUAAAGCAAAUUUCCACACUGCAAAACUUAUUAGAACAGUCUCUGCAUUCAUCUCUCCUCGCUAGUAAGCUUGUUCACAGCAACACCCACUGGAGGCAACAAGCAGUCGCUGUUAUCGCUGCAGACGGGAUAUGGCACAAUGAUACAGUGCUGUUAGCCACAGAGGCCUAGGCACAGAUGCCUGUAACAUUAGGUUCAGGGGUUGUCUUCGCUGUCCAAAUGCAAUGCUUGAGAUUACUUAAAAGCAAAGACACCUAAAGUUUGUCAGCUUGAACCAAUUUGUCAACUGAAUGCAAGGAAGAUUUUUUUUAAGGCAAAAAAUUACGUUUCUCUAUUUUUUGCUGUUUAGGGCUCAAUCUAGGACAGGCCUGUGGAUAGCAAUGGGUGGGUCUGUCACUUCGGUUUCGCUCAGUUUCUCGUUUUUUCCAAUUUUAAUCUCAUCUCUGUGUAUCAGUUUGCUUAAAAGAAAAGUCUUCACAAUAAUCAGCAUUUAGUGCGCAUUUCACCUAACCUACACAUUUUUGUAUGCCUCUUAUACACGUAUCAGCACAUCGGUGUUCCCUAAUGCAUUUUUCUUUUGUGUUAGAUCUGCUAAUGUGUACAUUUUUUGCACACUUUCCCAUAGCGUAUGUAUUUUUGUACUUAUCAUUUGGCUGAAGAACUGCAUUGCGAACCGAGGGGGAGUGCAGAUUUCGAAGGACGGCGGCAUCUUUUGCAGUGUAUAUUGUUCCAGGAAAUGCAAAUUUGGGCUGUUUGCAUUAAAAGACAAACUGAAUGGAAUCCCCAAAUCCAUUCCUAGCUGUAGAUAACAACAACAACAACAGCAACAACAACAAUGUAAUCAACUGGAGGGUCGCAGGUUCCCAAUCACUGAUGUAGACAUACUUCUCUAUGGUUCCAUCUGCACUAUACAUUUAAAGCAGUAUAGUACCACUUAAAACUGUCAUGGCUUCCUCAAGAGAAUCCUGGGACCUGUAGUUUGUUAAAGGUGCUAAAAGCUGUUAGGAGACCCCCUAUUCCCUUUGCAGAGUUACAAUUCUCAGAGUGCUUUAGCAAUCAAUCCCUGUUCCCUGUUCCCAGAUAACUUCAUGGUUUCCCAAACUUAGGUCUCCAGCUGUUUUUGGACUACAGUUCCCUUCAUCCCUGACCACUGGUCCUGCUAGCUAGGGAUUAUGGGAGUUGUAGUCCAACAACAGCUGGAGACCCUAAUUUGGGAAACCCUGUCCUAGUCUGACACUCUAACCACUGCUCCACACUGGCUUCCUAGAGCACUUCUGCUAUGGGGCAGCUAUAUAAAUUAAGUAGGUGAAUAAAUAUGGGGAAAGCAAAAAGGAUACUUAGAGAAACAACUGGAAUAUUUUCCUUGAAGCUUGGGUUUGUUUUAUUCUGUAUUGCUUUAUUUGAUAUUUUAAUGAGUUGUAAACCUCUUUGCGAUUUUUUUCUUUAAAAUACCAAGCAGCAUAGAAAUGAAAGUAAUAAUCAUAAUAAACUUCAUUGUUAAAAAAGAAAGGCACUAAGACAAUCUGUUGUGGCAGCUGUAACCUAGGUUAAAGGUGUUAUUUGGUGAAUAUUUUACAGAUUUGAGUUUCUAACGCUGGCUUAAAGUGGUACAAUACUGCUUCAAAUGUAGGGCCCCAAAGGCAAAAACUCUUUUCCCAACAGGCAUAACUAGAUCUAAUAAGCUGAAGUGUAAGGCUGUAUUAGCUGCGUUUUCAGAAGCAAAGUAAUAAAAAAACAAAAAACACAAAAACAAAAUUGCACAACACCAAAGCAGAAACCAUGCGAAAGUCGUGCGUUCGAACGUUAAGUCUAUAAGGCUUCCCUGAAAACAGCCCUCCGAUGAGCGUCAAAUCGGGAAGACCGAUCAGCCCAACAUGAAAGACUCGAGUGUUGCGUUGCUAUGUGAGCUUGGGGUAUAAUUUUGCAAGCUGACAGGAGUGAAGCAUCUCCUCAAUAUCUGUAUUUGGCAGAAGAGAUGAAUGCAUACAUCAGGAAACAAUGUUUAAGUGUUUUAUUUCCUUAUUUCAGCCUGACAACCUGUCAGCGUAGUUAAUGGCCACCAAGAGAGAGGGAGGAAUGAGGGGGAGGGAAAAUAAAGCGAAAGGAAACAAAGGUGCAGAUUUUUUUUAAAAAAAAAAAAGGAAAAGAAAGGAAAAAAGAACCAAAAAGGGGGUUGGGGGUUGGAGAGAGGCAGAAGAAAAUAAAAUACUUGUGGGGCAUCAAAUCCAAAUGGAUAUUUAGGAACAUAGGAUGCGGCCUUGUACUCAGACUGUUGGCCCUCCAAGCUCAGUAUUAGGUCAGUCACCCCAGAGCUGCCUGGAAGAAGGAGACUCCAACUCCCAUCAGCACCAGCCAGCGUGUAGAGCUGUCAGGAAGGAUGGGAGUUGUAGUGCCAUGUUGACUACGUGCUAUGCCCCAACCGUGGGACUCCUCAUCACCAAGUCCUGGGUCAGGCUCCACCUUGGGGUGAGGAGUCAGGAUCCUGCAACAAGGCCAAGGAAGGUCUGUCUGCACCCAGGGGGGAUUCAGCUGCAGAGGGAGAGGUGGAACCUUAAAUGCCAGAUGGAAACUUGACCCAUCUGGAAAAGUGCCCAAUUACACUUUGUUUUCAGUGUUGAAGGUCAUCAAUUUAGAAUUGGUAACAUUAUGUAUCUCUAUAUCUCUAUAUCUAUCGCUAUCAUCUAUCUAUCAUCUAUCUAUCUAUCUAUAUCUAUCUAUCUAUCUAUCUAUCUAUCUAUCUAUCUAUCUAUCUACCUACCUAUCUAUCAUCUAUCUAUCUAUCUAUCUAUCUAUCUAUCUAUCAUCUAUCUAUCUAUCUAUUCACACACACACACACACACACACACACACACACACUGAUCAGAAGGUCAGCUGUUCAAAUCCCCACAACGGAGUGAGCUCCCGUUGCUCUGUCCCAGCUCCUGCCAACCUAGCAGUUCAAAAGCACACUGGCGCAAGUAGAUAAAUAGGUACUGCUGUGGCAGGAAGGUAAACGGCAUCACAGUGUUCCAUUGUGCCACAUGACCCAGAAAGCUGUCUGCCGACAAACGCCGGCUCCCUUGGCCUGAAAGCAAGAUGAGCGCCGCAACCCCAUUGUUGCCUUUGACUGGACUUAACCGUCCAGGGUUCCUUUACCUUUACCUUUUUCCACACACACACACACACACACACACACACAGGUAUGUGUGUGUGAGGCUGCCGUAUCUGAGUUUUAUUGUCUUGGGGGAUUGUGGUAAGAAUUGUAAAUUGAAAGAUGGAAAGAGCUGUGAUGGGAAAGGGUUCAAUUAGUAUGUCUUAGAAUUCCCUCCUACAACAGAUGAAGGACAGAUAUAACAGAUGAAUAAGUUGUGAAGUCAACCUUUCAAACAGCUAUGUGUUGGGAAGUAUGAGAAUUCAGUGGUGGCUGGUCCACUGGGACAAAGGUGGCACCUCAGAAACCAACAGCACCUGCUAACUUCUUCCUCUUGUGUCUCAGUGUUGCCCUUGUAGAAUCCAGCAGGGAAGAGGUAUAUGGACUAAAUUAGGGAAUUAGCUGGCUCUGUCUUUCAUUGGCUCUGUUUCCACCUGCUACUUGGACUCACUGCCUCCUGCCCUGCCAGUCUCAACGAACACCAGCCACCACUGAUUCUUGUCAUUUAUUUUUAGGAUGGAAUCUGUGGUUUUGCCAUUCAGUUUUGUUUCUCACAGAAGUUUUGCCAAGUAAUUUCCUGGGCAUAGAACAGUAAGAACUUAAAAAGUAAAAUAAAAAAGACACACAUGCACAGAGAGAUCAAAGGACAUUAGCCUAGAGAACUAUUCAAAGAACAUAAUGUGUACAAUUGUUUUUCUUAUCAAAGACACAGCGUUAUCACACACCUCUAUUAUUCUUUCUUGGGUGCUGUCCAGGCCCAUUCAUAUGCUCCUUUGAGGUGCAUCAUGCCCCAAAGUUCCAAGGACAUCUCAUGGCUGAGUCGAGAUUUGAACCCAGAUCUCUCAGGUCCAGCUCUCAAACCACAUUUUACACUACUGCUGUCAAGUUUACUGCUUAGCGGAAAUGAACUGGGGGACCGAAUGUAGGUACCAACUAAGAAGAAAAAAAUCAUUCAACAUGCAACAGCAAUAGCCUCUUCAAACAAAUCUUAAGUUUGCUAAGUUACUUAUGACAGGAAGUCUCCCACUGUCAAGACGAGAAGGGAUUUUACUGAAGGAAGUCUUCUUCUGUUGGAGGAAAGGAAUCUUUGCAUCCAAGCCUGUGCAAACAUUCUUAGCAGAUCAGAAUAUUAAACAUCCUUUGCGCUGAAUGAGACAAGGUGCAUGUGUGAAUCCGAGGUGGCUUGACUUAUCAUUGCAAAUCACUCCCUGGAAGUUCCUUUGUGGCUAGGGGACCAUCUGCCCAAGCACAGAGCCUGGCAGCGGUGAAGGGGUUAAGUCACAUCUGACAUCUGGUUUGCCCAUGUCAAGCAGCAGAGCGGCUUCUCUAGAAGGAGGAGCGUGGAGGUAAAGAAAAUAUCGGACAGAGUCUAUGCUCUCUGCAGAUAAUAAUAAUAAUAGCAGCAGCAGCAGCAGCAGCAGCAGCAACAACAACAACAACAAAAACCCUGCCUACUUUCUCACAGAUGUAAGUCCUGGCAAUUUUCCACUGAAAAUUUUGGACGGUGGAUCGGCUGUCCACAUUAUUUCAUAGGAAGUAGAUCUGAAAACAUUAAUAUUGCUUUAAAACAAUUGCUAGAGAUGAUUGUUUCUUGGAACACAUUCUUGUCAAGUGCAACUUUGGAAAUGCAUAAGGCAUGGCAAAUGGGUUCCAAGAAGAAAUACCUUUAUUCUUUAUUUUAAAAUAGGAUUUCCUUUUUUAAAUCUUGUCUUUGCACCCACAUCUUAACUUUAUAUCAGGAGCGGUGAACUGUUUUCCACCCAGGGACCACAUUCCCUUCUGGGUGACCUCCUGAGGGCCACACGUUGUGGUGGGUGGAGCUAAUGAGGGCAGAAAAAGUCGAUUUUACCAUUGUACAGUAGUCUAGCUUACACACAAACACACCUCCCUCUGUUUUCCACCCAGGCAAAGCAAGAGGCAUUGUCUAGAGCAGUGUUCUUCAAAUGUGGAUCUCCAGCUGUUUUGGACCACAACUCCCAUCAUCCCUAGCUAGCAGGACCAGUGGGCAGGGAUGAUGGGAAUUGUAGUCCAAGAGCAGCUGGACAACCAAGUUUGGGAAAAACAGGUCUGGAGUUCAAGGACACAUUCCAGCCACACAAAAAUACUCAAGGAGGUUGCAAGCAGGGCAGUAUGGUUGUAGCUGUGGAGAAAGUAGCACCUUGGAGAAAUCUUCUGAAUGCCCCUGGUGUGGACUUUGCCAAUGAAAACUGAAUUAUGCACCGGCUUUUUAUUAUAAUAUUUAUUCGCGUUAUCUUUACUUCCCUGCCUUUGUUGGCCUCAAAAGCAACUUGCUCAGGGUUUUCAUGCGGUCUCCCAUCCAGUCGCCGGGUGACAUGGUUGUAUCGUGAGCCCUCUUAAACUGUGAGGCUCUAUGCGCAAAACGGUGGCAGACACAUGAAAUGGACACCAGCCUUGUUACGUGCACCCUGAAAUUUUCCCAAGCGGGUGCAGGGUUUAAUAUAAAAUCUCACCCCGGAGCAGCGAACCAGCAAAUUCUGGCUUAGAACACCCAGAAUUCCUGCAAAGGCCCCAGGAGGAGAUUUUACAAUAGGGCGAUGAUGAAUGUGGUGCCGAUGGCCGCGAGCGCAUUUUGCGCUACAAAAGUAUAACACUGAGAGCGUUUAUGCAACAAUUCUGCAUGCAGUCUACAAGAGGUGUUAGCUUGCUAAAACACCAGCUUAAACUGUUUUAGAAUGUAACUAGAUGAGUAAUUUAGGUCAGGAGCAGAAACAAAAAGAGGCACUUUUGUCAAUCUGUGCUCCUCUCUCAAACUUGUGGGUGAAGUAUCAGGCCUGGUGCUGGUGGACAGCUUUGCAGGGCACUGCCUGAUGUCCCCAAUGGCUCAGAAGGCCCCCGCGUGAGACUGACACGGGUGUGCUGCUAUACUUCUGAAUGGCCAUUUUGUCAGUGGGUGAGUGAUCCAUAGAUGUAUGAAAUCUACAGAUUGGAAUAGAUUCAUUGGAUCGAUAGGCCAGGACAUUGUGUUUUGGGUUUAUUAAGAAUGAACAAGCGCUGAGAUUGGCUCCCAUUCAAAAGCAGCUGUCAUGGGGCCCAGUACAAGAACACUCUCCCCUCCUGUAGUUUUCAGCAACAACUGGUGUUCCAAAGCAUUGUUGCCUCUAGCUCCUUCAGGUAUACUGGGCCGAGGCCGUUUAGGGCUUUAAAGGUCAGCACCAACACUUUGAAUUGUGCCCAGAAACGUACUGAGAGCCAAUGUAGGUCUUUCAUUGUAGUCUUUCAGGACUGGAGUUAUGUGAUCUCGGUGGCCACUCCCAGUCACCAGUCUAGCUGCCACAUUCUGGAUUCGUUGUAGUUUCCGGGUCACCUUCAAAGGUAGCCCCACAUAGAGCGCAUUGCAGUAGUUCAAGCGGGAGAUAGCCAGAGCAUGCACUACUCUGGCAAGACAGUCCACGGGCUGGCAGGGUCUCAGUCUGUGUACCAGAUGGAGCUGGUAGACAGCUGCCCUGGACACAGAAUGGACCUGCGCCUCCAUGGACAGCUGUGAGUCCAAAAUGACUCCCAGGCUGUGCACCUGGUCCUUCAGGGGCACAGUUGCCCCAUUCAGGACCAGGGAGUCUUCCAUACCCACCUGCCCCCUGUCCCCCCAAAACAGUACUUCUAUCUUGUCAGGAUUCAACCUCAAUCUCUUAGCCAACAUCCAGCCUCCAACCGCCUCCAGACACUCACAUAGGACCUUCACCGCCUUCACUGGUUCCAAUUUAAAAGAGAGGUAGAGCUGGGUAUGAAUUUGUCUAAUCCUCUUUUGAAGCCAUCCAAGUUGGUGCUGGUCAUGGCUGCCACAUGCAAUAAACCCACACUCACACACCAACAUCAUACCUGCAAACAUGUCCAGGCCCCAAACUGGGACAUACAUCUUCCAGGCCGUGCUCCUGGGUGAGUCAUGUGACCUGCUUGAGAUCGCAGCCUUAGAAAAAGCACUUUUUGGGGGGCGGGGGUGAUCAUGAUGUGAGAUUGCAGCAUCCAAAAUGGCCUCUGUGCUCUUGUUUGAAAAAAAACACGGGAUGUCCCGGUUUUCCCAGGAAAGGUGCAGGGUAUGCAACAUCACCAUCAGUUGUUGGGACAAAGAUUCUUUCAAGACGAAGGAGAGUAAGGAAAUCCCAUUGCGAGCGCCCAGUAGAACAGACUUUAUUUUUGAUUUAUUUUACUUUGAAAUCUGAUUGGCUACGCUGACUGGCAGUGACUCACCUGGAUUUUAGAAAAGGGACAUUUCUACUACCGCUACCUGAAUAUGUCAUAGGGCUAAACCUGGGGCUUACUGAGCCAUAUUCCUCCCCCAUAACUGAUUUUAUUCUUACAGUUACCACCCGUUUGUGCUGUAUUUGGCAAAUAAUUUUGCUACUGGUUAAUCUACAACUUUACUGGUGGGCAGGUGGGUAGGAACCAAUUACUGUACCUAGAGCAGUACUAUUUAAUGAGUGUAAUUUCUACUUGCUUUGACAAGUUCCAGUCGGGUUCCCCCCCCCCCACUCCUAAGAGAAAAAAAUGAACAAUGAGCUAAAAAUUAGAAAUAAUGUACUUUUAGUAAACUAUAUCUCAGAGGAGCCGUGUGUGUUCGUUCAUGUACAGGCGGAAUUAGUCUUAACCUGCCAAGCAGUAGGGGGGGAAAUUACAACACCUUUCAAAGAUGUAAAUUGACAAUUAACAAAACAAUAGAAUCCUCCAGCCUUCCUACACAGAGGUGCAAAUUGAUAAUCAGGCCUCAAUGAAAAACCGGUAGGUCCUGGUUAGAUUUGAGUUUGAGAUGAAGAUUCCCAAAGAAAGGAAUGAAGGAAAGGGAAAAGGCAGUGGGCAGGGGAGAAGGAGAUAUCUGAGAAAGACAUUUUUUUUGGGGGGGGGGUUUGAAUAAAACCCAACAUCUUGAAGCUAGCAGCUGAUCCACUUUCCAUGGACUUCUUCUGUAUGUGAAAGGUGAGCUCUUUGCAACCAUCCUUGUAGCAAUAGAUUGAUUGCAUUGAUAUAUUCCUCAUUUCCUCCAAGGAAUGCAAGUUGGUGUUCAUAGUUCUCCUUCUCCCCAUUUUGGUAGGUUAAGCUCGUAGAGUGUGCCCCAGGUCACCAAGAGAACUUCAUGGCUGGGUGAGGAUUUGAAUUCAGGUCUCUGUGUCCACCACUCUAACCAGGGCACUAUGCUGGCAGAGGUGGGAUAGCUUGCUGUGAACAGGACCACUAUCUCAAGCUUCCUUGCACCUUCUGUUCAUGAAAGGAGGGGGACAUCUUGAAAAAGCAACAGGAAAGGAGAGCUCUCCUAUAUAUGCAGAGAUCAUCUUUUUUCAACGGGGAAUCAGACUCUUGGUUCUGAGUUAGUUCUUAGUUUCCUUGCAGGAAAAGAUGCUCCAUGAAUCAUCCAUGGGAGAACCCACUGUUGCUGCCUCUAUAGCAGUCUUCCCCUUUUAGUAACUUAGGAAGUUGCCUUCUAUAGAGUCAGACCAUUGGUCCAUCCAGCUCAGUAGGGUCUACACUGACUGGAAGAAGCUCUCCAGGGUUUCAGGUGAUGGCCUCUUCUAGACUUACUUGAUGACGCAAAGGAUUGAGCAAAGCAGAUUCUCCACCUCCGAGCUACAGUCCUUUCCCCCCAAGGUAAGGGAGAGUUGGCUAGGGGGAAGCAGAGGAGGCAACCACACAAGUGUUUGAACAGAACAAUUGAAAAGCACUGGGUGCAUUUGAGAUGGGGAGUGGGACAGUAUGACAGGAACAAGGUGUUGGCACUAACAUAUCAGUCCCUAUGUACAGGAGCAGGUUGUUCAUUGCCAUAGGUGCCAACUCCUAGGGGCCACAAUAAAAUAUUUGAGGGGGCCGUCCCCCCAAAGUUGAUGGGCAUUGCCAUACAAAUGUUGAGUGUCUGCCGUGCCUUGUGAUUGAUUAUGUGGGGCGGGGCUUACCUGCGCCCUGUCAUGGGCCAGAGUCAGCGUCACCUGCUGAACAGUGGGAGAAGGUGGAGUGAGAAGAAGGCACUGAUGAGAACCAGCUGGCUUCAGCCUUCUAGAGCUCUAACAACAACAACAACAACAACAACAACAAUUUAUUUAUACCCCGCCCAUCUGGAUGGGUUUCCCCAGCCACUCUGGGCAGCUCCCAACCGAAUAUUAAAAACACAAUACAGCAUUAAACAUUUAAAACUUCCCUAAACAGGGCUGCCUUAAAGUAAGAUAGUUGCUUAUUUCCUUCACAUCUGUUGGGAGGGCGUUCCACAGGGCAGGUGCCUCUACCGAGAAGGCCCUCUGCCUGGUUCCCUGUAGCCUCACUUCUCGCAGUGAGGGAACUACCAGAAGGCCCUCAGCACUGGACCCCAGUGUCCGGGCAGAACGAUGGGGGUGGAGACGCUCCUUCAGGUACACUGGGCCGAGGCCGUUUAGGGCUUUUAAGAUCAGCGCCAACACUUUGAAUUGUGCUCGGAAACGUACUGGGAGCCAAUGCAGGUCUUUCAGGACCGGUGUUAUAUGGUCUUGGCGGCUGCUCCCAGUCACCAGUCUAGCUGCUGCAUUCUGGAUUAAUUGGAUCUCAGCAGCAGUCAGGUGCUGGAAGCAAUGGCUGUGAUUCCUGGCUCCACCUUGCUGCUCUCUGCUCUCCAUUCAUACCCUUGGUUCUGUGAUCAUCUGGAUUCUAUGACCUCUGGACUGCUUGACUUCUCAGGAAAGUGCUUGCUGGGCAACAAGACUCAGGGAGGGCUACAAUACCACCAUCACAAUAUUUUAUUCAACUUGGACCCCUGUUUGUUGUCAAUUUGUUUGCCCUUUUUUAUUUAUAUUCUGACUUUCUCCCAGUACAGGACCCAAACAGGUGGCUGUGCUGUGGGCAAAAUGUGCUAGAGGCAUUCCACUGUUGUACUAACUCACUUUUUAAAAGUCUGAUGGGGUUCACCUGAACCCCCUUUUCACAUCGCACCUGGAUUCAGCGAUAACCUACAGUGUCUCUGGGCUCACCCUGACAAAAUAAACCCAGUAUACGAGAAGUCGUUUUCAGCUUCAUAACUGACACCUUGGAGUUUGCCGAUUAUGUAUUUUCUUGGUCAGGUUACCUACCUUUCUAACACUCUUUCUUGUUUGCUGCUCUGCUUCCCCAUUUCCCUUCAUUCAUUUACUCCCUGUGGUUUCCAAUAAAUCUCGGAGCACCUUCCAAUCAAAUCCCCCCCCCAAUCCAUCAGUAAUCAUAUACCCUCCCCCUGACCUCCCAUGGAAUAUAACAUGUAGAAUCAGCAUUUUUAUUUCCCUACUCUGAGCAGUUCCCAUCCUGGGUGUUUUGAUGUAUAAUGGCUUUAGAUAUGCCCUGUCGUCGAAUGUUGGCUCCUAUAUCUUGUUUAUUGUUAAUUUCUGGAGAGAGGUUUUAGGGUUCAGCUAAUUCUCUCCUUCAGGGUUCCAAGUUAAAUAUCUAUUGGAGAAGGAUCUUUUUAUGCCUGGGACAUUAAGUCAGCCUUCCAACAUUGCUGGGAAACUACCCUAUUUCUGGCAUGGCCUGGUUAUAAUCGGAAUGGAAGCAAUUUGUGUACGCAGAGAAAAUACAACUGGAAUUUGCAGACCUGUAUAUUAAUCUGUAUGAUUUUGAUAGCGUAAGAAUGUAGGAUGAGCCCUGCUGGGCCAGACUAGGUCCAUCCGCUUCUCAGUUUGUAACUGGGUGCUUCUGGGAAGCCACCAAGCAGGAUAUGAAUGAAGCAACAUGCUCCCCACUUCCAGCAACUAGUAGUCAGGGACGUACCACCUCUUAUACUGCUCAGUUAUAGCUAUGUUUUAUAGAAUUGUAGAAUUAGAAGUGUCCCUGAGGAUCAUCUACCAGUGGUUCUCAACCUGUGGGUCCCCAGAUGUUGCUGGACUACAACUCCCAUCAUCCCUGACCACUGGUCAUGUUGGCUAGGAAUGAUGGGAGUUGUAGUCCAACAACCUCUGGGGACCCACAGGUUGAGAACCACUGACUAGUCCAACCUCCUGCAUUGCAGGAAUAUACAGCUGUCCCUUAAGGGGAUCGGACCUGCAAUGUUGGUGGUGAUGAUUUAUUUAUUUAUUUAUUUAUUUACCCCUGCCACUCUUGGCAGCUUUCAACAGAGCAUUGAAAACAGAAUAAAACUUCAAACAUUAAAAACUUCCCUAAACAGGACUGCCUUCAGAUGUCUUCUAAAAGUCAGAUAGUUGUUUAUUUCUUUGACAUCUGAUGGGAGGGUAUUCCACAGGGUGUACGCCACUACCCAGAAGGCCCUCUGUCUGGUUCCCUGUAAUUUCACGUCUCACAGUGAGGGAACUGCCAGAAGGGCCUCAGAGCUGGACCUCAGUGUCCAGGCUGGACAAUGGGGGUGGAGACACUCCUUCAGGUAUACUGGGCCAAGGCCAUUUAGGGCCUUAAAGGUCAGCACCAUGCUUUAACCAACUAAGCUAUCAAGCUCCAUGAUUUCUCUUGUUUUCAUGUAGCUUUGGAAAACAAAUUCUUAUGCAAAUUUUUGUUGCUUCGUAAAAAAUCAUAUUUUAUGUAAACCACUUAGAGGUGUAUUUUUAUAUCAGGGGCAUGUAAAAUGUGGGUGAUCUCCAAUUAAGAUAGCAUCUGAGUAGACCCAUGGAAAUAAAUGGAGUUACUUAAACCUCUUUAUUCCAAUGGACCUUCUCUGAGUAUGUCCAACACUAGAUAUCACCCUUAAUAAAUACAUUGUCAACCUUUGGUGCUGUUACAAAGGCUAUUUUGUGGACAGCAUGCCACUAUAUUGGAUUUUCUAAAAGUGUUGCAUCGUAUCACAAGUGACUGGUUGGAUUGCUUAUACUUGAGUUGGCUAUGAAACCAACUGCAUACGGAAUAAAUGCAGUAUCCCAGGAGUUCUGUUGCUUGUGGGGUAGUGCAUGUGCUUUGCAUGGUCAACAGAUGUGAGGGGCUGAAAAUCAAAGGGUUUUCACUAGUGCUGAGCCGAACAUUGCUCAGAUUUUGCAUUUGCCUGAAAAGUAGAGAAAUCCAAGAGGUGUGGUAAUCCAUGCUCUGAAACACAGGCAAACAAACCUUCUGGUCAUUUUUUCACUCUUCCUUGAGUGAGACUGAAAAGUCAGGAAACACAUAAUGGUUGUGAUGACAUCCAGGUGCUUUAUAGCCUGUCAGAUCUAGCACUGUAUACUUGAAGGAGGGCCUUCAUGCCCAUUGUUCAGACCAGACACUGAGGCCAAGCUCUGAGGGCCUUCUGGCAGUUCCCUCACUGUGAGAAGUGAGAUUACAGGGAACAAGAUAGUGACGCCCACCCUGUAGAAUGCCCUCCUAUCAGAUGUCAAAGAGAUAAAGAACUACGCAAAUUUUAGAAGACAUCAGAAGGCAGCCCUGUAUCGGGAAGUUUUUAAUGUUUGAUGUUAUAUUAUGUUGUGAUGUGUAUGGGUUGCUCGUGCGUAAGUUGCCGCCUCUCCAGGCUUUGUUGCCUUGCUAAACCUUUCAGUCUGGGCAGCCCUUCACUUCGUGGCUGCCUCAGUCGCUAGCAGAAUCCAUCAGUGGGCGUUUCUUAAAUCUUUUCCAACAUAAAAGUUGUUUGACACCCAGUCUCCUCCUACUCUCUCUGCGCGGAAGUCUUCUGCGCAGGGUGGGCAUGGGUAGCGAGGGACCCGUGCUCUCCCCGCUGGUGUCCGGUGAAGAGUCCUGGAGCCCUCUCGCCGAUUCCCCCAUCAGCCCCUCUUUAUCCCUGGUGUAGCGCUGAUUUGCUUCCCCAUCUGUGGAGCUGCCUCUCUCCCUGCUGGGCCCUUCUCCAGCAUCAUUUGAGAGCCUUCCCUCCGCCUCUAGCUCCGAUGUCAGUUCCCUGAUAUAUGUUUUUAUAUGUGUUGGAAGCCACCCAGCCAGAUGGGUGGUGUAUUAUUACAGUCAUACCUCAUGUUACGUUUGCUUCAUGAUACGUUUUUUCAGGUUGUGUCCUGCGGCGAUCCAGAAGUACCAGAAAGGGUUACUUCUGGGUUUCGCCGCUCGCGCAUGCGCAGACGCACAAAGUGACGUCACGCGCAUGCGCAGAAGUGGCGAAUCGCUACCUGUGAGUGCGCAGAUGUGCCGCCAUGGGUUGCAUUAAUUCAUGUUGCGAACGGGCCUCCGGAACGGAUCCCGUUCGCAACCAGAGGUACCACUGCACUGUCAUUGUCAUUAUUAUUUAAUAAUUCAGACACCCCAGAUAAUAAAUGAAUGGCAUUAGAAUGUGGACAAUGCUUCAUGUACUGUUUACAGGGAUCACUUUAAGUAUCAAGAUUUCUCAGCCCUUUUAUAAUGACUCUCCCCAAAUGGACAAAAGGCGCUUACAAAGUUUUCUAACGAAACUGGCACCCCAUUUUGACUCCAUACUAGUUGUGAGCGACUUAUGCCUGGCACCGUCACACCAGGGCUCUCGACACGAAGACACUUAACUUUAGCGGCAUAAAGCACUGAUCCUGAUUUAAUACCUUUGGAAUGACUCUGUACAUUUAAUGGAGUACUUCAGCCUCAUGUGGCCGCAUAAAUAAACUAGAUGAGCGUAAUAACGUAACGGUAUACGAGGGAGGGAAUGAUAAAACAUAUUUGCUACCUUGCUCUCUCGUUUAUAAUCCAGGCUGCUUGUUUACAGCUUGGGAUGUUCAGUAAAUCCAAUUGUAAUCCACAAAGAUCCAUUGAUGCUUUAGCGGACUAAGCCAAAAAAACUAGUGCUUAACUGUAAUGAGAACAAAUAGGCCAACAUUAUGAAAAUAGGACAUUAAAUCCUGAUUUGGCUCAAUGCUUAUUGAGUUACAAACCCCAAACAAUAUCACUCUAUUCUAGUGUGUAAUUAAUUAAAAUUUCCUUUUUUCCAACACUGCCAAACAUUACAGGGAGCCACUAACUUAAAUGGCUUUUGAAUAAGUAAUACACAAGUAAUACAUGGGAGGUAGGUUGAUCAGUGGAUAUUACCCAUAGCAGUUUAAAAUGCCUGGGAGUAUCAACACAAAAUGAUUUGACAUCUCAAAAGUGGCACUUAAUGUACUCGUGACCUUGGAUCUAUACUAAAGCUGUAGUAAGGACAGAACCCCUAUGAACUGGAGCAGUACAGCUCUCUAAUUCAUGGAAACCUGGAGCAAAGAAUGGGGAUGGUUUCAUUGUCUUCCUCUGUUUUUGAGCUUCCCUAGACGUCUCCUUGAUUAGAUCAUCUUUUGGUUUUAGCACACGGCUGAAGUUUUAAUUAGUAGGUUUUAGUUUUAAUAAUAAUGAUAAUGAUAAUAAUAAUUUAUACCCUGCCUUUCCCGGUUCAGAAAACCGGGCUCAGGACAGCUAACAACAAAUUUAAAACACUUAAUUGAUGCAAAAGAAAACAGCAUAAAAUACAGUAUAAAACGUGAAUAACAAUAAAUUCAGAAUUCAAAAAUCAAUUUAGGGGGGAAAUCCAUCCAAUAAAUAUUAGAUGAUCACCAGGGCUAGCUGGCCAAAUUACUCCUAUUUGGGCCAGCGAGGAGACCAGGGGAGAAUUAGCUGUGGGAUCCCAGAGCGGGUAAUCUUCAUAAAAAGGGGAGGGGGAGGGAAGGAAGGGGAAUAAAAUAUCAGGCUAAGUUCAAAUUGAAAGCCAGGUGGAAUAGCUUUGUCUUACAGGCCCUGUGGAAGGAAGUUAAAUCCUGCAGGGCCCUGGUCUCAUGGGACAGAGCAUUCCACCAGGUCGGAGCCAUCACUGAGAAGGCCCUGGCCCUGGCCCUGGCCCUGGCCCUGGCGGAGGAUAAUCUGACUUCCUUAGGGCCCAGGACCUCUGAACUAUAAUUAUUGAUGGACCUUAAUGUCCUCUGCGGGACAUACCAGGAGAGGCAGUCUUGUAAAUAUGAGGUUUGAGGUGGUUUGGUGGGACAGGGUGGGGGAGAAUAUGCAACACCACAAUUCUGCACCCCUCUGCCUUUCAUUUUCCAUUGUUUGUACUUGUUGCAGUGCCCCCCUGUGACACCCUCUCAGCUCAGCGCCCUGUGCAGGCGAACCAGUCACACCCCCCAAAUCCGCCAUGGAGUCCAGCAUUCUUUUCUCAUUGUGGCCAAACACAAGCAGCACAACCUGAGUGCAACAGCACUCUCCUCACUCGCAGUUCUCAGCAAAUCAGAGGCUUCUUUCUUCCAACUGCCUUUCCCUGCAAACUUCAAGCAGCCCCCGGCAUGAAGAAUUUAUACUGACUCAUAGGCUCCUGCAGGGGCAGAUCUAUUAUGAAACUAAUAGAAGUUUGAGCUUUGGGGCCCCUAAUCCUGGAGGGGCCCAAGAAGCAAGUUCAGUCCACAUUACUUUUUUUAAAAUGAGUCUAGUAGAUCCAAUUUGGGGACGCGGUUGGCGUUGUGGGUUAAACCACAGAGCCUAGGGCUUGCUGAUCAGAAGGUCGGCGGUUCGAAUCCCUGCGAUGGGGUGAGCGCCCGUUGCUCGGUCCUAGCUCCUGCCAACCUAGCAGUUCGAAAGCACGUCAAAGUGCAAGUAAAUCAAUAGGUACCACUCUGGCGGGAAGGUAAACGGCGUUUCCGUGCACUGCUCUGGUUCGCCAGAAGCGGCUUAGUCAUGCUGACCACAUGACCUGGAAGCUGUCUGCGGACAAACACCGGCUCCCUCGGUCAGUAAAGCGAAAUGAGCGCCGCAACCCCAGAGUCGUCUGUGACUGGACCUAAUGGUCAGGGGUCCCUUUACCUUUACCUUUAGACCCAAUUUGAGGAAAACAAUACUGUAGGUAAUAAUAAUAAUAAUAAUAAUAAUAACAAUAAAUUAUUUAUACCCCGCCCACUCUGGGUGGCUCCCAACUGAACAUUAAAACAAUACAGCAUCAGACAUUAAAAACUUCCCUAAACAGGGCUGCCUUCGGUUGUCUUUUAAAAGUAAAAUAGUUGUUUAUUGAUAUAAAUAAAAUUUAUUAUUAUUAUUAAUUUUAAAAUGAAAUGAUUUUAGAAUGUUUUAUCGUUUUACUGUUGUUAGCCGCUCUGAGCCCGGCUUCGGCUGGGGAAGGGGGGAUAUAAAUAAAAUUUAUUAUUAUUAUUAUUAUUAUUAUUAUUAUUAUUAUUGCCUUGACAUCUGCUGGGAGGGCUGGGAGUCUCUCUCACCGAAGAGGCAGUCGUCAACCUGGAAACAAGUCCCGCUUGACUCUUGCUGACCCGCCAAAGCCCCCUGAAACAUCACUCUGUCCCUGUGAGAAGAAUCUGCCGAUAAAAAGAAAUGGAAAAAAAACAUAGCCACUGAUCCUGGAAACAUUAGGUGCAGCAAAGUUUAGCAAGAGGAGUUUCAGUCAAACCUGCCCUAUGCCUGCUAUUAUGGGCUACCUUCCAGAAAUGGAGUUUGCUUCUAUGCCAUUUCUGAUUGAGGCUGGUGAGCUAAUUCAACCCUGGACACUUUCAUCAGCUGUUGCUUGGAGGUGUUCUGAUUUCCUUAUGAAAUAGUCUCGUACCAGCUAAGGAGAUGGAAAUGAGGCAUUUAAAAGCUUUCUCAGGAAGAAGGAGAAGAAGAAAAGUGCUUUCCCCAUUUCCCGGCUUCGAGCAUAACGUUUGAUAUUAAUGUUAAGGAUUCGGGCAAAAGUCAUCAGCAAGGGGGAAAGACAGAAAUGUAGAACUGGUAAUUUUCUGAGUCCGCCCGCCCCGCCUUCCUUGGGAUGCUAUUUUGAGGCUUUUACAACAAAGCAGAGUGGGGGUAUAUUCCUUGCUGAUGAAAGCAGAACUUUCCAUAAUAAGCAACAUUGUUGAUGCAUGCAAACAGAUUUCUUUGGUAAGGUAUUGCACAAGCCAAGUAUCCUCAGCAAAUUUCAAGUGUGGUUUUGCUUCUUGACUGCUGAAAAUGUCUAUAAGCCUAUAGGGCAGUCUUUGCGUGGACAGGCGGAGUCCCCAGAUCCCGAGCGGCCUCCCCCCCCCCGUCAUGUGGACUAACGACUCAAGACAACGUGCUAUGGGAUUAAACUGGCCACAACUUUAUUAAAUUUCAAAUGUGGGUAGACCUUGGCGCAGGCAUUGGGCGUUCUCCCUCCCCAGUCUCCAGCCGGGGACCUAGGGAGCAUCAGGGUUAUCCAGUGUUUGUGUGGGGGAUGGGCUGGCUCUGGAGAAGAUAUGUUCAAGCAGAGAUAGCCGCCACCGCCGCUGCAGGGGAGACCUUUUGGCGUACGGUCAAAGCCUCCCUUCAGAAACCCCUUUAACGGGGAACCCUGGUAUCACCGCUGCAAAGAGGAAGAUGGACAAAAGGAUUCCGCCCAAGGCCUGAUACUGCCAAAAUUGUGAUGUUUUGCUACGGGAAAGGCGAAACCUGCCAAUGCAGGGAAAUUCCUUUCCGGCCCUUUGACAGCGAUCUUAACGUAGCAGCGCCCGCAUAGCUGUGAAGAAAAGUUAACCUGCAAAAUAAGGCAUUAACUGAGGGUGGGUAGGGUGGGAGAAGCUCUGGAGCCAAGUGAGGAUUCCCAAGUAAGAUCCUCCCUCUAUUGUGUGGGCAGGUAAUCCCUCCCCUACCUGGCCUGAUCUCCUUGGCAACGCUUCCCCCAGGUGGGAUUGGACAACUGACUGGGGUAGGUGGAGACCUCCAGGUAUCCCACCUGAGGGAAGGCAAAGCCAAGCCUAUGCUAUUGGAGCCGCUCCAGAUCCAGGGGCUGUGUGCGUCCACGCAAAGGUCUCCCCCUGUUUUAUGUGGGGAGCGGUCAUUCCCAAACUUGGAUCUCCAGCUGUUUUCAGACUACAGUUCCCAUCAUCCCUGACUACGGAUCUUGCUAGCUAGGGAUGAUGGGGUUUGUAGUCCAAAAACAGCUGGAGACCAAAGUUUGGGAAACACUGCUACAGGGGAAGGGCGAUAGGUAAGUGUUGAAAAAUUAGGAGUAAGAGAUUCUUGGUGACCUGCUGAGCUACUAGAAGAUGCGGGGCCAUCUUCUCCCCAUCCCUAGCUUAAAGAAAAGCACACUUGCUCUAGUACAAAGACUGAGACAUGUGUUCCUGUUGUCCACAUUCAUCGGAUGCAGUCUGUGUUGGGGUCCCUGGGAAAAGGCCAACUUUGCUUUUUUUGCAUUUCACCUUUAAUUCAACUGCUUGGUUCUCACCUCGUUUCCCGCACAGUGCAAUUCCCUGCACUCCAAAGGAAGUCCUACCAUGUCCCAUAAAGCUUGAUCCCAAGUAAGUGCACAUAUAAAACCAACUUUGGACUUUCCAUCUCAGUGGGCCUACAUUGCCUGGCAGGGGUUCUCCAGGAAUUCAGAUCGGGAACAUUCCUAGUCCUACGAGGAGAUCCCAUGGACUGGACCUGGGAUGUUCAUGCUCUACAACUGAGCCAACGCCCUAUUUAGAGUGCCAAGUGAAUUCCCUUAUUUAAGAGUGACACACUUCUGAAUAUCUGAUGGUGGGCCAAGAGGCAGAGAAUGGCGAUUUCCGCAGGGAAAGGAAGCUGGAGGAAAUAUGACUCUGAAUAUCAGGAGAGUGCUGCUCAGGUUCUGCUUGUGGCCUUCUCAUAGGUUUCUGGCCGGCCACUGUGAGAACAGGAUUGGACAUUGGCCUGAUCCAAUAGGGCUCUUCUUAUGUUAAGGGUUUUUGACAUGUGAUGAUUAUUGUUAACAAGUGGUGGGGGAAGGAAGCGUACCAUUUGUUUCAGUUCUGAGAGUCGAAACUUUUUGCAACAUGCCAUAGUUAUCCUGUUGCAGAAGCCAUCUGGGGAACAAUGUGAUUGUCUUGGGAGUCAAUCAUGCCGAUGUGCCAGCAUUUGUAUUAUCAAUUAUUUAUCUGGGGUUUCCCCCCACUCUGCUUAUGUGUGGCAUAUAAGACUACCUAAACACUGUAUUUAGACUCUCUAUCAAUGACAGCUCUGUCAGUCUGCCGUAGGAUUACUGUUUCAAAUGAUAAUAGCUCCAGAGGCUGGAAUCGGGGAAUAAGAAAAAAUACUUUUUAAACUCUUAGGACGGCUUGUAGUUUUGAAGUAAGGAGGUGGUGUGGGGGGACGACACCCUGCACGUUGAAAUCCAUUCUGCAAUGAAAUGCAGAGUGGUUCGGCAACUUCUAAAGACCGACUUCUUUUGAACUCUUACCCACACAUGCAGGGUGGCAUUGAAGCUGGAGGUUCAGAGACAAACUAUAACAAUGCCGAUCAUUGUGUUCCUAGCCUGCCUUCUGAUUUACAUUCAGCUAUGCCCCCAAACUGCUUCCGUACAAGCUGUCAAUGUCAAAAACAAAAAAAUAAAAAAUAAAAUCCCUCCCGCCACUCCCCCCCCCUUCCCCCUUUUCAGAUCUUUAGCUUGAAGGCAAAAACCUUGACUGCUUCUAUCGGCAAGAUAACAAAAGACAUGCUGUGGUAAGAUCUAAUUGCAUGCAGGGGAAGAUCUGUUUCUCAACCUGCUCUAACACUUUCACCUGUUGCUGCUCUUCAUUCCAAAGCAAUGCAUUUAUUAAAUCAUCACGAUUGCCGUAGAAAAUAAAAUAAUGUUGAAAAAUUAAAUACUGCAUUCAGUUGGGUGUGAACAAGAUAAUCUGUUGGCCAAUGGAUUUGCCUUUCUCUUGGUUUAAGUGCCCUCCCUGUGUUGCGGACCAUGCAGUCAUAAUUGCCCUCCUGUUACAGGGAGCCUAACCCUGCUAAAUGAAGUCAGAUCGGCUGUGGGAACAUGCGUGCGAAAUGUGACAAUCAAACAAUUUGACAUUAUUUCUCUUUAGCGUACCUGUCCAUGCCUUUUCCUUUCUUUUUCCUCGUUCUGAUUGACCUCGGGAGACCUAUGCAUUCAUUCUUUUUUCUUUUCUUUUUGUUGGGGAUCAAAGACAUAUUUAACAAUACACCAUGCUAAAUGUACCGAGAGAUGUAUUAACCCUCUGGAAUGCUUCAGAUGCUGCCAUAGAAAACAGACAACAGCUUUAGCGUCUUUAUAGAUGAGUAACCCAGGAAGCAGGGAGGCGGGUGGCGCUGUGGGUUAAACCACAGAGCCUAGGACUUGCCGAUCAGAAGGUUGGCGGUUCGAAUCCCCGUGACGGGGUGAGCUCCCUUUGUUCGUUCCCUGCUCCUGCCAACCUAGCAGUUUGAAAGCACAUCAAAAGUGCAAGUAGAUAAAUAGGUACCACUCCAGCAGGAAGGCAAACAGCGUUUCCGUGCACUGCUCUGGUUCGCCAGAAGUGGCUUAGUCAUGCUGGCCACAUGACCCGGAAGCUGUACACUGGCUCCCUCGGCCAAUAGAGUGAGAUGAGUACCGCAACCCCAGAGUCGACCACGACUGGACCUAAUGGUCAGGGGUCCCUUUACCUUUACCUAACUCAGAAAGCUGCCUUGCUCUGCGUCAGACCCAUUGGGCCAUGUAGCACAGUGUUGUCUGCACUGACUGACAGGAGCUCUCCAGGCUUUCAUAGAGGGGACACUCCUACGUUUCCUUGCGGGGUUGAACUUGGGACUUUCUGCAUGCAGUGCAGAUGCUCUAACCACUGAGCUACAGCCCAUAUUCAUCACUUUGCUAUUCUCACAAGCUUCAAUAGAAAGACACACAGUUGCUUUAGACUCCAUGGUUAGCAAUUAGUAUUUGUUAAGUGCCAUCGCUCUGCCGGACAGUUAGCAGAGAAGCAGCCGAUACGUUGAUGCUCUGAGGACUUACAAAUUGUGUUGAGUUAUUUUUGUUUUCUUCUGCUUUUAGUCACUUUGAACUGGAAAAAUUAGAAUAGAAUUUUAAAACAUAGGAUUCCAUUCCCGCUAGGUCUCCAGGUUUGUGCCAAAUGUUCUCUAGUUUUGAUCUUUGGACAGACAAUAGCAAAUGGGGUAGAAAGUGUUCCUGGAAAAUAAUGAUUAGGCGGGUUUUGUCUUUCUACUCCAUCCUGUCCCAUUGCUUUGCUGGCUGCUGCUGCUACUGUGGCACUGUGCCCCACCUUGUUGCUACAGCCUUCUUUUUCAUGGAUCAGCCAAUCAGGGUUCAAGCAGUUAAGAGAAUGAUGUCAUGACUCCACAUAACCAGUCAGGGACCCCGCAGUGAAUGGCAUAUCAUCUCAAUGCUCUGUAGGCACUGCAGUGAUAUCACAAAGAACAAGUGAAGGCAGUUGAGCACGAGAGUGAAUGAAGGCAAUAUUUUUGCAAAAAAGUACCCAAAGCUCUGAGAAACAGGCAUUUUUCAACAGCAUUUAACAUUUGCGUGAAUGCUGUGCAUCAGUUUGGCACAUUGUUUUUUCCUUCUAAUUAUUUCCCACCAGAAAGCUACAGCUAAUAGGGAGAAACCUUUUUGAAAGGUUUUGGUAGCAGUAUCUGUGGCUCCUCCGGGUGUCUAUAUAUUUCAAUAGAGAGAAUAUUGGGCUAGGAGAGUUGAGAGACUCAGCAUUCUUGGUUCUCAUGUCCAAGGCUUUAUGGAAGAAUGACAUAAUAUAUGGAGAUUUAUUUAAGACAGAUCUAUUUAGAGCAGGCGGUGAAGAUAAUGUGACUUCAGUAGCAAUCUCUUCUACUCAAAGAUAGGGAUAUGGGAUUAAAACAGUGUCUUGUGAGCGCUUUGCCAGUGUUAUUUUUCAGAUACCCUCCAUUAAUUGUAGCAUUUGGUGAAGGCUGGGAGAGAAGCCCAGCCUUCUGAAUUUUGGGAGUGGAUUUCUGGACAACUUCCCAAACUGCAUCUGGAGUCUGGCACAAAACUAUAGGCUUCACUGAGAUCUAGAGAGUGAGCUAAGAGCCCUUAACACCUUAAUGAAAGAACACAUUAAUAACAGUUAACUAAUUUCAUAGUGGGAGAUGUUUUGAGGUGGUGUGAUCUAUAAAAGCUAUUAUCAUGCAACAGAGGCGCCAUCUUCUCACGUGGAUGGAAGCGGCCCCCACAUUGUCCUGAUGUCAUGUGCGCAACAUCAUGUGUGUAGUUGUGAGGAGCCUGGGGCAGAGCUGAACACCCUCUGAGGACUGAGGGGGGCCCAGUCCCCUAAAAAACAAACCAUGGGGGCAGGAACUGCCUUGGCCCCUAAGAACUGGCUCGUAUGUCAUGCAAUGUUAUCUAUGGUUGUUUAAGUGGCGCAGCAUGCAUUGUUCAUUUAGCUGCAAGAAGCUAAAUGACUAUCCUUUUGGAAUUUGCAAUGCUCUCUCUGUGCUUGGGUAAUAAUAAUAAUAAAAUAAUAAAAAUUUAUUUAUAUCCUGUCCUCCCCAGCCGAAGCCGGGCUCAGAGCGGCUAACAACAAUGAAAGUAACACAGUUUACAUAAAACCACAAUCAAUCAAUUAGGGUACCUUAUUAAAGGUAAAGGGACCCCUGACCAUUAGGUCCAGUCGUGACCGACUCUGGGGUUGCAGCACUCAUCUUGCUUUACUGGCCGAGGGAGCCGGCGUACAGCUUCCGGGUCAUAUGGCCAGCAUGACUAAGCCACUUCUGGCGAACCAGAGCAGCGCACGGAAACGGCGUUUACCUUCCCGCCAGAGCGGUUCCUAUUUAUCUACUUGCACUUUGACUUGCUUUCAAACUGCUAGGUUGGCAGGAGCAGGGGCCAAGCAAUGGGACCUCACCCCGUCGCAGGGAUUCGAACUGCCAACCUUCUGAUCAGCAAGCCCUAGGCUCUGUGAUUUAACCUACAUGGUCUAAGACUUUCCAGAACUUGGUGGGACCCAUGGCAGAUUCCAAUAAGUCCUCCUAGAAAUCUGGGACAGGUCCUGUUCCAGAAUAAGAGGAGUCCUGCUGGAUCUAGUGAGGGAGGGAAAUAGAGCGAGGGCGAGUCCUGAGGCCCUGGGGUCUUUUUUGGCCCUCGGACUUGAGGUUUUCCACCCAUCAUACAGAUUAAUGAAGCUGGAGCUCCUCCACUUUCAAGUGAAGCAUCAUCACACUCGCCUACGACUUGGGUUAGUUUGCCUAAAAGAUAAUGGCAAGGUGUCAAGAGCUAAGGCCCCAAUAGGAUGUUGCUUCAGACGUCUUGUGAAUAUAUCAUUUUGCCCUGGCUUUUCCCAGAGCCAUCGCAUUGGACCCUGUUAUUAUGGAUUUACUGUUUCCAAUCUGUCCCACUGCAUUUUUACUUUAUUUUUGUAUGACGCUGAUCAAUUUUAAAAAACAAACAACUUUUAAACAAGUGCAUGCAGAUAAUCAUCUCAAUCAAUUGCAAUAAAGUCGAUUGCUUUUCAGACAGCAACUUCUUGAUGCUUGGCUAUAUUUUCCACUUUUUUUAAAAAAUGAAACACCCAGAAACAGGAAUGGAUCUGUGACAACUCCAGAAUUGCAUAAAUUACCUUCAAAACUCUGCGUAUGCAUCCCCAACCUUUUCCUUUCCCUUUUUCUCCCUCACCCCCCCUAUGUGCGCUUGUGUCCUCUUUGGUGUUUAUUCAACUUGUAUGUAUUUUUCUCCUUCCUCCAUCUGGUGUCUGGUUUAAUGCCAGUCUGUCUGUUACCAUUUCAAGAGCAAUUUAGCCAUUUCAGGAUUUUCUUUUUCUUUCUUUCUUUCUUUUUUUUUAAUUGUUGAAAUAGGUGUAAAAUUGAGAGCCGCCCAUAUGCAAUACUCCCCCACCCUUUCAUUACGUUUGUUUGUUGCUUUUUCUCUUUUUCUUUCUUCUCUUCCUUUCAAGCAAGUUUCUUGCCAUUUACCUUUGCAUUAGCAUUUCCUAUUGAUUGGCAUUUAUUAUUAAUUUUUUUUUAAAAAAAUCGGUGUAUUAUUAUUAUUAUUGUGCUCUUUUGUUUGGCCAUUCAAGAGCUAAAACAAAAGCCACCCAGCCCUACCAGGGGGACGCAUUUGCAUGCGGUGAGCGUUGCCCGGAGAAAAAGUAAUUGCUAAUGCAUAUUUAUGUGGCACAAAUUUGCCAUUUGUUUAUGCAUAAAAUUAUCAAUAGUGCGGGGCGGCCUAGCCGUAGAAAAUGGUGACCUUUUUAGCUUAAUAAAUAGAAAUCAGCUGUUAUUGUGAAGAGAUCAGCCAUUUAUUCUGUGUUGUGGGAUGCAGCCGGGAGAAAGAAAAAAUGUAGAUUGGUGCUGGCAAUAUCAUUAAAUGGAAGGCCAGUGACCCUUUUGGUAUAGUCUAUUAUACUUUUAUCUAAUAGGGGAUAAAUGACUCAGGUUGGGAAAUAGAUUGCAAUCUCCCCUCUCCCUCCUCUGCACUGAAUAGCAGCAAAACUUGCUGCUACACAUUUUUGGCAAUUCAGAGGAUGGCUGCCAUUUAGACGACUGCAAACUUUUAUUUAACUUAGACACACAAUGUAGACUAAUGGGGGAAACAACACACAAAAUCUGGUCCCAAGAGACCUGUGUCUUUCCUUGGCAAAUGGACGAGAGGCAUACCAUACUUUGUUGGUGAGCAAGGGGUCUUUAAGCCCCAUGCAGUGUUUGAAAUUAGCAAGGCACCGGGCGCAUUUAGCGCCUGGCUAUCAGCCACUUGCAACCAAGUGAAGAUGCCCGGGUGGAAGGAUGCUGCCUGGCGUCUCCACCAUCUGGAGGUGCAUGCCUGGGGACCAUUGGAUCUUAACUGCUUUAACACAUUAAUGCCACAUCCUGUAGAAUUCUACCCUUAAUAUUUUAUCUGCACAGUUGGGAUGAAUUUCAGGAACCCAAAUGCUUUUUCUGUGCAGCCUGAGCAGGAGCAGUGAACAUUAUAGUUAAUUGUUGACGCUUGUCUUCACUUACCCCACUCCACUGCCGUGCUCACGGUUGUGAAGAAUGUUCUUAUGUUAUGAAUGCGUCCAUGUCACCCUUAAGAAAAAGAGGUCGAAAUAGGCCAGUACAGUGGAACCUCAGGUUACAUACGCUUCAGGUUACCUACGCUUCAGGUUACAGACUCCGCUAACCCAGAAAUAGUGCUUCAGGUUAAGAACUUUGCUUCAGGAUGAGAACAGAAAUCGUGCUCCGGUGGUGCGGCUGCAGCAGGAGGCCCCAUUAGCUAAAGUGGUGCUUCAGGUUAAGAACAGUUUCAGGUUAAGUACGGACCUCCGGAACGAAUUAAGUACUUAACCUGAGGUACCACUGUAUAUAUGUUGACUGUGCCUCGAUUAAGUGACUUUUCCUGUUUCAGUUCUCAAAGCUCUUAACUAGCGCAAGGUUGUCUUCUGAACUAACCAGAUGUUUAACUGAGAAUCAAUCACAGCCAGUCUAUCAUUUUUUUUGGGGGGGGGGGAUAAGACUUUCUCAACCUGUGGGUCCCCAGAUGUUGUUGGACUACAACUCCCAUCAUCCCUAGCCAGCAUGACCAGUGGUCAGGCAGGAUGGGUGUUGUAGUCCAACAACAUCUGGGGACCCACAGGUUGAGAAACACUGCUUUAGAGCCAACUUGCCCCAAAAUGGCAACUAGACGUUCUGUUUUGGUGACCGCUACCUUGGUUUAAGGAGACAUUUGGUGUCUAGCUUAUAUGUCUGAGUUUCUAACACUGGCCCCAUGAGUCCAGAGUUCCAGCACAUCAGCAGGGAUCCUGAUUGGCCAGGAUCCCCAGUUGUGUGGAGGAUCCUGGCACUCACACCCCAUUCUCAGGUGACAAACGGGGGGGGGGGGGGCGGACUGCCAUUUUAGUGGCACAGUAGCAGGGGUGGAAUUGUGGCUGCUGCUAAGUUUCCUUCCCAGAGGAAGACUUGGAAUGAUGGUAGACUGAAACAUCCACCCUAAUCCUGCUAAAUACAGACGAACCCAAUCAUUAGAGACUCAAAACACCUCUGUAAGUUGAUGAUUGCUGUGACGCACAAAUACAUCAUCUCCGAAGCAAAGGCUCUUUCCUUCAGAUCCAGUGUUUAUGCAGGUUGUAUCAAUUAAACCAUCAAUCUUUAUCCUGCUUAACUGGGAGUCAUUUAGCAGGACUUACUUCUGAGUAGACAUAGUUAGAAUGGCGCUGCAACUGACUGAACUGAUAUGAUUAUUUGGCUAAGAUUUGGGAUGGCAAAAUGUAUACAAAAUGCUCACAGAUAUGUUUUUUGUGUUUUUUAGCCCUUUUCCUGCUAAUGACUCCGUUCCCAUUACCGUGCUUUGAAGACUCUGAAGAAUAGGAAAACCUACAGCUCAGUGCUAUUGGGUAGGACAACGCAAACAAACCCACUGCGCAUAUUGUGAAGGGCGCGCAUCGCAGAGGUGUCCGAUAUGAAAAUGCAAAAGCAGAAACUGGAUAAGGUGAUUCCGCUUGAAUAUUUCCUAUAUGACCAUGAUUUGUGUUUUCCUCUCUGAUAUAAUGAUACAUUCCGUUUUGAGGCACGAUCCUCUGUUUUAUUGGGUUGAUGGUAUGGAACAAACCUCUUGUUUUCUGUCACACAUGACAUUUGAAGGGCAGAAGGUGUAAAAGAUUAUGGAACGAGAAGGGUGGUGAUAACUUGCCUUUGGAACCUGUCCUCCUUCCAUCAGGGAGCUCCCAGCGGUGUAACAUAUCUGCAACACCCUUGCAACGUACGUUCACUGAGAUAGGGUUGCCAUAUUUCAAAAAUCUCAAAAGGGAAAAAAGAGAGUUUUUGAGCUAUUUUUGAUGAAAUUUGCCAAAAUCUACGCUUCCGAAAUGGGCUGCCAUACGUCUGGAUUUUCCCAGACAUUUCAGUGAUUUCUGCCCGGAUAAUGUUUACGAGGCCCGAAUACUGCCUGGGUCCAGGAAACUCCAGAUGUAUGGCAAUCCUACCCGAGAGGUUUUGCCAAGGCUUCUCAGUGGGUUUUGUACCUGAGAUGGACUCUUGAAACCCAGUCCUGAGUUUGGUUUUUGUUUAUUUGAGGAACUCAUCAACCACAUAAGCAAAGAACCUCUAAGCAGUGUAUGUGAAACAGUUUAUAGCAAUUAGCAAUAUGCAAAUAAGUUCAGGAAAAAAAUAAAAACAAGUAUGCCAAACUUGUUUACAUGCUCAGGUAAAGGUAAAGGUACCCCUGACAGUUAGGUCCAGUCGCGGAUGACUCUGGGGUUGGGGCGCUCAUCUCGCUUUCCUGGCCGAGGAAGCCGACAUUUGUCCGCAGACAGUUUUUCUGGGUCAUGUGGCCAGCAUGACUAAACUGCUUCUGGCGAACCAGAGCAGCGCAUGGAAAUGCCAUUUACCUUCCCACUGGAGUGGUACCUAUUUAUCUACUUGCACUUUGACGUGCUUUCGAACUGCUAGGUGGGCAGGAGCUGGGACCGAGCAACGGGAGCUCACCCUGUCACAGGGAUUCGAACCACUGACCUUCCAAUUGGCAAGCCCUAGACUCUGUGGUUUAGACCACAGCACCACCCGCUUCUAACCCACAUGCUCAGGUAGCUUCCCAAAAAGGAAUUGUUUUUACCAGGAGUCUGAAACAACAAAAUGCAUGCGUCUGCUGUUGGUACACUGAAUGCUAAACUCCUAACAGAUGUGGAGUGAACAUUGUAUUGUGCAAGAGUGCAAGUUGUGCAGAUCUAGGUGGUAAACCAGAUACAUAAGGGACAAGACUUGAGAGACGUUUACUGGUCCCAUACUGUUAAGGGCUUUAUGUACUACUAGUAAGAUUUGAAGUUGGCUCAGCAACCAGGGCAGAUCUUUGAGCAGAGGUGUGAUACAGUGCUGGGAUCUCACUCCUGACAUCAAUCAUGCUAAAGCAUUCGACACUAACUGCUGUUUCCAAAACAACCACAAGGGAAGGCCACACAGAGUGCAUUGCAGUAAUCCAGCCUUGAAGUCACAUCAGUGUCUCAGUGUUCCUCACUAUACUUUGCUAUAAAGAUACAGUGCAAUGAAGAGAACUGUGUUGUGUGAAUAGGCGGGGAAUUUCAGAGAGUAAGUGUUGCCACACUAAAGGAUUGGUUGCUUACAAGUGCAGAACAGACAAUAUGUGGCACUUUUGUAAUAGUUCCUGUUCUGCAGUAAGGUGAUCCUUCAAGUAAAGAAAGCUGACUGAGGGCUUUAUAGACUGCUAAUUUGCAUUUGGCCUACCCAUUGUCUUCCAUAGGAAGAAUAUUCCUCCACAGCUGGGGGCAGCAGUGAAGAAUACCUUUCCAUGCAAGCUUCGUGUGUUGCUAGUUUGGUACCUAGAUAGGAAACGUCUCUUAGCUGAUGUGAGAAGCAUUUGUUGUUGUUGUUUAGUCGUUUAGUCUGUCCGACUCUUCGUGACCCCAUGGACCAGAGCAUGCCAGGCACUCCUGUCUUCCGCUGCCUCCCGCAGUUUGGUCAAACUCAUGUUGGUAGCUUCAAGAACACUGUCCAACCAUCUCGCCCUCUAUCGUCCCCUUCUCCUUGUGCCCUCAAUCUUUCCCAACAUCAGGGUCUUUCCCAUGGAGUCUUCUCUUCUCAUGAGGUGGCCAAGGUAUUGGAGCCUCAGCUUCAGGAUCUGUCCUUCCAGUGAGCACUCAGGGCUGAUUUCCUUCAGAAUGGAUAGGUUUGAUCUUCUUGCAGUCCAUGGGACUCUCAAGAGUCUCCUCCAGCACCAUAAUUCAAAAGUGAGAAGCAUUCUUCUCAGCUAUUUUGGGUCUGAGGUGCUUUUGGCCUUUCAUGACCACAACCAACUAUUCUCUGUCUCUUUGUAUACACAGGCAGUCUACCUGAGGCCUAAUCCUUUUCAGAUAAUCCUGUACCUGAUCUGUACCACCUCAGGCAGCAAGUGGGGGCCUCAUCUGACAAAAUGCUAUUCCACACAAGAAUUCCCUUCAUGUAGAAAUCUAGCAUCUCUUUGAGUAGGUUUCUAGUUUAGCCUUCACCCUGACAGGCUAGUUUUCUGUAGGUAAGGUUGUUUUUUAAAAAGUAAAAUAAAAUAAAGGAACAUUUGAUCAUGAGCCCUCAUGAGUCCAAGGUGGUACAGUCAAGAUAGGUUUACCACCCGGUGAGGGUUAGACCUUAGACUUGGCAUGUGCAUGGAACAAGAUGAGGUGGUGCAAUGGAUUGUUCCACUUCAGAUGGGAGGUGGGUAAAAUCAUUUCUGAAUGCUGACCAGUCUCCCUGCAAGUAGAAAUCUCACACUGAACCAGAACAGACUUAGGCCUGACUUAGAAGCAUUUUCUUUGUAAGGUAUUUUUCUUCCAGUAUGGGGUUGGUUUGCUUUAGUUGGGAGAACCUUUUGUAAAUGGUGUACCUCCACAUGCAACCUGAAGUGGUACUGUCCGCUCCACCUCAGGACUCUACCACUUCAUUCUGCUGCAUUACAGACCAAGCUUUAUGCAUAGCUCAUGAAGGAAAACUCCCAUUUUUAAAAAAUUAUAUAAUCCAAAGUGUUCAGCUUGUGGUCUGAAGGACACUGUGCCCCCAUUUUAUUGACAAUCACAGAGUGGUAUUUUACAUCAGUAUAUAUUUGAAUAUAUCAUCUUAUAUAAAAGGUUUCUUUUUAUUUCCAGCAGCUCUCUGAUUCACCUUUGACUCCUAACUGCAAUUAAUCAGCCUUCACUUCUAAGUGAGUUUAUCAAACAAGAAAUCACUUUUCACCCAUCAGUGGGGGUCACGUAUCUAGACAGCAAAAUGCAUACUUUAUAGGGAGGAUAAAGUAUUUCUGCCAGUUGCUAAACUAUUUCUGAAUAAUUAAGGGUCACAGAGUAAUGGCUCACUUUGAGUUUGACUUUAAGGCCUUUGGUGCGACAGAGGUUGCCAGCCGUUGAGAAAGAACCACUUCUUUCUUUUCGAUAUUUUGACUGCCUAAAAACCAAAUGUUGUUCCUUAGAACUUGGAACUUCCAACUCCUUGCUUUCUAUGGGUGAGUGGGGAUUAUAGCCAAUAUCUAUUUACAAAUGAACUGGUGAAUGUUGACUUUUACCAGUUAUUCUUAAGAUUUAUUUUAGGAGGCCAGCGGUAAAUGUUAGAAAUGCUUCAUAUUGUGAGGUUUGUCUUUAACAUUUACAGUACAUCUGUGACAUGGAACAUAUCUGUUAGCUGUGGAUGAAGACAAGAUUUACAGUGCAAUCCUAGGCAUGUCAUAGAUUGCAUCCUUAUUAAAAGCACCUAAUAGCAUAAUAAUUUCUCCCCUUGAUCUCUUAAAUGCUUGGAGGAGGAUGCUUCCUAGCGCACGAAGAAAGCCAAGGCAUUAUAGGAAACAGAGCAUCAGAACUACAUUGGGCUCUCUGAUGAUCACACUCCCUGCUGGCACAAUUCCCAUGUUGGGAAGUGUAGGCCCCAUAAAUGAUGGUAAAUGUCAACAUUUGCUAAAUUGAUGACAUUUACCGUAAGAAAGGGAGAGGGAAGAAGGAAGUUUUCUGAAAUUUGUUGAGCAACAAAUGUGAAAGCCAACAAAGAUGAUUUUAUGAUUUUUUUUGUAAUUGUCUGAAGAUUCAGACUAGUGUUGGUGAAUGUUAAAAUUCACCUAAAUUUGACUCCUUGGUAUAUGUCUGAAAAAUAGGGAAAUAAAGAAAUAAAUGCUGAUAAACACAUUUAGGAGUUAGUCAGCAUUCACAGGUGCAUCUGCGAGGUUUUGGACAUUUUGAACAUUUAUCUGGGAUUGUCAGAAUUCAAGGAUAAAGUGGAGGCAGGACAUGAUGCUAUCAAGUGUGGGGACACUACUGUCUGAUUCGGGGUUGAUUGCUUGCUUCUGGGGAGCUUGCUUCCAUUGCGGUUUAUUAUUUUUGUAGGCAUGUAGGUGUUCUGCCUGCUAUGGGGUGCUGGCAGUGCUGCACAUUGCUAUUAGUAAUUCUAUCUGGGCAUUUUGUGGGGCCUGCUGCAGUCUCUUAGAUUUCCAAAUGUACUCCCAGAUGACUGGAUACCCUUGGAGUAAGAAGUAAGCAUUCCACAUGAGACCUGUGGAGUAGAAAUGAAUUUUCUGCAUGCAAUCAAAUAUGUAUACAGAGCUAGCUUACCAUUGAGUGGCUAUUCUGAGUGAUGGAUAUUUGAAGAAUUCAGUUUCCGUGUAUUCCAGAGCGAACUUACUAGAGGAGCACCUCCUAGGAUGAAUAUAUGGAUCAAACAUAAUUAUCCUUUAGAUUUCACACUACUCUAAAUUUUGUGAUAUAGUGCUUAGCUCAAAAAGCCUACUGAAGUGUCUUAAAAUGCACAUGAUAAGCUAAAAUACGUGCACAAAUCUGUAUGUUUUGAUAAAAUACAUUUGAAUGCAGUUGGUCCCUUACCUUUCCCACCACAACCUGGCCACAGUGAUCCAUGCAACAGUCACCUCCAGGCUUGAUUAUUGUAACUCGCUGCACGUGGGGCUACCCUUGAAGCUGUCCCAGAAACUCCAGUAGGUGCAGAAUGCUGCAGCGAGGCUCCUCACGGGGUCCCUGCCAUGGGAGCCUAUUCACCCAGUGCUUUUCCAGCUGCACUGGCUCCCGGUAGAGUACAGGGUCAGAUUUAAGGUGCUGGUUUGACCUUUAAAGCCCUUCAUAGCCUAGUACCCUCGUACCUAUGGGACCACCUCUCCUGCUAUGCCCCACGGAGGACCUUAAGGUCCAUAAAUAACAACACCUUAGAGGUCCCGGGCCCUAAGGAAGUUAGAUUAACCUCAACCAGAGCCAGGGCUUUUUCAACUCUGGCUCCAGCCUGGUGGAACGCUCUGCCUCAUGAGACCAGAGCCCUGCGGGAUCUGAUUUCUUUCCACAGGGCCUGUAAGACAGAGUUGUUCCGCCUGGCCUUUGGCUUGGAGUCAAUUUGAUUCCCCCCCCCUUUCUUUUUUCCUUUCUCCUCCUGUGAUGAAGCUGUGUUUUAAUGUUUUCAUGUUGUAUUUUAAUCUUGUUUUUAAAUUGUAUUCAUUCGACUUGUUUUUAUAAUUGCUUGUUAGCCGCCCUGAGCCCGGCCUAUUAUUAUUAUUAUUAAAUAUGAAUUCUGCUGCACAUUGGGUUAAUGUGGAUAUGGGAUGAAACAGAUUGAUGAGUGAAUAUGUGCAAAAUUGACAUUCCUGCAUUGCAGGAGGUUGGACUUAGAUGACCCUCAUUCACCCCUAGCCACCACCAGCUAGAAUGACCAUUGCCAGGUUUGAUGGCUGAGUGGUCUAAAACAAUAUUCAGGUGUCUUUGUAUGCUGAAAGUCCCAUACUGUGCAAUAUAUUUAGGAGCAAAAAACAUCCCAGUGUUGCUAUGCCCUAUAGUGAACUAGAUGUGCUUGCAGGGAAGAAUCAUGGGAAAACAAAACAGAUCUUAGCUCCAGGCUUUUUCAUGGAGUUAUUUGUGGACAAGUUGGGGUAGGGGGAGUGAAAAUGGUCAUUGGAAAAAUUAUGAAAAAUACUUUGAUGGUCCUUUAAAGUUGCUCAGCUGAGAGCGAGUUCCCAAAUUGCAGAACAUGUAAAGCAUCAACUGCUUAAUCCCGUGGCUGCUGUUGAGAGCAAGAAGGCAUCAGCAUAAAUAUGUAUAUUUUAACUAAAAGCAGCCAAAGAGUAGAAAGAUGCAGACGAUUGGAGUGCAUGGAACACCAAGAGAGUGAGGAAGCAGCUAUUUUAGCUAAUGUAAUGUAAUGUAAUAGAAGACCCAAACUGCCACAGCAGAACUUGCUGCAUAAUUAGAUUGUAAAUCUUCUCAGCUGAGGAACUUUUGCCCGGGGUCAAGUUGUCGAAGUAAUAAUCCAUUCUACAUAAAUUAGAAGAUUCGAGCUGCUUGGCCACAUUGUUACCGUUCCCUUUGUUUUCUUCUUUGUACCACAGCUCCCCCACCCCCAAAUGUAAUAUUUUAUUUGAUCUCUGGGACAAAAACAAGACACCCGCCCCCCAUGAUCAGCAUUUUUUUGGAAUAUCUAUUUAAAUGCGAAUUGCCCAUAAUUUCUCGAUUGACCCUGUUAAAAAGGCUUCCAAGAAGUUCAGUUGUGAUUAGGUGGAAGUCAAUGAGGCUAAGAGAAAUGGACGUGGCAAGUCAAAAAGACAUAUUGCAUCUGGCAUGGGAAGAAGAUGGAGGAAAAGGCCAAGGUGUUUUAAGAGCUAAGAUGGCUGGUGUUCAUUGGAACUAGUAGGGUGGAGGACAGGGAGGCCACCAGCAGGUGGCGCCAGAGCCAAUCACAGGGUAAAAAGGUAAAGGGACCCCUGACCAUUAGGUCCAGUCAUGACCGACUCUGGGGUUGCGGCGCUCAUCUCGCUUCCAGCAUGACUAACACGGAAAUGCCGUUUACCUUCCCGCCGGAGCGGUACCUAUUUAUCUACUUGCACUUUGACGUGCUUUUGAACUGCUAGGUUGGCAGGAGCAGGGACCGAGCAACGGGAGCUCACCCCGUCGCGGGGAUUCGAACCGACCUUCUGAUCAGCAAGUCCUAGGCUCUGUGGUUUAACCCACAGUGCCACCCGCGUCCCUAAUCACAGGGUAGAGUCAACUAAUUCUGGUUUUGCCCUCCACCUGUCCUCCCUACUGAAUUAUAUAAUGAUAACACUGAGACUAAAGUGAAGGACCACACCAGGAAUGUAUGUAAGUGUCGAGGACUGACUGGAUCCAGUGCUUUUCUUCUUAAAAAAAUGUUUAGGGGUACUCUCAUUUUCCUACUCAUAUUGAAAUACUGCCCCUCAAUGAAGCUAAAUUUAGAUUCACAAAAUGUUUAGGGCUAUGCGUUCCCCUUUGUCCCCCCAGAAAAAAGCACUGGCUGGAUUCAGAGGAGUGGUAGGAGACACCAUCUGGGGAACCCCCAAGGGAAGAAGGUUCAGAGCCAGGGGGUUGGUGGUGGGGUGACGAUGAGAGGUCAAAGGGAGAAGACUGGGAGGAGGAAGAGGUGUUGGAGGCUGAAGGGGCAACAGUCUUUAGUGAGCAGGAAGAGGCUGUGGCAGAGAGCAGUCCAGAUUCAGUGUCAGGAGAGGAAGAGGGCCAGGAGACAGAGAUGAGGCAGGUUGCUGAAGAAGCCAGGCAGUCUCCCCCUCCUGCUGCGACCAGCUUCCCUCAUCCUUGGUCUCCCAGAACACACAGAGAAAUGAGAAGGACAGGGCAAUGAGUAACAAGAAAGCAGAGCCUUAGGGUGCUGGGGAAGGAGCCUUACAGAGCAGUGGGAAGGUGGGGACCUUCAGUUUUCCUGACUGCCUCAUUGCGGCAAGACCUACGGGGAAGAGUUGCUGUGAUCACUUGGUUUCUUUGCAUAAAGAGUUAAUUUCACUGACACCAGUUUUAUCGCUGACCUGCACCGGACAGAUGGCAAGCUCUGGGAGUGUGCAUGUGUAUGUAAUCACCCCUUUCUCUGUAUGUGAUAGGUUCAUUCCCUGUGUGUGCGUGCAAAACCACCGCUUUCUCUCUCUGUGUGUGCCCCUUUCCUUCCAUGGCUAAGAUUUGCAGACUGAGAUUGGUAAGGCAGUGCCCCAAUGCACUAAUGGACCAACCUUCUCUGUUCAAGAGGGUCUCAAAUAUAGCAAAGUCCAAUUCACAGGGGGUUCUGCAGAACCACGGGGCAACGCAGCAGGGCACGGACCCAUGGUUUUCCCUCUAGAUAUGGGGGGCAAGGUCAGCGAAGUUGCAGAACUUCUCCCAGCAGCACGGUCCCCACUAGCCAGACAUGAGAUUGAGGAAAUUGGCCGAGUCUGUCAAUUAUAAUUUCCCUCUGUUUCUCAUUUUUUCCAGCUCUCCGCAUUUUUGCAUUUUCUCUUAAUAAAUACAUCUGUGUCUACAAUUCUGCCAAAUCAACACCUUCUUGCAAGCAGUUUCCACUAAUAUCUGUGUGCAUGCACAUGAAAGCUUAUACCAGAACAAACUUAGUUGGUCUAUAAGGUGCUACUAGACAGUUUUUUAUUUUUUAUUAUUUUUAUUUUGACUGUGUCAGACCAACACGGCUACCUACCUGAAUCUACUAAUAUGCUUUCACAUUUCUAUGCAAACUUUCCCCUAACAUAUACAUAUAUAUAUAUCUGGCUAGAGAACGAUCUUGAAAAAUUAUUUUCUGCAACAGCUCUCUAAGUUCUUAUAAUAUGAAGACAAACGUACAUUUUUCAAGGUUUUCCAUUGCUGGGCUAUUGAAGCCCUACUGCAGCCACCAUCCAUGAGAAAAGUUCUUUAGAGUGACAAGCUUUUCAUGUGAUCAGUCCACAUAUUUAGCAAUGACAGUUAUGGGAAGGCCUAAAGAAGUGAUGUAGUUAUUUCAGAUAUUUCUUGAGGCCAGAAUGAUGAAAGAAGCAUGGAUUUUGAAGGGUAGUUGGGUUUUGGUUUGCAAAUUGUGGUAGGAAGUACAAAUUGGGUAGAUUUGUGUUAAAGCAGGGGUCAGCAACCUUUUUCAGCCGUGGGCUGGUCCACCAUCCCUCAGGCCAUGUGGUGGGCCGGACUAUAUUUUGGAAUAAAAAUGAACGAAUCCCUAUGCCCCACAAACAACCCAGAGAUGCGUUUUAAAUAAAAGGACACAUUCUACUCAUGUAAAAACACACUGAUUCCUGGACUGUCCGCAGGCCGGAUGGAGAAGGCGAUUGGGCCGCAUCUGGCCCCCCAGCCUUAGGUUGCCUACCCCUGUGUUCAAGCAUGACCCAAACCAAAUCUAACCUGCAUCCUUACCUACACAUAAUUAAGCAUAAAGGGGACUUAGAAGAAUCGGGCAUCCUUGGCAGCGGAAAAUAACAAUGUGAGCAAAGAAGGGAGGGGUGGUCAGGGGAAGAAAGAAUCCUAAGGAGAAAAUUAAGAUCUUCUUUCCCCAAUUCAAAACAACCUGCUCUCAUUACCACGUUUGUAACUUUAAUUACAAUCUCCCUAUUCAGUGUUGAGGUUCCUUUCACCUUUUAAACUGCUCUGUGUUAUUACUCAACAGCAAAGGAACAUUGCCUUUUGUGUAGGAACUCCAAAAAUAAAAAAAGAAAUCAAGACCUCAAGACUGCUUGUGAGGCAGAAAUAAUCCAACCAUUAUUUCUGGUGUAAAAGGUUCGUGAAUUGCAUCAUUUGCCUAGAAGCUCUUUUCCAACCUAAUAACUCCCUGGCAUAAUGACCUAAAAGGGUUUUUGAGAAAUAUUUAUAUAUAUAUAUACUUUGGCCCAUAUUACUAUACGAUGGGAGGGGAGCCCUUUAACAUCCUGAUUGGCUGGGGGAUAACCACAAAGUUAAGCUAUAGCUGCUUACUUGGAAAAAUCACGAAUGUUCUUAUUCUCUUAAGUCAGAAAAGUGAAAUAUCAAAGUAAUCCAAGAGAGUGAGAGACUGCCAGAGUUAAAAAAAUUUUUUUUUUUUUGAAAAAAAUAUCUUAUUGCUAUAAUGACCUUCGUGAUGGUCAUUUAACUAGCUUUUUAAUCCCUUUGAGGAAAGCUUUCUUCCUUGGGGAAAAAAAAUCCUCUUCUUUAACCUGCCUUGGGCAAAAAUCAUCCCUACCAAACUAAAAAUAUAGCAGAACUAUAAAUCCUCACUUAAACUUAAGCACCCUUCACUGCAGAGAGUUGGAAGAAGAAAAUGAUGGUGUUGAUGAUGAUGAGCAGGUCUGGACUUUCAAAGGCUAUCAUGGCUUGGGGAGAAGCUGCACUCUGCAGUGGGAUAGAGCUGUUAAGCUACAUUUUGAAAAGAUCUUCCUUAAAGGCAUUUAAAUGGACAGCCGUGGUCUGUAACCAAAUGUUGUGCAUCUUUGAGAAGCCAUCUCUCCUUUCUCCAUUAGUGGUGUCUUCUAUGAUUUUUUUUGAAGGCAGAAGAGUGGGUUGGGCCACUUUGGAUUGCAUGUGCAGUGUUUUAAUUACCCUACUUUUUGUAUAGAAAUAAAUAAAUAACCCAUAAAAAAUAAAUUCCAACACAUCAGGAAGAAAUGUUGGAGCACAGGCCACUCCCCACUGUGCUAAUUUUUCAAUUUGCUCCCAAGUCUCUUAUGGGGAUCGAACCUGCAACUUUGGCGUUACCAGCACCACGCUCUAACCAACUGAGCUAUCCAGGCCAAUGUAGGAGUGCAUUCAAUGAGACUCCUCCCACCCACCGCAUGGAGUGGCACCAUCCAUCGUCUCACCAGAGGCCUCUGUUGCCUCAUCCUCUGCUCAGGGUGAUGCAAGUAGACCUCACUGCGGAGUUACCUUCAUCUCCUCCAUAGGUUCCUUGGACUGCUGCUUUGAGUAGGAAAAGGUUGACUCCUCAAUCUCUUGCCCAAAGGAUGGUCCCGAUCCAAACCCAUUCCCUAGCAGUCACAUUUCCCCACCCUCUCACUUCCCUUAGACAGGAUUACAUUCAAGGUAUCUCUGUUCUAUUAGCCAUGGUUGUCUCUCCCAUCAAAGCCCACCGGGCUCUUUUCAGGGGCCUCUCCAAACAAUGAGUGCAGUGAGGCUGUUCUGUCUAAUUACUCCAAGACAGGGAUGCUAAAGAGGAAUUAAUGACAGUUGACAAGUGCAAUUAAUAAUUAUAGCAGAGCCGCGAGUCAUGCAGCAGGCAGAUGACAAUAACAGGGUAACCGUACAUGACAGCUCUUCAAAUGCCUCUCUUCUCUCUUCCCCUCCUUUCUCCUCUUCCUCCCUUUUCUCCCCUUUAAUGUGAAUUGAGGUCCAGAGGAAAUGCUGACAGCAGGGUGCAGGGCAUGCAGAAGAUGUAAGUCCCCAGUCCCUCCCUCCCCAGAGAUGACGGCCCCCAUCACACUGGCCAGGAAGUCACCCUUUGUACAUGUUCUCACUUGUUCUUGCUAUCAGGUGUUUUGUGUGUGUGUGUGUGUGUGUGUGUGUGUGUGUGUUUUCCAAGGCUGCUUAAAAUUCAUCUGGGAAGGCUGGAAGGAGGAAGGGGACAGGCAGGAGCAGCAGCAGCGGCAGAGCCAGAGUUGAAGUGGUAUUUCCAUAUCAAAGGCCAGGCGGUUGGCUGGGAAUGGUAAUUAAAGUACCCAGAUUUCAUCUCCUUGGUCAGCUCAUGAAAGAGGAGGUGGGGAGGAUGGAUGCAGAGAGAAAUUAGAGAGAAGCUUCCCCCCCCCCCGAUUUCUCCUUCCCUUUAGUCUCCAAUAUUGCGAGCAGAGCAUUAAAUGAAAGUUGGGCUAAAAGGUAACCUACCUCUUCAGUUUUGAGGUCCAGUGGUAUGUAUGUUUAUGUAUUUCCCCCCCCCCCCGAAUGCAUUUAUUGAUAUGUUAAUUUCACACGGAGGAAUACUGUUUGUUCAGGUACGCAUCUACGACUUCUCAUGUUGAUCUCUGAUAUCAUAGAAUUAAAAAGUUGGAAGAAGAAGAAGAGUUUGGAUUUGAUAUCCCGCUUUAUCACUACCCGAAGGAGUCUCAAAGCGGCUAACAUUCUCCUUUCCCUUCCUCCCCCACAACAAACACUCUGUGAGGUGAGUGGGGCUGAGAGACUUCAUAUAAGUUUGACUAGCCCAAGGUCACCCAGCAGCUGCAUGUGGAGGAGCAGCGAAUCGAACCCAGUUCACCAGAUCAUGAGUCCACCGCUCUUAACCACUACACCACACUGGCUCCCUGGAAGAGACCCAGACCCAGGUUAGAGUUUAGUCCUGCCCAGACCUUGAACACUGGCUCUCUCAGAUGUGGAGUGAAGAGAGCUGGACCCUCCAGCUUAUCUCCAUGUUAUUAUUUUUAUACUUUAUUGAAUUUAUAUAUCACUCUAUACCCAGGGGUUUCAUGCUGCCAGUGAUGUGGAGGAGCCAUCAGACUGGACGUCCUCCACACCAUUGCAUAGGUUUCUGACCUGCUUUCAGACACCCCCUCAUCUCCCCUAGGGCCACAAGAGCAGAGUUUAUGGUGAUCUAGGCAAGAAACUCCCUUCCUGCGGCUGCCACAAGCUGGUAUUCAGAAGCCUUGCUACCUCAGACAGUGGAGUCAGAGCUUAGCCAUUUGGUUAGUUGCCAUUGAUAGCCAUCUCUGCCAUGAAUUAAUCUGGUCCUCUUUGAAAACCAUCUAGGCUGUUGGCCAUCACUGUCUCCUAUGUAAAAGAGUCAAACUGCUGUGUUAGCAGCACCAAAGUGACCUCCCCGGGGCACAAGCCUGGGCAGUAUGUAUGGAAGUCCUGGGCUGCCUAGGCAACAAGACCACCCCCUCCCCAUCAGCUUCACUGAUCCAAAGGAAUGUGGUCCAAAGGAAAGCAGAGCAAGACAUGUGGCACCAGCAGGGCUGCAGGAGUUGCCGAAGGAGGAAUACAAGGCAUCAUUAAACCGUAUUACGGACUCCAGUCCAGAUUGUGUAGGGUUUACUUCAGGCUUCCUCAACCUUGGCCCUCCAGAUGUUUUUGGCCUACAACUCCCAUGAUCCCUAGCUAGCAGGACCAGUGGUCAGGGAUGAUGGGAACUGUAGUCUCAAAACAUCUGGAGGUCCGAGGUUGAGGAAGCCUAGUUUACUCCUUAGUCCUUUUUUCCUCCAAAAGACAGGCAGCAGACGUUUAGGAACAGAGUUUUCCUUCUCCUAGAUACAUUACUUUCCCAGGUUGACAAGCCCCAACUGUCCUUCACUUCCUUAUACAGCAUGUGCAGAAACCAGAAACUUCUUGACCGCUGGACCUGCUAUUGGUCUUGUCCGCUUGUUACAAAGAAGUGAAAUGCUUCAUAUACAGUGGUACCUUGGGUUAAGUACUUAAUUCAUUCCGGAGGUCCGUACUUAACCUGAAACUGUUCUUAACCUGAAGCACCACUUUAGCUAAUGGGGCCUCCUGUUGCCGCCGCACCACCGGAGCACAAUUUCUGUUCUCAUCCUGAAGCAAAGUUCUUAACCUGAAGCAUUAUUUCUGGGUUAGCGGAGUCUGUAACCUGAAGCGUAUGUAACCUGAAGUGUAUGUAACCCGAGGUACCACUGUACAGUAUUUGUAAUUUAGCUUGGUACUUUUAACUUAGUACAGUGGUACCUUGGGUUAAGAACUUAAUUCAUUCUGGAGGUCUGUUCUUAACCUGAAACUGUUCUUAACCUGAAGCACCACUUUAGCUACUGGGGUCUUCUGCUGCUGCUGUGCCGCCACUGCACGAUUUCUGUUCUCAUCCUGAAGCAAAGUUCUUAACCCAAGGUACUAUUUCUGGGUUAGCAGAGUUUGUAACCUGAAGCGUCUAUAACCCGAGGUACCACUGUACUUCAAACUUAGCAUCCAACUUUUCCUCCUCCUCCUUUCCUCUCCACAUUCAUAUUGGCAGUCAGCCAUGUGGGUUUUAGCCCACUUCUUUUUAAUAAACAAAACUGCAAUCAGGAAGCUGGCUGGAUCAAAUAGGAUCCGGUGCAUCAGGGAUGCUGAUCGCCGGGUCUGGGUUGGUUCAUGUGGGGAGAGGUGGUCUUUGAAGAACUGGGGUCCUGAGCCCCAUGAGGCUUUAUAGGUCAAAACUAUUACUUUGUACUGAGCUUAUAAACUUCAUUGGCAGCCAGCACAGUCAUGCCAGAAAUUGUGUUAUUAGCCUGAACCAGCAGGGCUCUCUUUGGGUAAGUUGUCACAGGCAGGGGUGGUCCAUGACAUUUUGCUGCCUGAGGUGCAGCAGUAACACCCCUCGCCAAAGUCAAGAUACAUAGUAGCCAAGGUUGGUCAAGUUAUUUUGUCACCUGAGGCAGCAAAGCCCACAAGCGCCUUUCCCUGGAAGCAAAACUUUCUGCUCAUUCAUGACACUCCAGAUCAGCUGCCUGAGGGGGGCUGCCUCACUCUGCCUAAUGGUAGGUCUGCCUUGCUUAUGGGACACCUUAUUUGGGCAUGCAGUGGCCAUAUUAAGUGGGGAAAAUGGGAGAUAAAUUGCCAUAGCAUUACAUGUGCCUGACCAUCUACGAAUGAUGUCCAUUGUGUCAUUGUUUAAAAGCAUUUGAUAUAAUUUCAGCUUCAUGGAACAUUUCCCACCUCCGUCCAAGUUUUAUUUUGCAUUUGGUUUGGAGAUUAAUUUAGAUCAAUAUCAGGGAUUGACCGCCUCGCCCCUUGCCUACAAGAUGCGCAGACUUGCAGAAUCUCUUGCUUUUCAUCUUCCAGACUGUCCCCCUCUCUUUAAGUCUCUCUCUCUCUUAAGCUCAAAUGCAUCAAUUUAUACCUGGAUGUGUGUGUUUAAAAAAUAAUAAUACUUUGCUACGGGGGCCCUGAAACGAAUAAAACUGUGAUCCUCAAUGUGGCCAUUGUGCUUGCCUCAUUUUUCUCCCCCCCACCCCCCACCCCCGGUAUCGAUUUAUCAGCUGAGAGAAAUUACUCGCUAGAAGAGAAGAUGCCAGUCGGAAUGACAUUUACUUCAUCGUAGAGGGAGGCUCUGCGGCGGGUUUCCAUGUAACCCAGAUAUUGGAGCUGUAAAAGGCCUUGUAACAAGGUUUAGUGCUAUGAUUUGAUCGUGUGGUGCACCUUCGCUGUCAUAAUAACAGCCACUCUGCUGGAGCCAAGGCCCUUCGGUUAUGGCCAACUUUUUCUGUCUUGCCCCCCCCCCCAUCCUGCUUUUUACACAGACAAAUGAACUAGUUUUACUUCCUCUCUCUCUUCUCUCUCUCUCCUCACCCCGGCAUCAAAAUUUCUGGAACAAAAGCAGGGAUCACAGAAGUCUAUAACAUACAAGGAUUUAGGCUUUCAUGUCAUGGAAUUAUUUUUUUCUUAAAAAGAGAGAGAGAGAGAGAGAAAGGCAAAACGCACCCUUAUUAAUCAUUUGAGCUUCUUUAUAUCUUCCCUUUUUUCUAGUGAAAUAACUCUUACGAUUUUUAAUUCACCAAAGCGAAUCUUCUUCACCAGUGAUUGUAAGUUACAUUUGCCUAAGGCUACAAUUACCUGCAAAAUGAAAGGCUUUUGUUGUUUUUUUCAAAACUACAACGUGGAGUGGGGUUCAUAAUUUUAUACGUGCCACACAUUAAAAUGCGGUUGUUUGGAUCGAGGGUGAAGCUUGUGCACAGUUCUGACCUGAUAUCCUGGCCCAACUGCACUGGCUGCCAAUUAGUUGCCAGCCUCGAUUCAAAGUGCAGGUUUUGACCUAUAAAGCCUUAAAUGGCUAAGGACUGCAGUACCUCAAGAAGGGACCGCCUCUCCCCAUAUGAACCGACCAGGACCCUGCAGUCGUCAUCUGGGACUUUUCUUCAUGUGCCUUUGCCCCAAGAGGUCUAGGGUGGUAACAAGAGAACAGGAGUUUUCCGCAGUGGCUCCCCAUUUGUGGAAUGCUCUCUCCAGGGAAGCCCUCCUGGUGCUUUCAUUGCAUAUAUUUGGGCACCAGGCAAAAACUUUCCUCUAUAACCAAGCCUUUGGCCUUUAGCUAUCUGUGGCUUUCUCGAAGUGGGUGGGAUGUUUUAAAUGUAUUUCUUUUUCCUCUUGAUUUCAAGGUAUCUUAUGGGCUGCGGGGUUGUCUGUCUCUUUGUCUGGCUGGUUAUAAAUCCUUUUGGGUUGCUCUGAGCAAAAUAAAGUGACCAAUUAAUUAAUUAAUUAAUUAAAAAAUACCCUUCAGUGGCUGAUUCUCCAUGUCAUGUCACCAUGAAUUACACUUAACGGACCAUUGAGCAUGAUGGUUUGCUUUGAAUCACAGCCAUCCCAAGAUGCUAUGAAGCAGGAUUAUUAUACAGUGGUACCUCGGGUUAAGUACUUAAUUCGUUCCGGAGGUCUGUACUUAACCUGAAACUGUUCUUAACCUGAAGCACCACUUUAGCUAAUGGGGCCUCCUGCUGCCGCCACGCCGCCAGAGCACAAUUUCUGUUCUCAUCCUGAAGCAAAGUUCUUAACCUGAAGCACUAUUUCUGGGUUAACAGAGUCUGUAACCUGAAGCGUAUGUAACCUGAAGCGUAUGUAACCCAAGGUACCACUGUAUAAGGUCUGUUAUUGGUGAAGUGGAAGCCAAAACGCCUAUGGUACCUUUGGCGUUGGCACUUGCCAUUGGACACAAAGUGAUACAGAAGCAAUGCCAAGGUGUUUACAGACUCUGCCUUUCGUUGGUGAUUUAUUUUGCCAAGGAAGGGCUUUAUAAAAUCAGGCCAGCUAUUCCUUUCACUUUCUCUUGCACUCUCUGGGCUCCUCCAGACCACCUGUUCAUCGAGCAGCUGUCUUGAUUUGCUUCCACAAAAUAUAUACAAGUUAGGAAGUACCUAGUCUUUAUUGCAUAUUUGUUCUGUUUUGUUUGCGGGGAGGUUAUUCGUCAACGAAAUGAACCUGUCCUGUAUUCAUCCUGAUUUGCUUGUAUGGCAUUUACACCUCUUCCUGCUAAUGAUUCAUUCAUGCCACACUUUUCAGUGCAUUUCCCCAUUAUUUUUAUAACUGGGAAAAGUCAGUUUCUUCCUGCAUUGCAGGGGGGUUGGACUAGAUGACCCUUGGGGUCCCUUCCAACUCUACCAUUCUAUGAUUCCCGAAAGUGGGUUUGUUCUGCUUGGGUGGCAGAGUGCUUUGACCCAUUUUAAUUGCAUAAACUACAAAGGGUGGUUGACUGCCCUUCACUGGAGGUAUUUAAGCAGAGAUUGCAGUGCCACCUGUCAAGGUUUCUUUAGCGGCGAUCCCUGCAUUGCAGGGGGUUGGACUUGAUGGCCAUUGGAGUCCCUCCUGACAAUACAGUUCUAUGAUACCUACAUUUCCCAAUAUAUGCUUGAAUCUCUCCUGCAAAAUACUGACCGUCAGGAAGCACACUUUAUUUCUUGCAAUCAGAUUUUUUUCCUCCCACUUAGUUUCAUUCAGUAAGAGGGCUUGGGAAUGGACCAAUAGUUGCAGAAGUAGACCUCUUUGGAUGCUUCUGUGUUAGGUUUAAACUGGCUGCAGUAAACUGAAAUCACUGCACAUUUUGGAACCCUGGUUUUCCACAGAGAGUUGCCGAAAUAGUGGAAAGGGGACAGAGACAGCAUAUGCAUACCAGCUCAUGCGUUUACUUAACCCAAAGGGAUGCAGGUGGUGCUGUGGUCUAAACCACUGAGCCUCUUGGGCUUGCUGAUCGGAAGGUCGUCAGUUCGAAUCCCUAUGACGAGGUGAGCUCCUGUUGCUCUAUCCCAGCUCCUGGCAAGCUAGCAGUUCAAAAGCACGCCAGUGCAAGUAGAUAAAUAGGUACCACUGUGGUGGGAAGGUAAACGGCGUUUCCAUGCACUCUGGUUUCCAUCAUGGUGUCCUGUUGCGCCAGAAGUGGUUUAUUCAUGCUAGCCACAUGACCCGGAAAGCUGUCUAUGGACAAACGCCGGCUCCCUCAGCCUGAAAGAGAUGAGCGCUGCAGCCCCAUAGCCGCCUUUGGCUGGACUUAACCGUCCAGGGGUCCUUACUUAACCCUAACACAGAAUACCUGAAGAGGGCUAAACUAUCUUGUGCUAACCAAUCAUCUCCCCCCCACCUCCAUUUUGCUUGCAUGUGAGAACUGGCAGAUUAGUCUUUGAAAGUAUCUUUCACAGGUGAUUUCAAUUUAAUGCAGCCAGUUUCGUGCUUUAAUAAUUGUGGCUGAGGGGCUUGACUAGAUUGCAAAAGUGCUAAUCCAAAAAAAUAUUAUCCAAUCAUAUGAUGUAUUUGCACGAGACAUUUCUGUUUUAAUAGCAUCCCCUCCCGUUCCUGCCAAGGCGCCCCCAUGCCCACGUGCGUCUUCUGGCAUUGGUAGCCCUAUCCAAUAAUCGAUGGUCGUUUAAUGCUUGAAAAAAGGUUUUCUGCAGAAAUCAAUGCAGUUUGCUUCCAAAAUUAGGGUCAAGCAUUCUUGCCUAGGUCCCAAAGAAAAAUCCCAUAGCCUUUAGCUGGGCUGCAGCUGGAAGUUCGAGAGUAGUAGAGGAAGAGGGUUUGCUGCUUCAAAUUGACAUGGAAACAUUGUAGGUUAGGUAAAGGUAAAGGUAAAGGGACCCCUGACCAUUAGGUCCAGUCGUGGCCGACUCUGGGGUUGCAGCGCUCAUCUCGCUUUAUUGGCUGAGGGAGCCGGCGUACAGCUUCCGGGUCAUGUGGCCAGCAUGACUAAACCGCUUCUGGCGAACCAGAGCAGCGCACAGAAACGCUGUUUACCUUCCCGCCGGAGCGGUACCUAUUUAUCUACUUGCACUUUGAUGUGCUUUUGAACUGCUAGGUUGGCAGGAGCAGGGACCGCUCCUGCCAAUGGGAGCUCACCCCAUCACGGGGAUCGGUAAGUCGUAGACUCUGGUACAAUGAAAAUGAUCUACUAGGAAUAAGGGUAGAUGGGUCUGUGAAUUUUGGUUUCUUUCAGUUUCUCAUUUUUCCGAUCUUAAAUACAGUUAUCCACAUUUCUGCAGAAUUUUGUGGAUUUUUAAAAAAAAUCCUCUGGAAAGUUUUGCAUGAGUUUCUCCUAAUAAAACAUAUUUUUCUGUGUAGUUUAGACUAACAUACGGAUUUUGCAAUCUGUUUCCCCUAAUAUAAAGCAUUAUUAUAUACUAUUUUCACUAAUCUAUUCAUUUUAGUCAUUUUAGGCAUUCUUCCCCCAAAAAAUACAUGCUGAAAUUUAUAUUGAAAAAUUCAGAAAAGUGUGCCUUUCAGAGGAUAGCUGUCUUUUGAUUGGCAUAUGGUUCAAGAAGCGCGAAUGAGGUGGUUUCUCAUUAAAAUGCGAACAAAACCAAACUUUGCAAAUAAACGGCCCCUUGAUGGUCACAGCAAUUUGACCCGCAUUACUGCAGCUUUUGCUGGAAAUGUAGAGAAGGAGUCCUUGGCUGCACUUUGGGGCAGAUAUGGGCAGUGUUUUGAGUAGCACCAUAUGCUGGUGUCAGUCACCCCCUCGAUUAUGCCAGCUCUGGGGCCACGAACACCCCCUUGCCGACUCCCUAGGGAGCCUUGGCUCUCAACUGUUGCCGGCCAUUGCUCUUUUCUCCUUCGUGCCACCAUUGUCAACUGGAGCCUCAUUCAGGGAGGCAGCAGGGGGCAGCAGCUGGCAAUGGCAGGAAGAGGGCGGAAUCUAAAUCAGCCUAAUUUAUGCCUCGUUGGCAUUGACCCAAAGCUUCAUGAAUAUCAUAGCACUGUUAAAAUGUUGCUCCUUUCUUGGAGCUGGGCACAGUUCAGCAACAGGCUGUGAUGAAACUGAAGCGUCAAGCUGAGCCACAAGAUAAUUGAGAGGCAGUGUGGUGUAGUGGUUAGAGUGCCAGGCCUGGGAGACCAGGGUUCAAAUCCCCACUUGGCCAUGUAGUUCUGUGCGAUGCCCUGUCUCUACUGUUGGAGCCUGCUUCUCUACGUAUUUAAAAGAAGAAUAAAAAGUGGACAAAUGCUCUUCUCCACAUCAGGAUCCCUACAGCAAAGAUGCUUCUUCAUUUACUGAAUGAAGCUGGACAUCCUUCUGGGGACACCGGAUUGGUGCUAGCCCAAAUGACCCAACCAGUGUUAUGCAUCUGGAGACACCCUUGCCAAUGUACAUGUAGGAGACCCCCUUGCAAUUUUUCCAUGCCUUUGGCCUCCAGGCAUUCCAGGACUACAAACACCAUUAUCCUCAGUCAGCAUGCCCCAUGAGAAGUGUCAUCCUACAACAUCUGCAGCCCCAAGGCUUGGAAAGGUUUCCCAUAUGGUUUCUGGUCUUCAAGAGCCACCAUGCCUAAUAGACUCAUGUAGAUUUCUCUGUCGGUGUACUCUCCAUGUGUUCUAGGGUCAUGGGGGCAGUCAGUGUGGUAACUUCCAGAUGUUAUUGGACUACGACAGGGGCUAUUGGGUUGUUGUUUUGGUUUUUAUUAUGUAUUUUGUUUUAUAUCUUGAUUUUUUUCUGUGAACCUCCCUGAGACCCCCGGGUAUAGGGCAGUAUAUAAAUUCAAAUAAUAAUAAUAAUAAUAAUAAUAAUAAUAAUAAUAGGCACCAUAUUGGUUCUCACUGAUCUGGGGCCAAUGCAGCCAUAGUUGCCUCCAUGGGUAGGGCUCACUUGUGCAACUUGCCCCACAUGAAAAAUAAGUUUGAGACAAUUUUUUGGGGGUGGGGGCACAUGCAUUACCUCCAGGUCUCAUUGCCAGUCAUAUAAAUGGUAGGGGAACACGUGUGACCUGAAGAAUUUCAUGCUCUCAAAGUUAAUUCGCUUUAUCAUGGACAACCAAAAUUGGGUCUCAGUCGCUUCCUGAGUGAAACCUGGUGUGUACCAUAAAACAACUGCAGAGGCUGCUUGGUUAUCUCCAUAUUUUGCUCAGGUCCCCAAGUUUGGUCGUAGGAAGGAAUCAGUGUGUUUUUACAUGAGAAUAAUGUGUCCUUUUAUUUAAAACACAUCUCUGGGUUAUUUGUGGGGCCUGCCUGGUGUUUUUACAUGAGUAGAAUGUGUGCUUUUAUUUAAAAUGCAUCUCUGGGUUAUUUGUGGGGCAUAGGAAUUCAUUCAUUCCCACCCCCCCAAAAUAGUCCAGCCCCCCACAAGGUCUGAGGGAUGGUGGACCGGCCCACGGCUGAAAAAGGUUGCUGACCCCUGGUGUAGACAGUACUGAGCCAAGUACUAUGCAAAAUACUUAGCGUAAACAGCAGCUGAGUAAUGUCAUGAGUCAGAUGUGGUCCACAGCUGCAUUUUGCCUAACACUGCUGUUUGCGUCCAAGAAAAUCCAAGGAGAAGCCGUGCACUUUUUCAUAGGGAAAUUGGCCCCUAGGAAGCAGAGUAGGGGGUCACUGUGACCUUUUGGUCCCCUCCUUCCAUUUCUUCCGAAAGCAAAACAUCUCCCCUUCUCAGCUCCUGACCUCCUUCCUCCGCCUCCUCCCGGCCGCUUUGUUAUUCCACCGAAGAGUAAACAGUAGAUGUUACGCGAGGCUCUUAAAGCUGCGCUCCAAGCACACAAUGCUUUUGGGCAUGCUCUGUGUGCAGGUCCCUGGCAGCCAUAAAUUAAUUAAAAGUAGAGAGGAACCGUCGUCGGGAAAAGCAAGCGUCUUUUCCCUCCCUCCCCGCCAAUCUUUGUCCCCAGCUUUCCUUUCAUUCUCUGUGGGUAAAUAGCUAAUUCCUUUGUUCCUUGCUGCACCAUUUCAUUUCUGCCAUCAUUGUCCUCAUUGUUCUCUGGAACAGGAGGGGUCUGGGCCAGGAGCAGCCAAGGUCUUGGCUAAUGACGGGAAGUCUUUAAAGUUUGCGCUGCAUUUCAUCUUCUCUGUGGGAGUUUUAGGACGCAUCCAGUGUUUGAUCCCCACCGUGCAACUUUGCUUCUAGUUAAUUAACAGAUCCCCAUUACACUCUCUCAUCUGCAAGCGCAUGGGAGGCCUAUCAGGAGGUAAUUCAAGGCCAGUCUGAAUGAUGGCAGGAAUUAGAGAAAUCGCUUGUUUCGGGGGGGGGGGUUAAUGUUCAGGAAGAAAGCCUUCCCCUUUGCCGAGGUCUAAUUGAAAUGUUGUAUUCUGCUGUAACCCAUUUGGGGUCUAUUAUUUUCCCUCCUCCCCCCCUCACUUUCUUACUGCCCUUUGUGACAACUGGAAAGGUGGUGCUCAGAAGACAGUGAGAUUGUCUCUCUCUUUUUCUCUCUGCACAUAUGUAUUGAUUUUUUUGUGAGGAUGUGCAGCCAAGCCAGUGGUGAGCAUAGUUGACAUUUACGGCCAGGUUAGCAAUAAGAGUCAUGGUUAAGUAUUGAUGAAUAAAUAAAAAAAUAAAAAAAUAUAAUCAGGCAUAAUAGAAUCACAGAGCUGGAAGGGACCCGAGGGUCAUCGAAUCCAACCCUCUGCAAUGCAGGAAUAUGCAGCUGUUCCAUUCGAGGAUCGAAUCUGCAACCUUGGCAUUAUCAGCACCACACUCUAACCAAGUGAGCUAUCCAGCUGCUUCUAAAAAUAUGGUUUCCUCAUACUUACAACUUAAUGUUGCGACACAGCUAUUGCUGAUCACUAUAUGUAUCAGCAGUAAGUAAAGGUAAAGGUAAAGGUACUGGUACCCUGAUCAUUAGGUCCAGUUGCGGACGACUCUGGGGUUGUGGCGCUCAUCUUGCUCUAUAGGCCGAGGGAGUUGGCAUUUGUCUGCAGACAGCUUCUGGGUCAUGUGGCUAGCAGGACUAAGCUGCUUCUGGCGAACCAGAGCAGUGCACGGAAACGCCGUUUACCUUCCCGCCGGAAUGGUACCUAUUUCUCUACUUGCACUUUGACGUGCUUUCAAACUGCUAGGUUGGCAGGAGCAGGGACUGAACAACGGGAGCUCAUCCCAUCAUGGGGAUUCGAACCGCCGACCUUCUGAUCGGCAAGCCCUAGGCUCUGUGGUUUAGACCAACAUGCAUAUAGGGUUCAGCCUAACAGCACAAUCCUAUACAUUUAUAUUCAGACGUAAACCCAGAAAAGUGUAUAUAGGAUUGCCUUGCUUGCUUAUCCCUUCACUUUUUCUUGCUUUAAUGGGUAUGUUUCCAUCAGCGUGUUUCUUCUGGUUUAGGCUGAUAGCCACAAUAGCUAUCUUCUCCCUCCACUGUUGGAGGCAGUAUGCCUCUGAAUGCCCCUCGCUAGAAAUCUCAAGUGUGGAGAUUUGCACCCAGGUCCCACUUGCAAGCUUCCCACAGGCAUCUGACUGGCCAGGAUGCUGAAUGUGAUGGACCAUUGCCCUGGUGCAACACAGCUCUUCCUCUGUUCUUAUGUACACAUUUUAAAAUAUUUAAUGUUUUCGUGUUUGUAUUUCAAAAUAUUUUGUAGUGGCGAGCUGGAAAGAAGGUUGAGUCCUGCACAUUAGGGUGGGAUUUCUUCUAACUGGGGUCAAAAUGUUCCUCCUUCCCCUGAAACCAUUCUAAAAUAAGUAGGGGAAAAAAGAGAAUGCAGCACAUUUUCAAAAAGAUCCUCCAAUCCUCCCAUUUUCUCAUACAGCUCCUUUAUGUGGGCUGUAGAAGAAGCCACCUCUGUGUGUGCAAAUUUCACUGCCACCUGUGGGGCUGCGCAGCUAAAUAUGGCAAACGGCAGGAGCCCAACCUUGUACUGACUUUGAGUCUCUCCGAGUUUCCCCUGCUAUUUCCGCCCCCUCCAGUUCUUCCCUCUUUCCCUCCUUCUCCCCCACCCCACGAGCAAUGACCCCCUUUAACUAAUGAAUUAGGAACCGCUCCUGCAAUUGCAAUCCUCAGUUCGACACUUGGCAUUGAGAAGCAAACCAGGGCUAUUUAGCUCAGCGUUAAAUGGUCCGCCACAUUAACCCCCUGGCACGCUGAGCUAUUAGGUUGUUUUACUGUUGUUAAAGUUGCAUUUGUUAGGUGGCGUCUCACUGCCCUUCUUAGUGUUGUGGGAGAGCUUGCUAUCUGUGGCAUUUAUGCCAGCUGUGGGGCGUGCAGGUGAGACCGCCAUGUGGCACCCUCCUUUUGAGAGUAGAGCAACUUAAGAGCCCAACUUUUUAGUUGAAGCAGGGUGGUGAUUGGGGUGUGUGGUCUUCCUAUCAAGAGGUGAACAAGAUGGAGCUCACACGUUGCACAUGACACUCCUGGCCCACUUCCUCCCUGGUCAGCUGACACACCUGAUAGAAUUCUCCAACCCAAAUGUGUGUUCAUUCUUCCUUCAAAAGGCCAGCGGAAAUGAUCAAGGGGCUGAAGGUUGCAGCAUUUGGGACUUUUUACUUUGGAGAAAAGGCAAGCAAGUGGCAACAUGAUAGAAGUUUAUAUAUACAUGACAUGGAGGAAGUGGACAGGGAAAAAAAAACUUUACUCAGUUUCUUUCUCUCUCUCUCUCUCUCUCUCUUUUUAGAUGAUCUUUAUUGAAUUUUUAGUUACAUACUAUACAUACACAGGGAUAUGUAUGGGUUAAACCACAGAGCCUAGGACUUGCUGAUCAGAAGGUUGGUGGUUCGAAUCCCUGCGAUGGGGUGAGCUUCUGUUGCUCGGCCCCUGCUCCUGCUAACCUAGCAGUUUGAAAGCACGAGGUGCAAGUAGGUAAAUAGGUACCGCUCUGGCGGGAAGGUAAAGGGCAUUUCCGUGCGCUGCUCUGGUUCGCCACAUGACCUUUUUGUGUUUUCCCGUUAUGAGGUUUAUUUUAGUUCUACUGGUUUCCCUAUUUCACAUUGUCUUCUCUAUAUAUAACAUAAAUUUUCCCCAUUCUUUUUUAUAUGUUUCAUCACCCUGAGAUGUUUACAGACAUCUUAUGCUUGUUUACAGACAUUUUAUGGAAAAAAAUUGAAGAACAACAAUUAUAUAUAAAAUGGACAAAGACAAUGCGAAAAGUUAAAGAUGACAUAAAAAAGCCCGGAAGAAGGAAGGAGGGAAGUCAGCUCAGGAGAGCAAGAACAAAUGUGAAACAUAAUGUAUGUGUAUGUCUAGUAAAGGGUAAAGGGGACCCCUGACCAUUAGGUCCAGUCGCAGAUGACUCUGGGGUUGCAGCGCUCAUCUCGCUUUAUUGGCCGAGGGAGCCGGUGUACAGCUUCCGGGUCAUGUGGCCAGCAUGACUAAGCCACUUCUGGCAAACCAGAGCAGUGCACAGAAACACCGUUUACCUUCCCGCCAGAGCGGUACCUAUUUAUCUACUUGCACUUUGACGUGCUUUCGAACUGCUAGGUUGGCAGGAGCAGGGACUGAGCAACGGGAGCUCACCUUGUCGCGGGGAUUCGAACCGCCGACCUUCUGAUCAGCAAGUCCUAGACUCUGUGGUUUAACCCACAGCGCCACCCGCGCUGGUUGCUGGGAAUCAAAAGCAGGGAGAGCUCUGUUGUGCUCAGGUCCUGCUUGAGGAGAAGGAAUAUUUAACAUUCCCACUGAAAUCACUGUAACAUACAGAAAGGUGGGAAACUGUGUUUCUGGGAAAGCGUGGUUUGGGGAUCAUUCCUGGCCUGUGAGAUCAUGAGAAAAGACAAUGGGAAAUGGUCUGCAAGGGCAAAGAGGGUUCUGCCCCACCAAGCUCAGUCUGUCAAUCAGGGGUGGCUCCACCUGCUAUUGGCUGUGGCUUCACCUAUCGUUGGCUCUGCCUCUGCCUCCUAUUGGCCUCCCUGCCUUCUGCCCAACCUGUCACAAUGGAGACCAGCCACCACUGAAAAUGCUUAUGCACGUUCCGACACAACCAUUCCGCCGCUGACCAAUUUAUUAUCCAGAACUCUGUUGCCAGAUGACAUGGCAUGAGCAAAUGUAAACAACUAGUUCCCAUUCACUUGAAAAGCCAAAUUGGGAUGGAAGAACACAAAGGAGCCUCAGCUCCAAUGAUAACGAAGAAUACGACUUUGAAGUUGUAGCUAAAUUGCAUUCUCUCGCCCUUCUGCCGCCGCCUGUGAAAACUCGGCAAAAUUGGCCGAGCAGCGAUUAGUCCAUAAUUCUGUAUGUUCAAAUAGCUUUUGGUUAUUACAAAGCAGGAAAUUUCAAAAGGCCUUCAUUUAAAAACUGGUCGUAGGGCAAUUGUGGGAGGACCUUCAUAAGAAAGUAAAAUAUGUGUUUUAUAAGCCUGUUGAUACUGAGCCAGGAUAUUUAAAUAAAGCAAGAAAGGGACCGAUUCCUCCAUCACUCCUCAAGAAUCUCUGGUUCACUGGGUCCUGGCUGUGGCUUCAGCCUACCAUGAUGCUGGGGCCUUGGUUGUCCUCCAGUGCUGCUGGAAUGAGGCAUCAAUUUUGUCCUUCUGAGAACCUAGAAACCCAUAAUCCCUGAUCCAUGCUGAUUGGGAAUGAUGGGAACUGCAGUUUAAAAUGCCUGGAUUUUCCCAGGUUGGGAUAAAGCUCUACUACCCUUAACCCUUCUAGACCCAAGAUCUACCUCUAGCUCCUCCUUGUACAUUUUAUGUUCCUACCAAUAAGUUUGUAGAUCUGUGAUCUUUCUUUCUGCCUCCUCCCGUCUCUCGUUUUUCACCUCUUCCUGAAAGAUGGUUGCAGUGCUGUUCGCAUGAUUCAUCUUUCGGUGGGGCAAGUCAUGCCCCCCUUGUGGGUCAUGGGACCCAGCGGUUCAAGACCAGGGGGCUGGAGAACCCAGUAUCUUGCUCUUUUGCAACCAUACAGGUUCUCUCUAUAUUAGUGCUCCGUAAAUAAAUUAUGCUUAAAAGGGAUGGAGGGGGGGGAAGUAGCUGUGGAGUUCGGGGUGGGGGGAGCGGGAGAUGCAUUUCAGCUUCUGGAUUCUUCUAAGCGAAGGCUUAGCUCUGAGUAAUCAAAAUUGCUUUGGUUGGGCGCGGAGGCAUUAAAAGCCUUGUCCACUAAUUGAGAGAAGCGGCUCCGGCGAUGCAGCCUUGCCCUCUCGUUAGGCGAACUCGCAAGUUCUAUUUGUCAUCAUUGCUUGCCCGUCUUAAUCUAACAGUACUGCUGGUGCAAAUUAAUGGUAAUUUGUUAUGACACACUGUGUCCUUCGAGUGGAACAACAAUAUGGAACUAAUACCGCUCCACUCAUAGCCCCUUGCCAGCUCCCUCCAUCUCUCCCCACCCCGGAUCUCGCCCACUGCUGAAGACAUCAUCCUGACUUAGCCUUCAAGCUGCUCUCUGCUAAAAGGGGUGUCAGGAUAUGUUAUAGCUUGACUGACAGAGACUACCCAGUGCACUUCCACUGACACGUUCUAAAGGGAUGCGCAGCUAACUCUAGGGCUAGUCUUUUCCAAGCACCUCGAUGCUAUUUCUAAUAUAGAAUCAUAGAAUCAUAGAGUUGGAAGAGGCCACAAGGGCCAUCGAGUCCAACCCCCUGCCAAGCAGGAAACACCAUCAGAGCACUCCUGACAUAUGGUUGUCAAGCCUCUGCUUAAAGACCUCCAAAGAAGGAGACUCCACCACACUCCUUGGCAGCAAAUUCCACUGUCGAACAGCUCUUACUGUCAGGAAGUUCUUCCUAAUGUUUAGGUGGAAUCUUCUUUCUUGUAGUUUGGAUCCAUUGCUCCGUGUCCGCUUCUCUGGAGCAGCAGAAAACAACCUUUCUCCCUCCUCUAUGUGACAUCCUUUUAUAUAUUUGAACAUGGCUAUCAUAUCACCCCUUAACCUCCUCUUCUCCAGGCUAAACAUGCCCAGCUCCCUUAGCCGUUCCUCAUAAGGCAUCGUUUCCAGGCCUUUGAAUAUAGAUAUAGGGGCUUUCCCCCCAGCUGGAACGGUGUUCUGGCACCUCUCAGCUGGGCCCCCGAAGUGGGGGGAGAGACCUGACCAGCCUCUGGAAAGUCCUGCUGUGCCUCCAGCUCAUGAGGAGACCCUCCCCAGUGCCGGAAGGGGACAUCCUCUACGGCAGUGGUUGCCAAACUUGGCCCGCCGGCUGUUUUUGGACUACAACUCCCAUCAUCCCUAGCUAAGAGGACCAGUGGUCAGGGGUGGUGGGAAUUGUAGUCCAAAAACAGCUGGAGGGCCAAGUUUGGCCACCACUGCUCUACAGGCUCUGGAGAGGGAGGGUCUCAUCAUGAGCCAGGGCUUUGUUGAGGCUCUUCAACCUCACAGGCAAAGCCGCACCUCAGCUGAGCAAGUCCCAGUGAUGCUUCAGCUCACAUGGGCUGGAGAGGCGAGGGGGUGGGGGGCUUGUUAAGCUGCUCAGCUAUGGAGAGGAAGGCUCCCCACACCUCAGCUGAGGAGGAUCAACAAGUCUCUGGCUGGCGAGGAGACACCCCCCCCCCAAGCCUGACGAGAACCUCUGGGGUGGGUGUUGUGAGGGAGGUGAAUUCUGGGACCUUUUUGUCUAGGGAAAAAAGCACCGAAUACAGAUAGAGAUACAGUGGUACCUCAGGUUACAUACACUUCAGGUUACAUACGCUUCAGGUUACAGACUCCGCUAACCCAGAAAUAGUGCUUCAGGUUAAGAACUUUGCUUCAGGAUGAGAACAGAAAUCGUGCAGCGGCGGCGCAGCAGCAGCAGGAGGCCCCAUUAGCUAAAGUGGUGCUUCAGGUUAAGAACAGUUUCAGGUUAAGUACGGACCUCCGGAACGAAUUAAGUACUUAACCCGAGGUACCACUGUACACAGGUACAGAUGUGGGCAUUUGUGCACAGUUUCCAUAUCUGCCUUGCAAUUGCCCUCACAUAGUCCAUACACCUGACAGGUUUCCAGAACUCACCUAGUAUUUGCAGAUCAUUGUGGUCCAUACGCACGCAGAGGGCUUCUGUUGACGUAUCUGGAGAGAAUCCCAUACAUUUUAAUUGCAGGAUGGUUCCGUACAUUGAUGGCCUCAAGCCAACGCAGAGCAAAGCACAGCUACUAUGGCGUCAGAUUGCAGCUUUUUGGGUGGGUGCGGGGUUACUAGAAUAGCUAUUGUCAUAACCAUGGGGGCUGGGUCCAAGGAGCUGCGCUUCUGGAAUACAUUGUGUAAAUUAAGUACAUUUGCAUAAAUGUUUGUAAUUUGCAGACUUGGCAGUAGAACUGGAUGGAUCACUAGUUCUCGUCUGUGUCUCUUUUCCAUAUUUUCACCCAUAAGUCUGUUUCAUCUUGUUUCCUCAUUAAACUCUCUCUCUCUCUCUCUCUCUCUCUCUCUCUCUCUCUCUCUUUCUCUAUCCCCCACUCCAUAUAUUACACACAAACACACAAAUGCUGAUAAAUACAUGUUUUAAAACAUACAUUUUCUCCAAAUACACACUUUUAAAAUAGCUCUCCUGGGGCUUUUUGAGUGAAUAACUGUCACAGUGUUUGGAGAAGUGUGAAAUCCAACAAUAGCUAUGUACCGAUCCACAAAUUAUUCUGGGAGGUACAGCUCUGGCCUGCUCGUAUUGGAAUGGACAAAUAACAAAUUCCUCAAACAUCCCUCCUUGGCAGUCCAUAUUUUAUUUUAUUUUAUUUUUUUUAAAAAAUGUGUUCUAAGAAUAUAUUUAAUACUGUUAAUUCUGUAGCACAAAAUAAAAUAAAAACAAGCUAUGAUGAUCCCCACAAUAAGGCUUAAAGCACAACACAUUAUUGCCUGAAAUUCAAAUGAUCCUUCAAUUAUGUAAAAAUGUUUGCACAGUGAAGACUGUCUUUUAAGUACAAGGCCACCUUUUUCCCCCCCUCUGCAAAAAAUGGGUCUGGAUUUCUGCUUCUUAAUAGCCACUUUUCUUAGCCUAGAUUGUCUAUAAUAAUAACAUCUGUCUCUUACUUUUAAGUAUCUGGAGGGAGUGCUCUCCACCUUUGCAGUAAGCUAAGCCAGUAUUAGCCUCCUCCAUAUUGCAUAUGGAGGUACCGAACUGAAUGCUUUGCCCAAUGAGUUCAUGGCAGAGGCAGUAUUUGAACCAGGGGCUUCCUGAUUCACAGCUCAGUCUUUUAGCCACUAUGUUCUUAUUUAUGUUAAGUUCUCUACCAUGAGCCCUACUGUUAGGUUGUAGGUGAACAUAUCAGACGACACAGCAAUUCUUCAAACAACUCUUGUUUAUUCACAGGCCCAGAACAGAACUGGGCUGAAGGGUUCAACCUGCUUAUAUAGAGCUCAACCACAAGGCAACAGUAACAACUUUCUGUAACUAUCCAAUCACUGAACGUCACUUUCAAUUCCUUAUUUGCAUAUGUGGACCUGAGUGAAAACUAUCUACAGUAUCCCCCUGCUGGCCCAGGGUGAGAACUUCAGUACAUAACACCUACCAUUCCAUCAAUCCUUGCUUCCUGUCUACAUUGGAACCCUGUGUGCCAUCAUUUAACCCCUGAUAUGGUGUUACCUUUGCCCCAAUUUGCAAUUAUUGCUUUAGUUGAGAUUCCUGCAUUGCAGUGGGGUUGGACUAGAUGACCCCCAGGAUCCUUUCCGACUCCACAGUUUGUGGUUCUAUUAUUCUAUGUUUGACUUGGUUCUGCUAACGUUCACCUGGCGGUUGGCCUCUGCUCCUUUCAGGCGCCUCCGCUCUAAACUCCCUUUAUACCGAGACAGCCUGACUGAUGAAGGUAUCACAACUCUCUCCCGACACCUCUGUGAUUAUUUCAGAGCACCUGAACUUUGCUGAACUUGGGUAAACACAUCUUUAAUUUAUAUUGCAUGCAAUUAUUUUUUUAUUACAGCUGGAGUGCUAAGUGUAAUCAGGUGGCUAUUGUAUAAUUUAAACUCCAGGUGAUUUUUAUUUAAUAAUAAUAGCUUGCGUUCCUAUAGAGCCUCGCAUCCCCAAAGGGAUCUCCACAGCACUUUGCCAACUUAACAAUCAAAGAUGUAAAAAGUAAAACACUGAUUAUAAUUAACACAAUCUAAGUAAGCCGGGGCCUGUUCCUGCUGCUGCUGUUUAUAUUCAAAGGGAUGCCACUGAAUUUAAUGACAGAAUAGCUGGGCUGAUGCAAGUUUACCUAGCUUGGGGGUGUACAGAAACCCCCAACAUCCCCCACCCCAUUUUGCUUCUCUAAUGUGUUCUUUGUGAGGAAGAACCUCACAUUUUACAUCAACAUUUUGCUGUAGAUUAACUUUGGUGAUAACUCAAGUCCUGGACCUUUUUAGCAUUACCCAAUGUAUAGUGAGGAACCUGUGACCCUCCAGAUAGUAUUGUUGGACUACAGCUCCCAUCAGCCGCAGCCAGCAUGGCUGAUGGUCAGAGGUGAUGGGAGAUGGAGUCCAAUGACAUUCAGAGGGCCACAGGUUUCUCCGCCCCAGUUGUAAAAGGUUUUUCACCGAUUCCUGGGCAAAUCAUGAUAGUGGUGAGAGGCAGAGGACAUACAUAGCAUGCUUUGCCUUGCCUUGCCUGCCACUACACACUGAUGUAUUUUCUUGGUCCUGGGAAGCUGUUUGUUUAUUUACUAUCCUUUUAUUUUUAAAGGGGCCCUGAUCAUGUAAAGACUUCUGCAGGUAGAACUCAAAUGCAAUGAGGGAUCUUGGGUGAAACAUGAAGUAGGUGCCCUCUUUGUAACAUGAUGUAUGGAAUUAUUGUUUGGGGGUGAUGGUGGUUGCUUAUUUUAAUUGUGUUGUGUUUUAAUAUGCUGUAAACUGCCCUGGGUAAGAAAUAUUUCUCUUCUGCUUCUUCUCAUAAUAUUUUAAUUAUAUUACUGUCAUACCUCAUGCUACAUUUGCUUCAGGUUGAGCGUUUUUAGGUUGCGUCACACGACGACCCAGAAGUACUGGAAAGAGUUACUUCUGGGUUUCACCGCUCGCGCAUGUGCAGACGCGCAAAAUGACGUCACGUGCAUGUGCAGAAGCAGCGAAUCACGACCUGCACACGUGCAGACACAGGUUGCGUUCUGCUCAUGUUGUGAACGGGCCUCCAGAACGGAUCCCGUUCACAACCAGAGGUACCACUGUAUAGUGUUUUUGCAGUUAUUGGAAUCAGAGAAACAUAGAACUGGAAGGGGCAAUUGGGGUCAUCUAUUCCUUUUUUUAAAAAAAAUAAUAAUUCAUUUUUAUUGAUUUUCCAAUAAAAAACAUCCAGUCAACAUAUCCAAUCAUAAUCCAAUUAAAACAAAAAACUAAAAUAAAAAAAGACCAAAUUAUAAUCCAGAUUGUAAUUAUUGAUUUUUAGGGGGUCCCCAUAGUCUGGACCCCCUAUGGGGGGGUCAUCUAUUCCAAUCCUCUGCAAUGCAGGAAUCUUUUCCCCAACGUGGGGCUCGGAGCCACAACCCUGAAAUUAAAAAUCUCCUGCUCUACCGACCAAGCUAUUCUAGCUGCUGUUAUCUUUACCAUUUUCACUAUAUUCAGAUUGUAGUGAGUCCUAUGGAAGUAACCUCCAGUAGCUCUGAAAUGGGGAUACACAUUUCACAGGCACCAAUGUUUUCCCAUUAAAUGUUUCUCACCACCAACACUGGCUUUGGCCCAGCCCUGUUAUUUUUCAAAAAGGCAUGACUAGAACUGGAAUGCCUGGCCUUGCAAAUUGACAGGGCUGGCCCUACCAUUAGGCAGAGUGGGGUGGCUGCCCCAGGCAACAGAACACCAUAGGCUAAUAGCAGAGACGAGACGAGGAAAGGCAGAGCUAUGUGUACUGCAUGGUUUAUGCUGCAACCACUAAAUUCCCAUGCUGUCCUCAGGCAUGGUACAGUCAAACCUUGGUUCCCAAACAGCUCCAUUUUGAAAUGUUUCGGCUCCCGGAUGUCGAAAACCUGGAAGUAAAUGCUCCAGUUUUCAAACUUUUUUUGGAAGCCAAACAUUCGAUGUGACUUCCACUUGGGUGCAGGAAGUUCCUUCAACCAAUCGGAGGCUGCGCCUCAGUUGCUGAACGUUUCAGAAUUCAAACGGGCUUCCAGAAUGGAUUACGUUUGGCAACUGAGGUUUGACUGUGGCAGCAACUUCUGUGUAUGGAAGUGGAGGCAUUCGUAUGUCCUGCAUGUUAGGCGUCAGACUGUCUUGUGCCUUAAAAACUAAGGAUGGGGGAAAGAAAUUUAGUUUUUAUUUAAAAGCCAAGCUGCCUAACUUUCCAAAACAGUCAGAGAAACAAAAUAUUGCCAUCCUGCAAAAUUCGUACUUCCUCAAAUUUUGCAACGCAGUUCUCCAGCCAAGUAAUGUGUACAAAAAGGCAUAUACUCUGGUAGAAUCUGCACAAAAUGCAUACAUCAGUGAAAACAACAUACAAUAAUGCAUUAUUUUAGGGGGAAAGGCUUUGUGAAAAUGCGUGCAUUAGACCAAACUGCACAAAAACAGGAGGCGUAUAUCAGGAGGAAUUUGUACUGAAUUUGUGAAUUUUUACGAGGACUUCAGAAAUACUGCAGAUGGAUGUAGAAAUCAGUUUAAAAUUGGCAAAGAUUGAGAAACAGAGAAAUUGAAAUUGACAGCUUCACCCAUCGCUAGUGAAAAAUGAAUGUGAGAUGUGAAGCUUCAGGGAACCAGGCAAAGGGCCUUCUCAGUAGUGGCGUCCUCCCUGUGGGACGCCCUCCCAUCAGAUGUCAAACAGAAAAAAAACUAUUUAACUCUUAGAAAGCAUCUGAAGGCAGCCCUGUUCAGGGAAGCUUUUAAUGGUUGAUGUUUUAUUGUGUUGUUAAUAUUUUGUUGGGAGUUGCCCAGAGUGGGGUAAACCAAUCAGAUGGGCGGCAUGUUGUUGUUGUUGUUGUCAACUGAGCCUUCAUUAAUUCUCAGAUUGUGUUGCUUCAUGUUCCACACUAUGCACCCCCAAACCAAGCCUGUAUGGAACCCCAGCCGUCAAUUUCAACCCAUGAAUCCCAACAAAGUCUUCAUAGAUGUCAAACAUUUUCAUAUUCAUACUGUUCAGUUAAAUAAAUAAAUAAAUAAAUAAAUAAAUAAACCCAGCAAAAUCAGUACCCUAAGAAGGUAAUGAGGGGUGUUGUUUUUCAAGCAGGCCAAAUAAUUUAAUCAUAAAUUUGGAUAUGAGGCUGCAUGCACCUUGCCAUUUAAUCCAGACUGACCUUGUCUGGGGGAAACCUGUUUGUAAGUAAAAAACCAAAACCAAAAAGACUGAUGUCGGUGUGAUAUCUCAACAACUUGCUUAAAACUUAAGUCGCUUUCAGGAAGGAGCCUAAUUUCACAUGUCGGACUCUUUGUUUAAAGACUGCAGAAGUGCUUUUCAGAACAGCAGUCUGAAAUCAGACGACAUGGGUUAUGGAUCAGAGCUAUCUACGUGUUAGAUCUGACAUGAAUUAUGGAAUCAAGUGCCAUGGUUCAGGAAGUUUCGCUCUAGACCACUGUGCAUUAUUUCAUAGCAAGCAAAACAUUCUGAAAGAAAAGGUGGCGCUUCUUUGCAGAUGGGACUGUGAUUCAAGCCUGUCUCUAGAGGGCAGGCAAAUAUAAGAUAGGCAUAUAAGGUAGCAAGUGAAUUUCCUGAACAGAGCCAGAUCUCUGUAAUUGCAUAUCAGAUGUAAGUGAGUUUGUCGACUCCCAGAGUCCUGAAUUACUUCACAAGGCAGUGAGGAGAAGGACUAUACGCUGAUGUGAGAAGGAGGAGGAAGCAAUAGAUUGUGUGUGGAGAAUUUGUAACUGUAUACCAGGGAGAUUGCCCCUUAAAAUGAUAGAGUUGAAUCCAGAUUAAGUUAAUUGAACUCAUUCCCGUUGAAACACAUGGAACUUCAAUUAAGUCAGGACUAACUUGUCCCGUUGGUUUCAAGUGUGCAAUUUAGGAUGCAACGAGUCAUCAGUAAUCACUAAAACCAAUCCUCUUAUUUAUGUUUUUGCAAGUUCUUUGUUCUAAAUUGGCUGCAGUUCAUUUCUGGGCCCAGACUAGUGCUUAAACCCCUAAACUACAGUGGUACCUCGGGUUAAGAACUUAAUUUGUUCUGGAGGUCCGUUCUUAACCUGAAACUGUUCUUAACCUAAGGUACCACUUUAGCUAAUGGGGCCUCCCACUGCCACCAUGUGAUUUCUGUUCUCAUCCUGAAGUAAUGUUCUUAACCCGAGGUACUAUUUCUGGGUUGGCAGAGUCUGUAACCUGAAGCGUCUGUAACCUGAGGUACCACUGUACUUUAUCCCCAAGUAUCUGAGAGACUGCAUCCCUAUAGGCCCUCCCCUCAGGUGUUAAGAUUAGCAGAAGGGGCACUCUGGAUAGUUCUGCAAACUCAGAAAUUUGGAGGUGGCCCAGGAGAGGGCAUUCUCUGAGGCAACUCCUCAGUUGUGUAGUUCUUUUCCUACAGAGGUACAUUUGGCACCUUUACCAACUGUUGUUGUUGUUUAGUCGUUUAGUCGUGUCCGACUCUUCAUGACCCCAUGAACCAGAGCACACCAGGCACUCCUGUCUUCCACUGCCUCCCGCAGUUUGGUCAAACCGCUGGUAGCUUCGAGAACAGUUUGGUCAAACUGCUGGUAGCAUCUUGUCCUCUGUCGUCCCCUUCUCCUUGUGCCCUCCAUCUUUCCCAAUAUCAGGGUCUUUUCCAGGGAGUCUUCUCUUCUCAUGAGGUGGCCAAAGUAUUGGAGCCCCAGCUUCAGGAUCUGUCCUUCCAGUGAGCACUCAGGGCUGAUUUCCUUAAGAAUGGAUAGGUUUGAUCUUCUUGCAGUCCAUGGGACUCUCAAGAGUCUCCUCCAGCACCAGAAUUCAAAAGCAUCCAUUCUUCGGCGAUCAGCCUUCUUGAUGGUCCAGCUCUCACUUCCAUACAUCACU
rnacentral:lncRNA from 1 species